AAGGCAGGACUUUUUGGGUUCUCUCACUAUCGUCAAGAUAGUUUUUAUCACCUUUCUUGGAGACCAACAGGGAUGUCUCACUAUCUUGAACCUUAUUUGCAUUACUUCCUUUACCAUUGGAUAACGCGGUACUGUUCUCCAAUAUUUUGUCCGCAUUCUAAAAGAGAAACAAGCAGACACAUCACAUGUUUACCAUGUUGUAUAUGAAACUCAUUUUGGUAAAUGAGUUCAGUAGUAAAGUGGACAGGAUAACAGCAUGAAACAAAUGUAUAUCUAUGUACCAUGGUCACUUUAUGGUCUAUAUCAUUCUAGUUUUUGUUGCCAAAUCAAGAUAGAGACAUAGUUCAAAUAAUAUUUGUUCAAGAUACAUCAGAAUAGACAGAAUAUAAGUGUGGGUAACUAUAGAGAAAUAACAACACUUGUAAUGUGCAUGACAUGAGAACAUAACUGUUUAUUCAAUUGAAACUGAAAUCAACAUAGAGCAGGUUACAACAGCAAACCACUUAAAGAAACAGGUUUAAAACUUACCUGUUGCGCGAUUGGAGUUUCAAUUCCAUCCUUCAAAUUUGAAAAUAGUUGGUAUGAGUAAAUACAGUAAUGCAAGAGCAAAGGAGUAUGAACCAUAGCUACAGAACCUAACCUAAGAACAAAUCUUCUUCUCCUUUAAGCGUUGAGUUGGGAUUCGGAGUGGUGGUCCUCGUGCUUUGGGCACUGCAGUUCCCUUACUAACUUCUCGUGUUUGGGUGCUCUGUGGUGGAGACGGUGUUAUGUCAACUGGAACUGGGUUACUAUCUGCCGGGGUUGGGGUUAGAAGGGGUGUAGCUGGUUCUCUGUCCAACUGGGUAGGGGUACAAUCUUCGAGAGUCUGGGUUAUGUGUGGUGGAUCUGGUCCUUGGGCAAGUACAACCAUGGUUCUAUCUGCAUCAACUGGGAGCACUAUCUUUUCUGAAGACCGUGUUGUUACUCCCUUAGAUACUGCCAUCACGCUCUCCAAUUCAAAUGGCUGAUAAAAAAGAAAAGUAAUUGAAAGUAUAGACAUUGUAUGAUAGACAGGUGCAAUGGAUAGCGGUGAAUAAAAGAGGGCAUGAAAUAAUUCAUAUUUAUGUUGUCUAACCAAACAGGAUAGCAUAGCACAAUUUCACAUAUAUGAUGGCUAACUAAACAGGAUAGCAUGACACUAUUUCACAUUAUGAUGGCUAACUAAAAAAGAUGGAAAGACAUAGUUCAAAAUAUGAGACUAUGUAAACAGGAUGACAUGACAUAACUAUAUAAUGUGUUUAUUAAAUAGGUUGGCAUGCCAUAAUUCACAUACAUUCACGGAUAGAAUGCCAUAAUUCAAAAUAUGAUGACUGUAAACACUAAACAGGAUGAGAUGAUAUAACUAUAUGAUGUCUUUAUUAAAUGGGUUGCCAUGCCAUCAUUCAGAUAGAUGAUGUGUAUGUACUAUGUAAACAUCAUGGCAUGAUAUAAUUCAAAUAUAUGAUUUAUAUAGUAAGAAAGUAAGCAGAUAGCAAUCCAUAUAUGAUGUAAAAACUAAGCAAUGCAAGACAACAUGCAUGACAUGGGCAGUAUAACCCUGCCAAGUUUGAACAUAGACCUCAGGGGGGAAAUAGGACUGGUCAUCAGUCUCUGAAUCCUCCUUUGAGGAGCUCUCUGUAACCAGCAAGAUGUCUGCUUCAGUAGGUAGCAUUGUCUGCUCUGAAUACCUUGUUUUCACUCCAGAUACUUCCAUCACCGCUUCAAAUGGCUGAUGCACAGGAAGAGUACUUGAAUAUACAAACGUUGUCGACAAAUGGAACACGUAAUACAAAAAAACGAUAGCAUGAUAUAAUUCACAUACAUGAUGAUUGGCUAAACAGCAUGGCAUUGCAUAAUUCACAUAUAUAAUGCCUUUGCAACAAGUUAGCAUUGUAUAAUUCACAUAUAUAAUGUCUUGCAACAAGAUGGCAAUGCAUAAUUCACAUAUAUGGUAAUUAGACACUGAACAUGUGGCAUUCACACAAAGCAUGUCUAAACUAAUCAAAUGACAUAGCAAUGCGAGACACCAUACGCACGAUAUGAGCAACAUAACCCUGCCAAGUUAGAGCAUACACCUCGAGGGAGGGGGGAAUAGGACUGGUCAUCUGUCUCUGAAUCCUCCUCUGAGGAGCUAUCCGUAACCAGCAAGAUAUGCGCUUCGUCGGAUAGCAUAGUCUGCUCUGAAGACCUUGUUUUCACUCUAGAAUUUGCCAUCAUCAUGUCAAAUGGCUGAUGCACACGAAGAGCAGUUGAAUGUACUAACAUUGUUGACAAAUGUAAUAUGUAACGAAAAAAAGGAUGACUAAUAUAACUUACAUAUAAGAUGACUGGCUAAGCAAGAGGGCAUUGCAAAAUUCACAUAUAUGAUGCCUGGCUAAACAAGAUGACGUUGCAUAAUUCACAUAAACGAUGAAUAAACUAAACAGAUGGCAUUCCCACAAAGGAUGUCUAAACUAAGAUGAUGACAUAUUUGAUGUAUAAAGUAAGCAAUGCAAGCCACCAUAUGCAUGAUAUAACCAACAUCAGCAUGCCAAGUUAGAGGGAAGACCUCAUGGGGUAAAUAGGAGUUGUCUUCUCCUUCUGAAUCACCCUCAGAACAGAUAUCUUCCUCUCGAUUACAAUCCGAAAUGUGUGGAGGGGGGCUGCCUUUGUGCCUACCAUGGAGCGACGUCUGCAUGAAAUUUUAUUGCCAUGCAAGGCUCAUCUCUUUUGCUCUACAUGUUCAGUUCCAUUGUUACAAUAACUAUCAUGCAUAGGAAUAAAACAUAGUGAGAUUAUGUAAGGAGUGCAUGCAGAAAACCAGAGUGAUGGUAGCAACCUGUGGAUAGACCCAAAACCAAUAAUAGCAGACAGAUAAUGGCUUCGGUUAAAAAAUAUAGAUAAUGGCUUCUUUACUGUUUGUUUCCCACCCAGCAUGAAACUCAUAGUAGACAUCGGAGAUUAACCAGAUAGUAGAUAGAUACUAUUGAUAGCAUCCCCGAUAUGUACCCCACAACCAUUUAAAAACUCAAGUUUGACCAUUAAUUUGGAGCUGACCCAGAGUCUAAUCGGUGAACAGGAGGAUAAAGUAGCAUGUAAUAUUAAGCGAUGCAUAACGUAAGCAGACACGAAAGAGUGUGACCUCUCUUGCGGACCCGUGUAGUCCUCGAGGUCAUCUGCUCGGUUGAUGAUGGUAAUGCAGUUUUCAUGGCUGCCGGCAGCGGGGAAGAAGAUCUGAGGCGGCGAAAUACAGUCUGGAGGUCGGAUCCCUACUGUGCUGGACCCUUCUGUCGUUGUAGCAGCUGAGCUGGGGUGGACGGCGGCGCAACAGGAGCGGGACAAACCACACAAGGUUUUCUUUGACAACUACCUGUAAGAGAAGUAAAUCCGUAAGGGCUCGUUUGAAUUGGAGGAUUCCAACAAUGCAGGGAUAGGAAAUAGAAAGGAAUGGGAUAGGAAUGCACGUGCAAAACGGAGAAUUUAAAAACACAUGAUUUAUGCCAAUCUGGGUGUUUGAUUCACAACAAUUGGAAGAUCACAGGAUGCAAAGAAGCACGGUGAGAUUAAGUCAAACCACACGAAAAUGUACGGUUAUAAUGCUAUUAUGCUACUAUCUCUUAGUCUUGUGCUUCAUGAAUAGGAAUUUGAAAAGGAGGACAAGUGAAAAUUCAAAUUCCUACAUUUUUUCUUUCAAGGAGACACUAAAGGAACAAAUCCGUGUGCUCAGUGGACAAUAUAUAUAACAUGUAGAGUAAAAAAGAGAUGCAACAAGUGUACAACCUCUUUGGCGAAGCCAUGUUGAUCUCAGCGUGAUUGGGUUGGCCGGUGAGGAAGCUCUGGCUGACUUUACUGUCGGAGGAGGGGAAGAAGAUCUUAGGCAUCUGGAGAUGGAGCCCGAGGUACUGCUCCGCUGUGAUGGAGGGUUUCGUCGUUGGAGCAGCUCUGGUGAGUUGUACGACGCCGAGGCUGAAGCAGGACAAGAGAGACAAUGAACAACCUUAACCUGAGUGGAAUUCUAAUAGCAUCUCCAAUACAUGACGUAAAAUACAUAACCACAAAGUGCUAGAUGUAAAAUACAUCAACCGCUCAUCUCUGAACUUAACUGUCCAAACUGAAUUAACUGUCGAAACUGAACUUAACUGUCAAAACUGAAUUUUGCUGUCGAAACUGAACGCACUAGCAAGGUGAGGCUACACGUCGGUCGACUGACUUUUUCAUCUCUGGUCAGUCGAUUUUGCAGCCGUUGGAUACGAAAUCAAGGGCCUGCGAUUCAUCUUCAACAUCCACCCCCCUGAGCCGCCAGCCACCACCGGCCAAACAACAGCCCCCCGCCGCCCGCGGCCCGAGGUACUCUGCCCCGCCCACCCCGAAAAAACUCCCCACCACCGGUUCGCCGCCGCCCCGGCCAUCCCUGUAGGUCCCCCCAUGCCGAGCUUUUUCUCCAGCGAUCCCCAUGCCACCGCCCCGCCAACGCCCUGCCACCGCCGGCGACCACCGCCCCCACCCUGAACNNNNNNNNNNNNNNNNNNNNNNNNNNNNNNNNNNNNNNNNNNNNNNNNNNNNNNNNNNNNNNNNNNNNNNNNNNNNNNNNNNNNNNNNNNNNNNNNNNNNNNNNNNNNNNNNNNNNNNNNNNNNNNNNNNNNNNNNNNNNNNNNNNNNNNNNNNNNNNNNNNNNNNNNNNNNNNNNNNNNNNNNNNNNNNNNNNNNNNNNNNNNNNNNNNNNNNNNNNNNNNNNNNNNNNNNNNNNNNNNNNNNNNNNNNNNNNNNNNNNNNNNNNNNNNNNNNNNNNNNNNNNNNNNNNNNNNNNNNNNNNNNNNNNNNNNNNNNNNNNNNNNNNNNNNNNNNNNNNNNNNNNNNNNNNNNNNNNNNGCAGCAUCGCAAGCAAGAGCAAGAGCGAGAGCAGCAGCGCAAGCAAGAGCAAUAGCAAGAGCAGACCAGGCAGGGGACCGAGAGCAAGAGCAGAGCAGCAGCGCGAGCGAGAGCUAAAGCAGUAGCAGCUCCUAUUGAUGUGGACAACGCCGCCGAGGGAGCGACGUCGUGGAGGAAGUGGCCGGCGAUGCCAUCGUGGAUGGAGCCACGCCGUGUCGGCUCAGGACCGAGCGCCGGCAGCACCGUGAGAUCGAAUCAAGAAGAAAAUGCAGCGACUAGUGUACAACCUCUUUGGUGGCACCGAUUAGGCCGUAGUUUCAUCUGAGGAAACAGUGAUGAUGAUGCUCUUCCGGUGGUGCAGGUGAAGACGAUGGUGUGGAAAUGGAGGUGGCGCAAAAGAUGAGGGGAACAUCGGGGUAGCUCCUUGGAGGUGGAGGACGGGGUGGCUGAACUGGCGGGACGACGAGAUCGACGAUGGAUCCUCAUGCCGUACGAUGGAUGAGGGAUGUCCACGUGUUGUCGACGUUGUCGUCGGGGAAGAGGCUCCGACUGGGUGGCGGACGGAGCAGGGUGUGGGGUUUCAUCGCGGGUUUUCGCGGCCUCGGUGUAUGAAUGGGUGGGCGGAUGGGAUGACAGUGGGGAACCAUGGCUUAGGGACACGCUUGUCCGAAAUGUGGGGUAAGUUACGAAAGUACCCCCACCGAUUUGAGGCGGUUCUUUCGGUUCAGGGGUACCACGGGCAUUUCGCGUGUCAGAAUUUCACAGGAGGUGGGAGUUUUCGCGUGCGUUAUAAUUUUGAAAUAGCAAGGCGCGGGUUGAGAUGGAGGGAGUUGUCGGAGCACAACGAGACAAAGAUAUAUCUUAAAUAUUUCGGGCUAACAAGGAGCGGGUUGAAAUUUCCGGACAAGCCUAACGUGUACUGUACCAAAUCAAUGCGCACUACAAAUGUCAUUCAAAACUUUGAAUUCAUGUUAUGUUCAAUUAAAAUAUUUCGCUACGUGUAUAAUGCAUGCAACCUACUAAUCAAAUGAACGUUUUAGGGCAUUCCAAACUUAUAUACUACCGCUUCAAUAUGAACUAAAUUUGAAUUCGGUUCUCUAUUUGAAUAAGAUCUAUAGUAAUGAUUGUUGUGAAGUCAAAGCAUUUGAAUUCGUUUCUCUGUUUUAGUAAGAUCUACAAUCAUCAUUAUUGUCAAGUUAAACCAUCGUUUUUGUAUUAUCUUCACAGCACACCACAUGAUUAGUCUCGAGUUACAUAUGAACUAUGUGUACUAUAUGAACUCGAACUUGAUUUUUUGAAUCCACUUUAUUUUAAUUUCAAAUCACAUUACAUUUCUAGCUCUAGCUAGAUCUUCAUAAUCUAAACCAUGUCUCAUAUGUAUAAUGUGUUUAUGACAUUAUGUAAGGUGCCCCGCCCCCUACGCCUACAAUUAUUUAGAUGUGAGUUGCAAACACCACACAUUACCACAAAUUCAAAUAAAAUGUGAGAAUGUUCGAUAUAUAGUAUUGUUUAGAUUGUUCGAUAUUUAGUUGUAAGCUGCAAACGCCACACAUUAUCACAAAUUCAAAUAAAAUGUGAGAUUGUUUGAUGUAUAGUAUGGUUUAGAUUGUUCGGCAUUUAGCUGUGAGUGCAAACGCCAUGGAUUAUCACAUUAUGGUAUAACAUGUGCACAACACGUGUAUCACCGCUAUAUCCAUGCAUGCAAUGUUUAAAACACUAUGAUCUCCUAUUCAAAUAUAUGAAUGCGCUUUCAUAUCAAAUUAUGAUUUUUGUUAGUCUCUUACACCCACACAAUCCUCUAACCUUUGUAGCUACCACUAACUUUCUCUCGUGCAUGCACACGCCCUCCUCCCCCUCCCCCUCCCUCGGCAUUCUAUCCACCGGGCACAUUCAUAUUUUUUCUUUAGGUCGUUCUCCCAUAGUCUCCACAACUCCUCUCCGACACACACCGAUUGAUAAACCUCUCCAGCGAUGCCUGCCUACAACAUACACACACACCUUCAACCUCCUCCUUUAUGUGUCCUUGCCUCGUGUCUCUCAUACGGUCACACACACGUGUAAACUCCCGCCCCUCUUUUCAUUGGUCUCACAACCGCACACUCCUCCCCCUAUCUAGCUAGUAGUUGGGCCUCUCGCACCACCUCCUAGCUCCAUUCUCUCUGUCUAUCCUUCUCGCUGGGCCUUAUUUGCCUCUAACAAAUGGACGUACACCGACCGAUCUCUCGCUAUACAUAUAGCUAGCUAGGUCCUUAUAACUCGUUUUUACCCAUGCGUCGAUCGAUCUACCACAUUAGUUGUGUCUCUCCCUUCCUCCGACAAACAACAAUUGAUCUACCGAUCUAGUUAGGUUUGCUUACCAAAUGCAUGGUUCCCCUUCAUCAUCCAUGGAUGCGUCCCGACAGAUCUAUCAUGCACAGGCACACACAGAAACACAUCCCCACUCUUAUUGAUAACAUUGCAGCUCCACCCUCAGUUUGUCUUGUACGCCUCUCCCACCAUCUCCGAGAAGCAACUCCAUCACCCAUCCAGCACUCUACCCCUCUCCCUCCCUCUCCCUCCCUCUCUCUCUCUAUCCUCUCUCUCUCUCUCUCUGUCCCAUCAUAUUUCCCGUCCUUCAGUUAUGUAUGGAUGUCGACCGAUAUCCCUCAAGACAUAGCUGGGUAUCUCCUUCUCAACACAUAUAUGAGUCGUUCUACCUAUAUAGUUAGGCCUCUGCCUACCCCUCCCCCCACAUACACCGAUACAUCGAGCGCUCUAGUCAUGUCUCCCUGCCACACGCAAAUUUGACAUGUGCCCUCUAAUGUUCCGGUAGGCCAGUCGCCCUAUAUCUUUGACUUGCACACACACGCAAUUUCGAUGGCUCUCUUCAUCGAAGUCGCACCCACCCACUUGAUCCUCUCUUUGACUCUAUCGAUAGCUAUGACCCCUCCCUCUCUUCGCGUGGAUUGCCCGACCCUCUAUGUAUGAUAUGGAUAGGCCUCCAUUUCACACACAUUGCAUGCACAAUUUUGUUUGAGAUGUCAUCGACACGUAUACCCACAAAUAAUUCACGAAAUCAACCCCCCACCCCACCCCCAACCCCCACCCCAAAACAAAAAACACUCACGAACGCGGUUUAUAUCUCUCACACACACCCACAUAGGUGGGGGAGGUGCACGAAGAGAAGAGGUGCAUGCACAGCGCACGUACUCCCGUCUCUUUCCCAACCACACCCGCGCGGGUACACGGUGGAGCUCAUUUCUGUACGAAAAAGGCAGCCCAUGUGGUAAUUUGGCACGUGUACUGGUUGUCCACUUGGUGGAGGGAGGAUUGUCUACCACGGGUGAACAAACAAAUUGCGACUUGACGCGUUAUGUUAAAUUAAAAUAAGAGGCAAACCAUGUGGGGCCUACCUUAGAGGCAAGGCUCUAUGCACUGAACUACUUUUGAUGUGUCCCGUCAACUCGCAGAACGAGGAGAACCUUGCUUAGUACGCCAUCUCCCCCGCCCACGGGCGCGGUGGCUUGCAGGAUGAGGUGAAGCUUGCUCCGCCUUAUGCCCGCUCCCUCGCCCAUGCGCGCAGUGGCUCGCAGGACGAGGAGAAAAAUUUACUACUCCCUCCGUUUACUCCUCGUCCCUACUACCUUGGUUAUAGAGAUUAUAUCAUAUUGUUUGGAAUAUAUAUGUCCUUUAGUAGAUUUCAAUAUGAACUACUAGUACAUACUCCAAACACUGAUGUAUAUAGACGUAUUUUAGACUGUAGAUUCACUCAUUUUGCUCUGUAUGUAGCACUCGCCCUCGCCCGUCGACCCUUGCCCACGUGGUGGACGUGCAGCAAUUCAUUCGGUCUCAUAUAGCCAGAACGAUAUAUACUGCACUACCAUUAUUGCUUGACUUCCCGAAGAGGCGAAGAGCCAAUCGCAAGGUUAAUAUUUUGGAGAUGCCAAGCGCAAGGUUAUAGGAGAACGAGUAGUAGGUGCCGCAUCAUUUAUAAAUAAAGUUUUUUUUCUUCAGUGGCACAUACGCAAUAUGAUAGGUUCAUAUGGAGAGAAAAGGAAACCGCUCCACUAUAUACAUAGUCAGGACGGGCCAGCCUACACGGUUGCUUGCUGGGGUUGCUCUAUUCACACUCUCUCGCACAAAAUGACUGUGGCCACAUCUCUAACAUCUCGGCGGAUCACGUCUGCAUGGGGAAGGGGUGGAUGCUUAGUGUAGAUGCGGUGGCCGUCGCCGACGGUGAUAACCCACUGUCGGCACAUCCCGAUCAGGGGUCCCCGCCGUUUUCUCUCACAAAGCCGGUGAGGUUGCCUUCGUCCCUUGCUCACUGCCGCAACAUGGGCAGUUGCCACCUCCCGCCACCCUCCUCAAGGUUGAGCUACGUCCCUCAGGUACAACUCCCUUUACAGUCGGCUUGCACCACUGCUCCAGCUGCCCACAUCACUCCAUGUGGAUAUUUCUCUACUUCUUUGCCCCGCGCAUACCUCUACUGGCUCUACAUACUGUAUUUGUGAUGAUUUUAUGUCUUAUCAACUAGUCCCAGUAAUCUUAUAGUAAUCACGCUUCUUCAAUUUCUUUGCCACGGGGAUGCUCAUCUCGAUUUUGGUGAAACUGCACAAAAUGACCCGAUGGUCAAAAGGUUGCAAACUUCAUUUAUUAGGAAGCUCGAACGUUGCCAGCAAAUUGAAGCCUGGUCUGGGUUCACGGUUCAGGGCUAGGGACUGCAUGGAUCAUUUUUUUUCUUUAGCUGCCUCUGUUCCAAAAUAAGUGUCAACUUUAGUAGUAGUACAACUUUGUACUAAAGUUUGCACAAAGUUGAGACACUUAUUUUCGAACAAAGGGAGUACAUAUUUGCUAUGAUCUGUCAAUCAUUGAGAUGCAAUAGCAUGCAUGUUACUCUCCUUUGUAUUUGAUGAAAUGUUGCAACGGGCAACCUUGGACGCAAGAUACAUGUAACAGAAGCUAGAAGCUUCAUAGCAUUGUACAAAUUUAUCUCGCUGAUAAAUUACAGUACGUACUAUACUAGUACUUCCUCCGUUCCUAAAUAUAAGUCUUUGUAGAGAUUUCACAAUGAACCACAUGCGGAUGUAUAUAGAUGCAUUUUAAGUGUAGAUUCACUCAUUUUGUUCCGUAUGUAGUUCACCUAGUGGAAUCUCUACAAAGACUUAUCUACUAGUAAUAGCUAGCCCCCACUACUAGGAAUUCUCUAUCCUCUCCUUGAGCCACAUCAUCAAAAUUAAUGUAGCCAUUGGAUGAACUAAAUCAGUCCAUAAUAGCCGUCUGAUCUAGACGUUGAGAGGCUCCGCACUAAGCCACAUGCAAGCAUGCAGAAAUACCGUGGCAUGCAUGUGAGUGGGUUUUAAAUCACAUCAAAAUGCCUACAUGCAAGCAUGCGCCGGUAGCAUGCAUGUAAGUGAGAUUUUAAGUCCCAUUAACAUGUCAAAAAGAAAAAUAUAAUCCCAUUAUGCAGUAGGAGUUGGCUGAUCUUUUUUCCUUACGUGGGAUGAUCUAAAUGAUGAUGGGAGUUUAUUUAGUUUGGCUACCACAUUUGUCAUGUGGUUAUAGAGUUUUUUUUUAGUUCUAUGAAAUCGAUAAUUUUGCGCAGAGAGAUAUACGGCUGUUCCGCGGCAACGCGCGGGGACUCGUCUAGUAAUAUUUAGGAACAGAGGGAGUACUAUGUAAAGAAUUAGGUGUCACACGGUGAUAGUGUGAGGUGGGCCAUGUAAUCAUUUAGCCUGCGUGUUUUCACUGCUCUUGCACUCCUCCGCUGUAAGAAUGGAGAAAAUUUUAAUCUAGUAGUAGUACCUCCUUUCGCCGAAAGCAUGGGACAUCCAGCAGUCCUACCACCUCAGUAAUAAAGACCAAUGAGCCGUCAAAUCACAUAGACCCAACAGUAAGUUGGACAGACGAAGCAACAAUCACUCUUGCGCCAGCGAGAGGUCGCGUCCACUCUGCCCGGGCAUGAAUGCGGCACCAAUUCUUUGGAGCGGCGCUGACCGUUUUGGGCAGGAAGCGUGCGCGGGCGAUGGAGGGGCUUUGGGUGGGCCAGGCUGGUCAGGAGCGGGCGUGGCAGCUGUCCGCAUGUCCCUACCGGACACGCCCGGAAACAAGAGGAUGCACCGACUCUCGCGGCUAAAAUCGUACACUACACACCAUCUAUCUGUAGGAGUAGGUCGAUCUGUCGCUCUCUCUAACACACAAAUGCUGUUAAACACACACACACACGCACACGCACGCACCUUGGUCCCGUUGCACCUUCUAACGUGACUUAUUACACCUAGACGGAGGGAGUAGUAAGUAUACGAGAUACGGUGGCACACUGACUUAAGUCGAAUACAAGUGCCGAAAAUUUGUGUGCAUGUUAUAAUAAGGAUUCACUUAAAAUAGUAUGUGAGCGAACACAGGGAUCAAUUGGACAGUGUUCCCGAGCAGUAGCGAGAUGUGUGAGGUAAGAUACACCGCGGGCGCUUUUAAUUUUUCUUAUAAAUUUGUUUGUUUCACCCUCUGACUGGUGGGACCCAACGUACUACAUGGAGAGAGGUAAGGUGACUAAGGCUGCAUUAUUUCUGCACCACUCUGGAUAGUCUUACCACCAAAGCCACAUGACAUGAUUAUGAUUGAUAUCCCAAUGACUCCCACACAAAAAAAACAUGGCAUGCUUGUCACACGAAUGCAGGAAUGUAUAAAAGGUUAUUUUCCUCUCGUUGAACAUAACGGGAGGGUUGUGUAGCUGGUUAGCAUGUUCGCUCAUCAAACUUGAGGUCUCGGGUUUGAUAACUACAGUUGAGCAUAAUUUGUGCCGGGAGGGUUCUUUGACUGGUCAAAAUGGAUGGAUAUGGAGCUAUACGAUCUCGUAGUGACCGUAUAAUCACCUCAUCACGUAUAAGCUGCAACCUCCGCACUUGUUUUCUAGGGUUUGCACGCUUCACACACUCUCUCUCCAGUAUAUAUAUAUAUAUACGCUGGAGCCUUAGAGCUUCUAGUUGCUCUCUUCACACACUCUCUCCCUCUCCAGAUCUAAAAAAGACUCCGUUGGCCUCUCUCUCCCCUCACUACUGCUGAAAGAGCCGGCAGGAUCCGUCCACCGGGAAGGGAAGGAGGCUUAACGUUGUCGCUGUCGACGAGGGAGGGAAUCCACUACCGGCGCAACUGUUCACUUUCACCCAGCGGCGGAGCGGGAGGGCCUCCGACCCCUUCUUCUUCGCCGCCGUCCCGUCGCCCACUGAACCACGCCCCAAGAACCUUAAGGUAUAAUUUACUUACUCCACAUGCAUUGCUCUAGCUGCAUGUAUACCAUGAAUCUAGUAUGUGGUUCAAAGAGGAAAGGAGUGGGGGAAAGUAGUGGGAAAAGUUGUAUAUAGCAUGAACCUAGGACGUGGUUCAAAGAGGAAAUGAAGGGGGAAAGUUGUAUAGCAUGAAUCUAGGACGUGGUUCAAAGAGGAAAGGAAUGGGGGAAAGUAGUGGGGAAAGUUGUAUCGCAUAAAUCUAGGACGUGGUUCAAAGAGGAAAGGAAGGGACGAAGGAACUAGUUCAAAAAGGAAAGGAAGGGACAAGGCUGUAGAGUUUGAGCAGGACUAGAUUUGCUGCGCUCACAUAGGGAAAGGUGUUUAAAGAUAACAAAACUGGGACCAACACAAAUAUGCUCCUUGGUUGUUUGUUCUUUGUUGCAACAGACUGUGCAUGACCACAGUACAUCGAUAGAUGCACGUGGUGCUGGUGCGUCCACUAUCCCGUGCAACUCAUUAGCUGUUGUUAAUCUAAGGCCCUGUUUGGUUAAAAACUCCCUAGUCCCUACCUGCUUGGUCCCAGAGACUAAAUAUGGACAAUAGGUUAUUAAAUGACAUGCUAAAAGACCAUGUUACCCCUAGUAAUGAACUAAUAGAGACAACAUGCGAUGCGUGGCAGGGGCAACUGUUGGAAAAAGUCCCAAAAACCUCCCUCGGGGUCUUGUUUCUUUAGUCCCAAAUGCCCACUUUUAGUCCCUAAAAGUCCCUCCUGUUUGAUUUAGAUCGGACUGACACAGAGUUUUUUAGGCCCUACACCAAAAUGUCCCUGUAAACAAACACCCUCUAAUAAUGCCGCUAGAAAAUUGAUGCAAUGCCACAGUUAAAAGUAAAUUACAUGUUUAACGAAUUUUAUUGUUAAUAUAAUCUCUAUGUUAAUAUUAAUCAAUGACACCGUUUGAGAAAUGCUACUGUCUUGCUUUCUUUCCCAUUUAGAUAAGGUAGAUGCUUCUUUUUGUUGGCUUCUGUGUCAUCCACCAUUAUUGACCACUAAUUGUUUCCUUGGCACCUCUGUGUAAACAGGGUUAUCUAAUUCACCUCGUUGCCAUUGUGACCUUUUGUUGCACUGCACAAAACACUUUUGUUUUAAGAGUAUUUUGUGCAGUUCAACCAAAAUGUCACACCGACAACGUUGCUUGAUUGCUUGAUCUUAGUGGAACUGCACAAGAGGAGAUCUUACUUCCUAUCCAUGUUGGCAAUUUUGGUUCAGAUCUUCUUCUUGUGAGUUGUUUGAAUUCCGCAUCAUGAGAGGUCAGUACUAGCCUUCUUUCACAUGAUUCUGCAGUGUGCUUUCAUAUGUUGUGCUACUUGUACAAUAAUGUUGCUUGAUUUUAGUGAACUGCACAAAUGGAGACAAGACUUCCAAUCUGUAUGUGCACCGUAAUAUCCCAUUGAGGUAAGAUAAGGAUAUUUCACAAUUGUUGACCUAUAUUUGCCACUUUCAUCAAAAAAUUAAGUUUAGUACUAUACUUGUGCUCCCUAAUUGACAUGCCAAAUCUUACAUUGAAGGUGAAGCUUGUAUGUUAUUGAACCAAGUGAUGAAGGGGAAGAACAAGCGGAAGAAAAACAAAAAUCAACUCUUGGUGCUGUAAUGAAGCACUAGAACUGUGAUGACACAAGUAAUGAUAUAGUUUUGCAUCUUAAUUUAUUGCUAUGGCUGGAACGAGCAAUUGUUUUGCCACUGAUUUGAUGCCACUCUUAAUGUAAUAUGUAAUUAUCUCUACUUGUGCAAGUAGGGAUCUUCUUUGAAGAUAUCAUAUAUUUUAGUGGAACUGCACAAGAAGAUGUUGGAAACAUUAAACUAAUCAAGGAGUAUAUAGUAAGCAUGGCCACUACCGUAGACAGCAACAGAUGGUUCCGGAGAAGUGCUUCAUAUGUAUGCUCUACACAAUAAGCCUCCAGACAAAGGUUGGUACUCGCCCACUGAUUUCAUCCAUAUGAUUGAGCUUUGUCAUCUCUAUUGGUGUUGUGCUACUGUUUAGAUACUGUCAUGAAAAAGUGGUAUUGUCCUUGAGAAGUGCUUCAUAUGUGUUGUUUUAAAUAUUUCCUUUCCUUUUUUUCGAGCAAACAGGGAUGCUAGCAUUUAGUAGUCCUCUUCUCUUUGCACAAUAGGAUCAUCUUCCUCUAAAGAAGAAUAUGGAGUACAUGAAGUGACUAGUUCCAAUUAUGCCACGAUGAAGAAGCCAUGUCUAUCUUCUCAUCAGAAGGAGCAGUUGAAGGAUGGUUACAUUACUCCCCACAAGACCAAACUAACUUCAGCUCAGAAGGACUGAUAAAUCUCCAUUUUUUUGCUGUGAUGCGCGAGUACAAUGUUUUUCUAGGACUCUUUUUGGUGAGUUCCAUUUUUCUAAAAGUGUGCUCUACAUGGACCAUGUAGGUGCCUGUUGAAACUAUCAAUUCAUAGUACAGUUUGCUUUAUACUAAUCACUUUUUUGUAUUUGUGCAAACAGGGGUGCUCAGCUUGAUUUCAACAGGAACUGCACAAAAUGUUCAUGAAUACAUAGAAUCAUUCAUUUUCACCACAAGAAAGGAGGUGCCGACAAGUUCAAGGUGUUGCAACAUAUAAGGGCGAAAUCAUACAAGCUAUGCGUGAAUUUGGUUGAUUUUGGUGGAACUGCACUAAAAGAACAGCUGGUUUAUUUAGCACGAGGUGCCAUGUCAAUGUCCGAACUGAUGGCAAACCCUGCCCAUUCCACAAUCAUAGGCAUUUGAUAUUUUGGAAUGGGACAAACUUGUAAAAUUUUGCUCAUUGAUUUUAGCAAGACAUGUGUUUGAUAUUUUUGAAUGGGACGCCCUUUGCUGUCAGCAGCGUCGAUCAACUUUUUAUUUAUUCUUUAGUUGUGAAGUAAAUAUUUCCUCUGACAUGUGAGUCGGUGAGAUGUAUAAUCAUCGAUUGUUUUGAAUGUUCUCUAUGAAUUGCCAGCCAUGUGUGUUUGAUUGCAAUGUACAGAAAAACGCUAAAAGCUGCUCAAACUCUUUGUACUCCUUCUGUUCCUUUUUACUUCGCACAUUGUGAAAGUGCAUACUUUUUUGUAUAAGAUUGGUCAAAGUAGAGAUACUUUGACUACAGACAAAACUUGUAUGCAGACUAGAAAGGACCGGAGGGAGUACAUGUGAAACUGCUGCAAACGAGGUGAUCACCCUGGGAAUAAUGCUAGUACGUUUUAUUUUGCAUGUUCAUCCAAUGCGAGUGAUACAGGAAUUCGAACUAAUCAAAAUAAAUUCAUUCAUACACGGUCGGAUUUCAUAUAAAGAUGCCGGAUUUUAUUACAUUUCAUACAUUCUUCAACUAAAAAGGGGUGCACUAGAGGUAUAAUUAAUUAACUGAAGCUACCCACAUGUGUCCCGCUGAGCCAAACAGAAGCUUCAGUGACUUAACUGCAGGUGCAGUUGCAUAACUAACAUGUGGCCUGUUGGGCCCAUGUGUCAGUCAGCCAACUGCACCAGCAGUUAAGUAGAAGCAGUGUUCUUCUCCAGUGCAGCUCUCCGACUCCACGUCGCUGCUAAGAAGCUAACCGACCGUCAAUGGUCAACCCGCCUAGCUUGGCUUCAACCGGAGGGUAGCAGCGGUGGCCUUACUUGGACCUGAGCGGCGGCGACCUACCGUGUUCUACUCUUCCUCGUUUUCUCUGUGGCGCGGCCUCGUUGGUAGCGGGGCGGGGCCUCGGUGGAGCCGGCGAUGUCCUCUGUCUCGUUGCCGACGAGCGGCGCCUCGGCAGAGCGGUGGAAAUCCUCCCCCACGUUACCGGUAGGGUGGGGCCUCGGUUGACCCGGUGAUGUCCUUUGCCUCAUUGUUGGCGGGGCGGGGCCUCGGCGGAGCCGGCGCUGUCCUCUACCUCGUCGUUGGCGCUGCGGGGCCUCGGUGGAGCAGGGCCUCGUCGAUGCCAGCGGAGCGAGGACUCAUCGGAGCCGGCAUUGUCCUCUGCCUCAUCCUCGGUCUCACCAAACAGCGCCUCGCCCGCUUCAUCGCCCUCUUUGCUAGCCUCCUUGUAGGCGUCCGCAGCCUCCGCCACCCACAUGCGGUACCGCCAGCGCUCGAGGCGGCCCUUGCGGGCGGAGUGGUAUGAGUCGAGCAGUGCCUCCUGCUCCGCCUGAUGAGGAUAUGUACCUAGGGUAUGGUCAUAGACCUAUCUAGGAUACCAUACCCAAGGACAUCAUCAUCCGAAGCUACCUCCAGUCGACCAAGAGAAGCUCCACUCAACCAAGGGAGACUCCACUCGACCAUCAGAAGUUCGGGAUCUAUGCUGUAUCCAAACGGUCUGUAAAUAAGUAGUCUUAAUGGUCAUGAUGACACUUUAUGUAGGGCGUUACCAGUAACGCCCGGCCUUAAUGUACAUUAACCCUCCUCUACGUGGGCUGGCUGGGGUCCUGGCGUCCUCUAUAUAAGCCACCCCCCUCCACUGGGAGAAGGGUUCGCACCCCUGUAACUCAUAUGCACAUAGAUCAGUCGACCGCCUCCGGGCUCCGAGACGUAGGGCUGUUACUUCCUCCGAGAAGGGCCUGAACUCGCUAAACACCCGUGUGUACAACUACUCCGAAGCUAGGACCUUGCCUUUCCAUACUUACCCCCCAUUCUACUGUCAGACUUAGAACCACGACAGUUGGCGCCCACCGUGGGUCCGGUGUCUUAGAGACUUUUUUUGGAGAAGUUGCAAUUUGUCCGAUCGCCUUCAUCAUGGUUUCCGGCGGAGCACUGGUCGAGGGCCACGAGAUCCGCCUCGGUGCGCUCACUUUCAUCACCAACGACUCCGCUUGGCUCCAGGAGGCACCACUCGACAUCGACGCGCUCGCCGUCCGCGGGACGACGCACUUUCGGGCGUGUGUCCGCGGUGUCUUGCUGCGACAGCCGUCGACUCCAUACCGAUCGACUACUGCGCCGUCCUCCCUCCCUGUCUCCCACCAGCGCAAGCGCUCUGGUCGGUCGAGGCUCCAGCGAUGGGUGAGGCACGCAGUGGCUCGCCAAUCGGCCACCACACAAGUCGCGGCGAUUGAGCCCGACGAAUCUCUCUACGGCCUGUUCGACCUGUCGACUGGCUCCAUAGGGACUGCAUCCGAGUGCGAUAGCAGUGACCCAGCAGCGGAGGUCCUGAUGGUCAACGGGCCCCGUAGUCCUCCCGGUUUCCCCCGCGGCGAUGGGAUGGACGACGAGGACGACCCCGCUCAAGCCCAUGAAGAGUACCAACCCGAGCCGCUCACUUCCCAGCAGAGAGAAGAACUUCGCCGCCGGAACAUGGAAGCCCUGCAUACUCCCAUAGCAGGAGAAACACCUGAGGCUCGCACCCUGGAAGAGGCGCGUUUAGCCAACCUGGCUGAACGCACUCGACUGGAGAACCUUCAGCGAGCACUCGACGAGCGUGCGCGUCAGCGAGCGACUAACUCCAAUCGAUGUCAGCUCUUUCUGCAACCAACUCAGGUAUAUCGAACCCCAAUUCAAAAUUUGGCAGCUGCAGCCCGCAUAGCGGAGUCAAUUCAGCCCUCUCAGUCAGAGGCUGGAAGAGGCUUGAUGCAGAUCAGAGAUUUGCUCCGGGCGGCAGGAGAUCAGAAUUCAGCUGUGUCACAGUCACGUAACAGGAUUCACAGUCGAUCUGUCGCUGUGAAUACUGUUCAGUCGGCUCACAGUCCAAGGUCGCCUCCGAGGCGCAUGGGACGUGAAGGCCGGCAGGACCACUAUGAUGACCGAUUUGAUCGCGAUGACAGGCGUCGAGUGCCCACUCCUCCUCCGAGAAGUGGGUCUAACGCCCAUCGGCAGCAAGAUGACAGACGCCAGCUCAGUGUCGGGCGGAGAGCUCCAACCGACCCCAGAGGGCCAGGCUUUGACGCGAGAUCCAUCAUCGUGCAAGGUUUGGUUGACCGAAACAGAGCUCAUAGAGGUGGUCAUGACAGAGAUGUGCCUACAAGCAGCCGAGUCCACGUUUCAGGUCCAGAAUGUUUUAGCAGAGCGAUCAGAGCCGCAGUGAUACCCCCCAACUUCAGGUUGGCGACUGGGGUGAGUAAGUUCACCAGAGAGUCUAAGCCUGAAACUUGGCUCGAAGACUACCGAGUGGCUGUUCAGAUUGGUGGCGGUAAUGAUGAGGUGGCCAUGAAACAUUUGCCACUUAUGCUAGAGGGUUCAGCCAGGGCAUGGUUGAAUCAGUUAGCUCCCAGUAGCAUUUACACCUAGGAAGAUCUUUCUUGAGUGUUCGUCAGAACGUUUGAGGGAACUUGCAAGUGACCUACUGGAUUGACUGAGCUACAAGUUUGUGUACAAAACUCGAGUGAAACACUGAGGGAUUACAUCCAGAGGUGGAUCACUUUGCAUCACACUGUAGAGAAUGUGUCGGACCAUCAAGCGGUUUGCGCCUUCAAAGAUGGCGUCAAGAACAGAGAGUUGAGCCUGAAGUUUGGUCGAACUGGAGACAUGACCCUGAGUCGGAUGAUGGAAAUAGCCACCAAGUACACCAAUGGCGAAGAAGAGGACCGACUCCGGAGCGGCAAGUACAAGCCGAGUCAGUCGGAUAAAGGAAACCCUAGUCGGAAGCAAAAGCGGAAGGAGGGUAAUGAUGUGAUGGACCUGCCGUGUCAUAUCCACACGAAGAAAGACGAAGAGGGUAACUUCAUCUACCCAAAGCAUACCACUCGCCAGUGUCGGCUCUUAAUCCAGCAGUUCCAAGGGAAACAGCCGAAGGACAAAGAGGAGUCAGACAAGGCUGAGGACAAGCAGGACAGUGAUGGAGAGUACCCUCAUGUCAACUCCACUCUGAUGAUUUUUGCUGAUGUAGAGAGCAAAAUUCGACUGAAAGUGAUCAACCGUGAAGUCAAUAUGGUCGCACCGGCAACACCAAACUAUCUGAGAUGGUCACAAAAUCCCAUUACUUUCGACCAGUCAGACCAUCCUACUCAUAUUGCCACCCCUGGGAGGCAAGCACUCGUGGUCGACCCGAUCGUCGAAGGCACUCGACUGACAAAGGUAUUGAUGGAUGGCGGCAGCGGGUUGAACAUACUGUAUGCAGAGACGCUCAAGGGAAUUGGCAUUCCGAUGUCCAGGCUCAGUUCCAGCAACAUGAGUUUUCACGGAGUCAUCCCAGGAAAGAAGGCUGAGUCACACGGCCAAAUAGCUCUGGAUGUGGUGUUCGGCGACUCGAAGCAUUUCCGCAAAGAGAAGCUGACAUUUGAAAUCGUGGAUUUCCAGAGCGCCUACCACGCUAUCUUGGGAAGACCAGCCUACAUCCGCUUCAUGGCUCGACCAUGUUACGUGUACCUCAAGUUAAAGAUGCCUGGCCCCAAAGGCGUGAUCACCGUCACUGGUAACCGGAAGAAAGCAGAAGAGUGUUUCCAGAAAGGCUCAAAGAUUGCGGAUGACCAGAUAACAGUGAUAGAGCUAGAGGGAUACAAGAAGAACACAGAUCCGAGUGAUUUACUGCGGGCCAAGAAGCCCGCCAAAGAGUCAGCAUUUCAGUCGUCCGGUGAGACGAAGCCAGUUCACAUCCACCCGACUGACCCCAAUGCAGCUUCGACCCAUAUUUCCACUACACUCGACUCUAAAUAGGAAGAAGCGCUCAUCCAGUUCCUCCGUGAGAACUGGGACAUCUUCGCAUGGAAGCCAGCUAACAUGCCAGGUGUUCCCAGGGGACUGGCUGAGCAUCGCCUUAGAGUCGAUUCAAAGGCAAAACCUGUUAAAGAACAUCUUCGAUGGUCCGCCGUUCAGAAGAAAAAAGCCAUUGGCGAAGAGGUGGCUCGACUCCUUGCAGCAGAGUUCAUCCGAGAGAUAUACCACUCCGAGUGUCUCGCCAAUGUCGUUAUGGUUCCCAAAAAUGACAAUUCCCUUCGUAUGUGCAUUGAUUUCAAACAUAUCAAUCGGGCCUGCCCGAAAGAUCAUCCCUCGCAUCGACCAAAUUGUCGACUCGACCGCAAGGUGCGAGAGAUUGUCUUUUCUAGACACAUCAGAUCCGUCUAUAUGGGCCCGACGAAAUCAAAACAGCUUUCAUCACCCCAUUCGGGUGCUUCUACUAUAUCACAAUGCCAUUCGGCCUCAAGAAUGCCGGAGCCACGUUCAUGAGAAUGAUUCAAAAGUGUUUACUCACUCAAAUCAGUCGGAAUGUGGAAGCAUACAUGGACGAUAUCGUGGUCAAGUCGCGAAAGGGUUCCGACCUGUUGACUGACUUAGCUGAAACAUUUGCCAAUCUCAGGAGGUAUGAUAUCAAGCUCAAUCCUUCAAAGUGCACAUUCGGAGUACCUGGCGGGAAGUUACACGGUUUUCUCGUUUCCGAACGAGGAAUCGAUGCUAACCCAGAAAAAGUGGGUACCAUACACCGAAUGAAACGCCCUGUGCGUGUGCACGAUGUCCAGAAGCUUACUGGAUGCUUGGCCGCGUUAAGUCGAUUCAUCUCUCGCCUCGGUGAGAAGGCGUUGCCCCUUUACCGACUGAUGAAGAAGGCAGACAAGUUCGAGUGGACUCCAGAAGCUGAUGCAGCAUUUGCCGAGUUAAAAACUCUGCUCUCCACCCAGCCGGUGCUUGCUGCUCCAAUCAACAAAGAGCCUUUGUUGCUUUAUAUUGCAGCCACAGGACAAGUCAUCAGUACAGUACUUACGGUCGAGCGGGAAGAAGAAGGGAAAGCCUUCAAAGUUCAGCGCCCAGUGUAUUACCUCUCUGAAGUUUUGACCCCAUCGAAGCAAAGAUAUCCUCAUUAUCAGAAGCUCGUAUAUGGGAUCUACAUGACCAUGAAGAAGGUUGCUCAUUAUUUCUCUGAUCAUGACAUUACAGUCGUCAGCGACGCACCAUUGUCAGAGAUUCUGCACAACAGAGAUGUAACUGGUCGAGUGGCUAAAUGGGCGAUUGAACUCCUUCCCCUUGAUAUCAAAUUCGAGGCAAAGAAAGCCAUUAAGUCCCAGGCCAUAGCAGAUUUCCUUGCCGAGUGGAUUGAACAGCAGCAGCCGAUUCAAGUUCACUCGGAGCAUUGGACCAUGUUCUUUGAUGGCUCUAAGAUGUUAAAUGGUUCUGGUGCUGGCGUAGUUUUGGUUUCUCCCCGAGGAGAUAAGCUCAGAUAUGUGCUCCAGAUCCACUUUGAUUCCUCCAACAAUGAAGCAGAAUAUGAAGCACUAUUGUAUGGGUUGUGCAUGGCCAUUUCACUCGGCGUCCGUCGCCUUAUGGUUUACGGUGACUCAGAUUUGGUGGUCAAUCAGGUGAUGAAGGAGUGGGACGUUAGAAGCCCAGCCAUGACUGGAUACUGCAAUGCAGUGAGGAAGCUUGCAAAGAAAUUCGAAGGGUUAGAACUCCAUCACGUUCCCCGACUGAAAAAUCAAGCAGCCGAUGACUUGGCGAAGAUAGGUUCCAAGAGGGAAGCCAUUCUGAGUGGCAUGUUUUUGGAACAUGUCUACACACCAUCGGUUCAAGAGGAUCCUUUCACUGAAGAAGCCCUGCAGCCUAAAAGCACCACAGAUCCGACUGAAGUCGAGGUCCCAGCGGUGGACGACUUAAUCAUGGAAGUUUUGGUCAUCACUCCCGGUUGGACAGUGCCCUAUAUCACCUAUAUUUUGAGGAAGGAACUCCUCGAGAAUGAAGACGAAGCUCGAGAGAUCGUCCGCCGGUCCAAAGCCUUCACCGUCAUGAGAGGUCAGUUAUACAGAGAAAGUGCAACUGGAGUCAGCCAGAAAUGUAUAACACCAGAGGAAGGUCGAAUGAUUCUCAACGACAUCCACUCGGGGACCUGUGGCCAUCAUGCGUCUUCUCGGACCAUCGUGGCCAAAGCAUACCGAGCUGGUUUUUAUUGGCCCAGAGCGAAUGAAAUGGCGAAGGGGAUAGUCGACAAGUGUGAGUGGUGUCAAUUUUACUCCAAUAUGUCACACAAGCCCGCGUCAGCUUUGAAGACUAUACCACUCGUCUGGCCCUUCGCAGUGUGGGGUUUGGAUAUGGUCGGUCCUGUCACAUCCCUAGCUGCUGGUAGUGCUCUAGGCUAGCUUCAUGUGUGCAUCAUGUCUAUAUUUUCGAAACUUGAACUGAGGAAUUUUGGAAGCCUCAAAAACUUAAAUAAAAGAGGGGCAAAAACCCUAGAAAUCUCAUUCAUUGCUCCAAAAUGCUCUUCUUAAAUGUUUGAUAAUUUUUGGUAAGGGUUCUGGUCCCAACCAAAAUAUUGAACAUUUUUAAGGAAUUAUUUUUGGGACUUUGGAUUUAAUUCAUUAGCUAUUUGAAUUUGAAUUAUAUUCAUAUAAUUAGAAUAUAAUUUCAAAUACCCCUGAAACAUUUUUAUGUGCUUUUGGAAAAGUCCAUUAAGCAGCAUAAAUAUUUUCAGAGGAGUUUUUGGCAUUGUUUGAAUUAUUUUUAAAUUCAAAACAGUGGCAAAACAGAGUAAAUUAAAUAAAACAAAACAGAUAUAAAAGAGAGAGAGAGAAGGAAGUUACCCGGCCUCACCCGUGCAGCCCACCAGAGCCGGCCCAGCUCCUGUGCUGGUCCAGCGCUGUGCGGCCCAGCCCACCUCCUCCUCCCUGUCGCCUUCCUCCUCGCGCCAGUAGGCAGAGGAGGGACUCGGCGCACGCGCCCGAGCUCGCCACGCCACCACCCUGCUCGUCUGCAUCGCCUGAGGCCACCACGACGCCUCGCGCCUUCUCCUCGGCGCCGCCUCGACCCCUGGAACCCUCCCGCUCACUCCCUCGUCCCCAUCUCCUCCUCUGUUCUUUCUCUCGCACGCACCCGAGAGCGACCGUCGCCGCCGCUUGCUGCUGCCGCGGCCACCACCGCCCCCUCGCUUCUCUGACCAGCCCACGAGCUCCGCCUAGAACCCGAGCGCCUCUCCGCCGACCCACGCAAGGCCAGAGGACCCCAAGACGACGCCGCGACCCUUCUUCCCCGACCACGGCCGCCGGAUGCCACCGCCCGAUUCGUCGUCCACAGGGCCUCCCUGAGCUCGCCGUCUUCUUCAUACGACUCCCUGUGAGCCCCUCUCCCUUUCCCUUCAUACCCCGCGGUGGAUUUGGUUCGCUAGCUCGAUUCCCGCCAUCACCGAGAGCUUCUCGCCGCCGUGCUCGUCACUGCCAGCGCUAGCAAGCUCCGACGACCAAACCGAGCUCGCAGACUACUUCCGUGUGCUGUGUAGAUGCCGCUGCGCUGCUCAGCUCCCUCGCCCGCGAGCUCUAGCCCUCUCAGCCGCAACCACCGAACUCCGGCCGCCGCCGCAAGCUCCGCUCCGGCGAGUGCUGACCACCCCGCGUCCUUCCGUCACCUCCUCCGGAUGCGCACGAGCGCUAGGAACCCACAGAGCCUCUCCGCGCGGCGUUUGGCCGCCGGAGCAAGAAACCCGAAGGCCUCCGCCGUCUCGGCCUCGCCGGCGUCAAGCCGCCGGCAGGUUAGGCCCUGCUGACCAGGGGUUUGACCCCCCCCUGUUAAUUAGUUUAGUUUAUUUUAAUUUAUUUAGCCACUGUUUCACUGCCAUGUGGGCCCGAGGCCCUGCUAAUUUGGUUAAGGUACUAAUUAAGUUUUAGCUAACCCACUGACCCACUGACUGUGGGCCCCAGCCCUUCUAAUUACGUUAGUUAAGAAUUAACUAAACCCUGAUUAAGUCCUGUGUCACUGACGUGUGGCCCCCACACGUCAGGUUUGACCCGAGCCAGCCCAGUUGACUCUGCUGACGUCAUAGUGACGUGGUGCUGACGCCAUAAAUCAUUUCUGGAUUUAUUAUUAUUUCAGGAAUUCCAGAAAAUGCCCUAAACUUCAAUAAAUCAUAGAAAUUCAACCGUAGCUCCAAAUUAAAUAAUUUAUAUAUGAAAAAUUAUCAGAAAAAUUCAAGGAAUCCAUCUGUACCAUUUUCAUGCAUGUUAGAACAACUUAUAGCUGCUGUUUAGCACAAAUCAUAUAAAUGGCAUCUGAAUAAUCACAUAUGGAGUUUGAAUUUGAAUCUUAUAUUCAAACCAACUUCAUUUAAUCUGUUGCUAGUUGCAUUAGCUCAAAACACAUUCAUAUUGCCAUGUCAUGAGCAUGCAUCAUAUUGUGCAUUGCAUUGAUUGUAUUUCUUCUUUGUUGCCGGUAAUUGUCCCCUCUCGAUAGACGUGUACCGACGAUGUGAUCGAUGACACCGAUGAAGAGCUAUAUUAUCUUCAGAAGUGCCAGGCAAGCAAAACCCCCUUGUUCAUUCCGAUACAAUCCCACUCUCUCGCUCCUGCUCUCUUUUACUGCAUUAGGACAACAACGAUUCAACUGUUACUUGCUGCGGUAGCUGAACCCCUCUAUCCUUUGCAUGACCUGUCAUUGCCACAGUAAAUAGAUGAAACCCACUAGCAUGAGUAGGAGUUGUUUGAGCCCUGAUGUGCCUACUCAUUUAUGUUUGUUGUCAUGCCUGCUACUGCUUAGAGUUGAGUCGGGUCUGAUUCAUCGGGGAUGAAUCAGAGGCGUGUGAACCUGUCCUACUGUGUGUGAGCUAAGUGUGUGAACACGAUUUGGUAAAGGUAGCGGUGAGAGGCCAUGUAGGAGUACAUGGUGGGUUGUCUCAUUGCAGCUGUCCUCAGGAACUGAGUUCUGUGUUUGUGAUCCAUGACCAGUUACUACCACACAUUGGGUUCCGGUAACUCGACCCCUCUCGACUUAUUAAUCAACAUGAUCUCUGUCCAGGAGUUGCAACUAGUUUCUGGUGUUUGUAGGUAGUGUUAGUAGUCUACCAAGUGGCACCCGGUACAGGUGGGCUUGGGACAGACUAGGCACAGUGGCACGGUGUACCAAGUGGCACCCGGAUGGUGGGCUUGGGAACCCUGCUCACAUCGUUUGGGGCCGUGAGCACACCCCGGCCGGAUCUCCUUGCGGAUGGAACCCGAAUAGGCGAUAAACCUGGACUAGAGACUUGUUCGGUUAGUCAGGUCGUGGCCGACUCCCUCGCCCGGCUUCCGCUUGAAGGUUGCCGAGGUACAUGACGUGUACAGGGCGGUAAGUGGCGAGAGCGUGUGUGAAGAAGUACACCCCUGCAGGGUUAACAUCAUCUAUUCGAAUAGCCGGAUUCCUCGGAUAUGGAAACUUGGACCCCUUGUACAGUUCAUAGACUAGUGAAAGUGGAUACUCUAAAAUACGCAAGAUAAGCGUGAGUGCUAUGGAUGGCGUUCUCGUAGGGAGACGGGAGCGGAUCCAUAGUGGUGUAUUGAUAUGGUGAAUAUGUGGACUCGUGUGCGCCACCUCAAAAGAGUUACUUGCAGUCGUAGUUUAGGAUAGCCACCGAGUCAAAGCUGGCUUGCUGCAGUUAAACUCCACCACCCCCUUUGUUGAUAAUGAUGCAUAUGUAGAUAGAUCUGAUGUAAGUCUUGCUGGGUACAUUUGUACUCACGUUUGCCUAUUUUAUGUUUUUGCAGAGAGACUUCAGUCUCACUAGUAGUUCCGCUUGGACUUCGACGUUUAGCUUGUUACCUCAGCUACGAUCUUGUGCCCUCGGCAGGAUCUGGUAGAUAGUCAGGCUUCUCAGCCUUUUUCAUUUCUAGAUGUCUGUACUCAGACAUGUUAAGCUUCCGCAUGUGCUUUGAUUUGUAUGCUCUAAGUGUUGGGUCAUGAGACCCAUGAUUGUAAUAUCCCGCUCCUCGGAGCCUAUUGAAUAAACUACUUGAGUCGUAGAGUCAUUUUGUGAUGCCAUGUUGUAUUGCACAUAUCGAGCAUAUUGUGUGUAUGUUAUUGAAAUGCUUGGUAUGUGUGGGAUCUGACAACCUAGUUGUUUAUCCUUGGUAGCCUCUCUUACCGGGAAAUGUCUCCUAGUGUUUCCACUGAGCCAUGGUAGCUUGCUACUGCUCCGGAACACUUAGGCUGGCCGGCAUGUGUCCUUCUUCGUUCCUGUGUCUGUCCCUUCAGGGAAAUGUCAUGCGAUGAAUACCGGAGUCCUGUUAGCCCGCUACAGCCCGGUUCACCGGAGUCCUGCUAGCCCAGUGCUACAGCCCGGAUUCACUCGCUGAUGACCGACACGUUCGAUGUUGGGUCAUGGAUGCCUGUCCCUGUAAGUUAGUGCCACUUUGGGUUUACGACUAGCCAUGUCAGCCCGGGCUCCUUAUCAUAUGGAUGCUAGCGACACUAUCAUAUACGUGUGCCAAAAGGCGCAAACGGUCCCGGGCAAAGGUAAGGCGACACCCGUGGGAAUACCAUGCGUGAGGCCGCAAAGUGAUAUGAGGUGUUACAUGCUAGAUCGAUGUGGCAUUGAGUCGGGGUCCUGACAGCGUUGGUAUCAGAGCUUGGCUGCCUGUAGGAUCACCAAGCCAAACUGGUCGAAGUUGAGUCUAGAAAUUCUUUAGUUAUAUAAGGGAAUUGAUUGUGGGAUGGAACGUAAGGCUCUUUUUACUCCUUAUACCUUAUGCCUUCUGAUCUGAGUCAUCUUAUCUUUCCUGCAGGGAUUAAGAACUAGGCUAUCUUUUCUUUCUAUCAGGAUCACGUGUUACUAAUCCGUAGACUUAUAGAUUGUUGGACUUAAGCCUCGUUUCAGUUCCUACUACUUCUGUAUGUUAAUUAUUGAUCUCGAGACCUUGAUAUUGUGCUUCUGAGUGGCUAUGCCACCAUUUUUGUGAAUGUCUCAAAUCUUUUCUGAGCAUUUACAGCCGUUAUGCUGUCCGAGUCAUUCCAGGUUUCUAAAUAGUCUGAUGCAUUUGCAAAAUCCUUUCCCUCUGGUUUCGAUGUUCCUUUAUGCCAGCUCAAUCACACUAAUUGUUGAGUUGAGGUAUUCUAUUGCCUUGACAUUAUGUUGGAGUUACUAUUAUGACCCUAGGUGUCUCAGGGGAUCAUCUAGUAGUCUAGCCAUGAUUUAUGUUCCAGUGUGAUGACUCUGGCCGUCAUUAUCGAAAGCAUCCCGUGAUGCCAUUUAGUAGUAGGUAUUCUAUCCCUGGGAUUUGAACCCGAGAUUCACCCUACUUGCUUCAUGUUGAUAGUUUUGCUCGUUCCUUUAGGUUAUUAGUAACCUUUGCAUUAGUCCUCGAUGUUCGUGGUAUUCCUUUCUUCCAAAUACUAUGAACCGCUUAUGGCAGAUGUUCCUCGCUGAUCGAAAGAUCACAAUCAGAGUGCUCUCGAUGGGUUCUCGAUUCUACAUUGUGACUCUGCCAGUUCUACCUUUUGGCAUGGGUUAUCCGGAAGAAAUUGUGGAAUUCAUUCGACAUGCUAAACCAUGCAUCCACAACUCAGAAAAUCGUAUGUUCCUUUGAGUUGUCCCUCUUUAGUUGUCUUCUGACCCUCGUCUAUCAAUUGAUAGUCAAGAGUAUGCGUGCAUUCGUUCGUCGAUGCCUAUUACCCUUGUGGUCCGCCAAGCCAUUCUAUUUCAGAAUGAAUAGGAGAAACAAACUCCAGUACCUCAUCCAUAUUUAGGAUUGGGUCAAAGUAGUUGUGUUCCACAGAUCAAGUUACAAUCCAGCUUCUGGUCUGCUCUACCCUGAAGUAUUACCUUCUUUAUGACAGGAAUUUCAUGAGAAUUGCACCACCUUUUGUGAAUUCUUGACAUAGUGAUACUUCUCGCCAUCCUUUUUCAUUCCUCGGUUCCGUGUUGUUGCAGCCGGAGUGCCGACAAGUGAAUCAUGAUGUGUGAACUCAAUACUCCUAGCAACCCCAUUGCUUGGUAGUUAAUGGACAAUAAUCUUAUUCUUAGUAUGUUGGUUAUUGAAUCACCAUUCUAAGAUUGAUUGUGCUACCUAGUCCUUAUUUCCUGGUGCACUCUUUGAUUGAUGAGUUAGGAUUUUGUCAAGUCCUCGCUCAUUUGAUCAUAUCAUCUUGCCCUGAAAAGCAAGAUUGUUCUCGAGCUUAGUAACAUAUCGGUGGUUCGUGAUUUCCGAAGAUCUUCUCGGAAGUAUUACCAGGUUGUCACCUGACCGCUAUGUUGAGCUCGUGAUCAAGUUGGUUUCUUGUGAACCACCUUCUCUCCAAGAAUCGGUGUUAGAUAUCCCUGAGCUAGUUGGUUAAGCUAAACGACAACUUGGAGGGUUGGAAGAUAAAAGCUUGCCUGACUUAGUUCGUUCCAAAGGGAUAUUCUUGUGUAGUGUGUGUUGAAGAAAGAUGAUAUCUUCAUCGAUUGGUCCCUGUGAUCAGUUGCUGGACCUAUCGUCUUAUCAAUCCUUUGAUUUGAGUGUGGGCUAUCGUCAAAUCAAGUCAGAACCAACGAUGUUCGUAAUGUUGUCUUCCUCGUGGUUGUUCCCUCGAGCAUGCACCAUUAUAUCUUUUGGGUCUGACCAAUGCUAUCACCGUGUUCACACGAUGGUGGAAGUCCAGUGAUAUGGAAAUUCCGAUGAGUUGUUGUUGAGUCCAUUGACAACAUCCUUAUCUCCUCCAUGAUGUUGUUGAACAUUAAGUUAGUGUUGGAAACUUUUGAAAGCAUUUUCUUCAUGCUAGCUCAUGAAGUACUUGUUUGAUGAAAGGAGUGACUUCCUUUGAUUCACGUGCAUUUUGAUGUAAGCUGCCGUCGUGAAUUCGAGAAAGGUUGUUUUUGCUCCUCUGGAAUCAUCCCAAGUCAGUCAUGCAUGUGCAAAGUAUACUAUGGUUUGGUAGAUUAAUUACCUCCACUCCAUAUGUAUUCCUAGCACACCAAGCCACUGAUUGAGUUGUUCAAAGAUAAAGGAGUCUGUCCAAGGUGAACUCCUUGGACUUCCACGCGUGGAGACUUCGAUGUCAUUAAUGAUGGUUCCCCACCUGAACUCGGUAGUGUUUUAUUAUAAGACUACUUUGUGGUCAUGCUUGUCUGGAACAACGUGUUCACAUGUUUGUAGCAGAACCAGCUCAUGUUUUGGAGCUUGCUAUCGUAGUUCAUAUCCCGAGAAUUCCGCAACGUCAUCUCGUCAAUUUGUGUUGCAAACUUCCGUUUUUCUUCCUAGACUCGAUGAGUCUGGAAUAUCCUGACACCAACCAGAUCUGAAUCUGAGGCAGAUAUAAUGGUUGGAACAUUUCCCAAGAACUAUAAUACUGGUCCCUCGAUAACCGGUAAAGUGGAUGUCAUGGCCAACACACCCAGCCGGAAGACCUAUUAUUGUAGUAUCCUGAUUGAAUAAGUUGGCCACCUCCCCAUAAGGAUUUCGUAGGAUUUACCUCCCUAGUUGUUCCUUAUGGAUUCUUGUGCUCCCGAAGUCCGACCUUUACUUGAUGUUCUAGAUACCAGACCAUUUCUAUGAAUGGGUUACACUAGCACAUCAAGGAGAACAUUAGAAGCGGAGUGCUAAAUGUCUCUCGAUCGAUCAUCCAGAUUUUGUUCCUUGGCUUCGCCAAGGGUGAAAUCUGAGAAGGUGUUAUCUUCCUCUGCAUCUGCAUCCUCCAUCACCAUUCAUCAUGGUAGCAAGUUGUGUUGCCAGGAUCCUUGACACGGAUGUUGGUAAAACCUUGAUGAUUAUGGAAUUGCUCAAGUUCUUGAGAGCACGCGCAAGUGCUAGGUUUGAUCGUCGGCAUUAACUGUAUAGCGCUCUCAGUUUCCUCGGUUAUGCUAUAACCAUACCAAUAGUGGAAUAACUCUCUACUGUUGAGCCUCUCCCUAGUUACCAGAAUCAUUCCCAGCAUUUGCAUUUUGUUCCCAGCUUGCACCGCCAAUGUGUCAUUCUACCAUGGGUCUCUUCCAUUUCCGGUGAUAAGCAAAUUCAUCCAUUACGUUGUCUUUAACAAGGUAAUCCACAUCAUCCAUGUUUGAGUAUGCCAUUCUACCGACCCCCUCCAAACGAUCGCUCGAGAAUUGUCUUAGGCUGGUUUAAAGAGUUUCAAUGAUCUCUGAAUCAAAAGUAAUUCUUUUUGCCACUUAAGGGAAUAUCUCUACGAGUCACCUUCCCUAAGGUGUAUCGUUAUGGUAUCAUGGCAACUCAACUCCUCGCUACGUUGACAAUCGUUUAGCACCUUCUUAAACGUGAAAUUGUUGUCUACCUAGUGAACCUUCGUCAUCCGUUUCUGCCCACCCCUCUUGAUGUGUAUCUCGUGUCUCAACCCGAGAGAUGGUCCUAUGUCUCAUUCCGUGAGUUGUUCGAUCUUCGAGAAGAUCGACCCUUCUAGAGUCUCCUUCUUCCCUCCAUGUCAUGUUGGCAGGAUUUCUCAGAGCAAGACAUCAAGACAAUGAUGGUGAAUGAAUCAACGUUCAACUGAAGUGCACCCUGGAUCGUGAAGAUUAUACUAGUUGCGUUUACCCUUCACCUUACCCUACGCUUGAAUCUCGAGACGAGAUUCUUGUUUAGUGGGGGUGAGUUGUCACAUCCCUAGCUGCUGGUAGUGCUCUAGGAUAGCUUCAUGUGUGCAUCAUGUCUAUAUUUUCGAAACUUGAACUGAGGAAUUUUGGAAGCCUCAAAAACUUAAAUAAAAGAGGGCAAAAACCCUAGAAAUCUCAUUCAUUGCUCCAAAAUGCUCUUCUUAAAUGUUUGAUAAUUUUUGGUAAGGGUUCUGGUCCCAACCAAAAUAUUGAACAUUUUUAAGGAAUUAUUUUUGGGACUUUGGAUUUAAUUCAUUAGCUAUUUGAAUUUGAAUUAUAUUCAUAUAAUUAGAAUAUAAUUUCAAAUACCCCUGAAACAUUUUUAUGUGCUUUUGGAAAAGUCCAUUAAGCAGCAUAAAUAUUUUCAGAGGAGUUUUUGGCAUUGUUUGAAUUAUUUUUAAAUUCAAAACAGUGGCAAAACAGAGUAAAUUAAAUAAAACAAAACAGAAAUAAAAGAGAGAGAGAGAAGGAAGUUACCCGGCCUCACCCGUGCAGCCCACCAGAGCCGGCCCAGCUCCUGUGCUGGUCCAGCACUGUGCGGCCCAGCCCACCUCCUCCUCCCUGUCGCCUUCCUCCUCGCGCCAGUAGGCAGAGGAGGGACUCGGCGCACGCGCCCGAGCUCGCCACGCCACCACCCUGCUCGUCUGCAUCGCCUGAGGCCACCACGACGCCUCGGGCCUUCUCCCCGGCGCCGCCUCGACCCCUGGAACCCUCCCGCUCACUCCCUCGUCCCCAUCUCCUCCUCUGUUCUUUCUCUCGCACGCACCCGAGAGCGACCGUCGCCGCCGCUUGCUGCUGCCGCGGCCACCACCGCCCCCUCGCUUCUCUGACCAGCCCACGAGCUCCGCCUAGAACCCGAGCGCCUCUCCGCCGACCCACGCAAGGCCGGAGGACCCCAAGACGACGCCGCGACCCUUCUUCCCCGACCACGGCCGCCGGAUGCCGCCGCCCGAUUCGUCGUCCACAGGGCCUCCCUGAGCUCGCCGUCUUCUUCAUACGACUCCCUGUGAGCCCCUCUCCCUUUCCCCUCAUACCCCGCGGUGGAUUUGGUUCGCUAGCUCGAUUCCCGCCAUCACCGAGAGCUUCUCGCCGCCGCGCUCGUCACUGCCAGCGCUAGCAAGCUCCGACGACCAAACCGAGCUCGCAGACUACUUCCGUGUGCUGUGUAGAUGCCGCUGCGCUGCUCAGCUCCCUCGCCCGCGAGCUCUAGCCCUCUUAGCCGCAACCACCGAACUCCGGCCGCCGCCGCAAGCUCCGCUCCGGCGAGUGCUGACCACCCCGCAUCCUUCCGUCACCUCCUCCGGAUGCGCACGAGCGCUAGGAACCCACAGAGCCUCUCCACGCGGCGUUUGGCCGCCGGAGCAAGAAACCCGAAGGCCUCCGCCGUCUCGGCCUCGCCGGCGUCAAGCCGCCGGCAGGUUAGGCCCUGCUGACCAGGGGUUUGACCCCCCCUGUUAAUUAGUUUAGUUUAUUUUAAUUUAUUUAGCCACUGUUUCACUGCCAUGUGGGCCCGAGGCCCUGCUAAUUUGGUUUAGGUACUAAUUAAGUUUUAGCUAACCCACUGACCCGCUGACUGUGGGCCCCAACCCUUCUAAUUACGUUAGUUAAGAAUUAACUAAACCCUGAUUAAGUCCUGUGUCACUGACGUGUGGCCCCCACACGUCAGGUUUGACCCGAGCCAGCCCAGUUGACUCUGCUGACGUCAUAGUGACGUGGUGCUGACGCCAUAAAUCAUUUCUGGAUUUAUUAUUAUUUCAGGAAUUCCAGAAAAUGCCCUAAACUUCAAUAAAUCGUAGAAAUUCAACCGUAGCUCCAAAUUAAAUAAUUUAUAUAUGAAAAAUUAUCAGAAAAAUUCAAGGAAUCCAUCUGUACCAUUUUCAUGCAUGUUAGAACAACUUAUAGCUGCUGUUUAGCACAAAUCAUAUAAAUGGCAUCUGAAUAAUCACAUAUGGAGUUUGAAUUUGAAUCUUAUAUUCAAACCAACUUCAUUUAAUCUGUUGCUAGUUGCAUUAGCUCAAAACACAUUCAUAUUGCCAUGUCAUGAGCAUGCAUCAUAUUGUGCAUUGCAUUGAUUGUAUUUCUUCUUUGUUGCCGGUAAUUGUCCCCUCUCGAUAGACGUGUACCGACGAUGUGAUCGAUGACACCGAUGAAGAGCUAUAUUAUCUUCAGAAGUGCCAGGCAAGCAAAACCCCCUUGUUCAUUCCGAUACAAUCCCACUCUCUCGCUCCUGCUCUCUUUUACUGCAUUAGGACAACAACGAUUCAACUGUUACUUGCUGCGGUAGCUGAACCCCUCUAUCCUUUGCAUGACCUGUCAUUGCCACAGUAAAUAGAUGAAACCCACUAGCAUGAGUAGGAGUUGUUUGAGCCCUGAUGUGCCUACUCAUUUAUGUUUGUUGUCAUGCCUGCUACUGCUUAGAGUUGAGUCGGGUCUGAUUCAUCGGGGAUGAAUCAGAGGCGUGUGAACCUGUCCUACUGUGUGUGAGCUAAGUGUGUGAACACGAUUUGGUAAAGGUAGCGGUGAGAGGCCAUGUAGGAGUACAUGGUGGGUUGUCUCAUUGCAGCNNNNNNNNNNNNNNNNNNNNNNNNNNNNNNNNNNNNNNNNNNNNNNNNNNNNNNNNNNNNNNNNNNNNNNNNNNNNNNNNNNNNNNNNNNNNNNNNNNNNNNNNNNNNNNNNNNNNNNNNNNNNNNNNNNNNNNNNNNNNNNNNNNNNNNNNNNNNNNNNNNNNNNNNNNNNNNNNNNNNNNNNNNNAUGACCAGUUACUACCACACAUUGGGUUCCGGUAACUCGACCCCUCUCGACUUAUUAAUCAACAUGAUCUCUGUCCAGGAGUUGCAACUAGUUUCUGGUGUUUGUAGGUAGUGUUAGUAGUCUACCAAGUGGCACCCGGUACAGGUGGGCUUGGGACAGACUAGGCACAGUGGCACGGUGUACCAAGUGGCACCCGGAUGGUGGGCUUGGGAACCCUGCUCACAUCGUUUGGGGCCGUGAGCGACACCCCGGCCGGAUCUCCUUGCGGAUGGAACCCGAAUAGGCGAUAAACCUAGACUAGAGACUUGUUCGGUUAGUCAGGUCGUGGCCGACUCCCUCGCCCGGCUUCCGCUUGAAGGUUGCCGAGGUACAUGACGUGUACAGGGCGGUAAGUGGCGAGAGCGUGUGUGAAGAAGUACACCCCUGCAGGGUUAACAUCAUCUAUUCGAAUAGCCGGAUUCCUUGGAUAUGGAAACUUGGACCCCUUGUACAGUUCAUAGACUAGUGAAAGUGGAUACUCUAAAAUACGCAAGAUAAGCGUGAGUGCUAUGGAUGGCGUUCUCGUAGGGAGACGGGAGCGGAUCCAUAGUGGUGUAUUGAUAUGGUGAAUAUGUGGACUCGUGUGCGCCACCUCAAAAGAGUUACUUGCAGUCGUAGUUUAGGAUAGCCACCGAGUCAAAGCUGGCUUGCUGCAGUUAAACUCCACCACCCCCUUUGUUGAUAAUGAUGCAUAUGUAGAUAGAUCUGAUGUAAGUCUUGCUGGGUACAUUUGUACUCACGUUUGCCUAUUUUAUGUUUUUGCAGAGAGACUUCAGUCUCACUAGUAGUUCCGCUUGGACUUCGACGUUUAGCUUGUUACCUCAGCUACGAUCUUGUGCCCUCGGCAGGAUCUGGUAGAUAGUCAGGCUUCUCAGCCUUUUUCAUUUCUAGAUGUCUGUACUCAGACAUGUUAAGCUUCCGCAUGUGCUUUGAUUUGUAUGCUCUGAGUGUUGGGUCAUGAGACCCAUGAUUGUAAUAUCCCGCUCCUCGGAGCCUAUUGAAUAAACUACUUGAGUCGUAGAGUCAUUUUGUGAUGCCAUGUUGUAUUGCACAUAUCGAGCAUAUUGUGUGUAUGUUAUUGAAAUGCUUGGUAUGUGUGGGAUCUGACAACCUAGUUGUUUAUCCUUGGUAGCCUCUCUUACCGGGAAAUGUCUCCUAGUGUUUCCACUGAGCCAUGGUAGCUUGCUACUGCUCCGGAACACUUAGGCUGGCCGGCAUGUGUCCUUCUUCGUUCCUGUGUCUGUCUCUUCAGGGAAAUGUCACGCGAUGAAUACCGGAGUCCUGUUAGCCCGCUACAGCCCGGUUCACCGGAGUCCUGCUAGAACCAGUGCUACAGCCCGGAUUCACUCGCUGAUGACCGACACGUUCGAUGUUGGGUCAUGGAUGCCUGUCCCUGUAAGUUAGUGCCACUUUGGGUUUACGACUAGCCAUGUCAGCCCGGGCUCCUUAUCAUAUGGAUGCUAGCGACACUAUCAUAUACGUGUGCCAAAAGGCGCAAACGGUCCCGGGCAAAGGUAAGGCGACACCCGUGGGAAUACCGUGCGUGAGGCCGCAAAGUGAUAUGAGGUGUUACAUGCUAGAUCGAUGUGGCAUUGAGUCGGGGUCCUGACAGGUCCUUUGAGAACAGGCAGAAGCGGUUUUACCCAUGUGCUGGUAGCAGUCGACUAGUUCCUAAGUGGAUCGAAGCUAAACCCAUCAAGAACCUCGAUGCCGGUACUGCUGUCAGCUUCAUCAGAGAAUUGAUAUUCAGAUAUGGGGUCCCGCACAGCAUCAUCACUGACAAUGGGUCAAACUUUGAUUCUGAAGAAUUCAGAGCUUUCUGCACAUCUCAAGGCACACGAGUCGACUAUGCUUCAGUCACCCAUCCACAGUCGAAUGGACAGGCAGAACGAGCCAACGGUUUGAUUCUCAAAGGGUUGAAGCCUCGUUUGAUGCGUGAUCUCAAGCAUGCGGCGGGUGCAUGGGUUGACGAACUUCCCUCGGUGCUUUGGGGGUUAAGGACCACACCCAACCGGUCGACUGGUAGAACUCCAUUCUUCUUGGUCUACGGAGCUGAAGCAGUCUUGCUGAGUGAUCUUCUCCACAACGCUCCCCCAGUCGAGCUCUACACCGAAGCUAGAGCAGAACAAGCGCGGCGGGACGCCAUCGACCUUUUAGAAGAAGAAAGAGAGAUGGCUCUGAUCAGAUCGACCAUUUAUCAACAAGACUUGCGUCGCUUCCACGCCAAAAACGUGAAGAGUCGAGCCUUCCAGGAAGGAGAUUUAGUUCUCCGAGUGGACCAGCAGAAACCACACAAGCUUGCUCCUUCUUGGGAAGGUCCCUUCAUCGUCACCAAGGUUCUCCACAAUGGAGCAUACCGUCUUUACAAUGUCGAGCAUCAGAUCAACGAGCCCCGAGCUUGGAACGCGGAGCUUCUCCGCCCCUUUUACACUUAAGUAUUCACUCGGAUGAGUUGUAAUAAAAGUACUCCUGUAGUUUAUUUAUCAAAGACAAGAGCUUUAUAGUUUUCCCAGUGAUUCUUAUUGCUUUUGUCCAUAUAAAACAAUCCCCCAGUGGGUGGCUUGACUGCGAAUCCGAUUCGCCCAAGUCUGUAAAAAAAAUCCUAACCGAGUGGCGAGCCAGUGUCCCACACGAAGGCUUAGCUGCGAAAUCCGUUUCGCCUAAGAUAAAUGAAAUCCUACCGAGUGGUAAGCCAGCCUUCCACUCGGAGGCUUAGCUGCAGUCCGAGUACUCGCCUAAGAUAAAUAAAAUCCUACUGAGUGGUAAGUCAGCCUUCCGCUCGGAGGCUUAGCUGCAGUCCGAGUACUCGCCUAAGAUAAAUAAAAUCCUACCGAGUGGUAAGCCAGCCUUCCACUCGGAGGCUUAGCUGCAGUCCAAGUACUCGCCUAAGAUAAAUAAAAUCCUACCGAGUGGUAAGCCAGCCUUCCACUCGGAGGCUUAGUAGCAGUCCAAGAACUCGCCUAAGUACAAGUACAACAUGCGUUCUGCAAGGAGGACGAGGUGCAGGUCGACUGCUACCCUCUCCUUCCGAGCUACGCCACCAAUUCAAAAAUCCUACCGAGUGGAGAGCAGACCUCCCACUCGGGGGCUUAGCUGCAGCCCAGUGCUCGCCUAAGUGUCUGAAACCCUACCGAGUGGAGAGCAGACCUCCCACUCAGGGGCUUAGCUGCAGCCCAGUGCUCGCCUAAGUGUCUGAAAUCCUAUCGAGUGGAGAGCAGACCUCCCACUCGGGGGCUUAGCUGCAGCCCAGUGCUCGCCUAAGUUUCUGAAAUCCUACCNNNNNNNNNNNNNNNNNNNNNNNNNNNNNNNNNNNNNNNNNNNNNNNNNNNNNNNNNNNNNNNNNNNNNNNNNNNNNNNNNNNNNNNNNNNNNNNNNNNNNNNNNNNNNNNNNNNNNNNNNNNNNNNNNNNNNNNNNNNNNNNNNNNNNNNNNNNNNNNNNNNNNNNNNNNNNNNNNNNNNNNNNNNNNNNNNNNNNNNNNNNNNNNUCCUACUCGGGGGCUUAGCUGCAGCCCAGUGCUCGCCUAAGUUUCUGAAAUCCUACCGAGUGGAGAGCAGACCUCCCACUCAGGGGCUUAGCUGCAGCCCAGUGCUCGCCUAAGUUUCUGAAAUCCUACCGAGUGGAGAGCAGACCUCCCACUCAGGGGCUUAGCUGCGGCCCAGUGCUCGCCUAAGUGUCUGAAAUCCUACCGAGUGGAGAGCAGACCUCCCACUCGGGGGCUUAGCUGCAGCCCAGCGCCCGCCCAAGUGUCUGAAAUCCUACCAAGUGGAGGGCAAACCUCUCGCUCGGGGACUUAGCUGCAGCCCAGAGCUCGCCUAAGUGAAUUGGGGAACAAGUCGAUGGCAAUAAGCGCUUCGCUUUAACCUGCAAAAGACGCCUCAAACCAAAUGCAAACAUAUUCAGCGAAGAACCCAAGUUCGGAUAACACCUAGCGGAACCGAAAGUGCUCAGGCGCUAGGCCUGUUAACGUUUGUCGGUUACAAAACUCACUCGGCAUACCGAGGCAAAUUUAAAGUAUCAAGCUCAGAAGAUUUUUACCCCUCCUGUGGAGGGCUGGAAGGUGCCACAAACUCGUCCAGAUCAAUUCCAUCUGCAAUCCGAGUGGCAGCGGCAAUGAAGGUCUCCAUGAAAGAUCUGAAAUCGUGCUUCUUGGUGUUGGCCACCCUAAGAGCCACUAGCUUGUCCUCUCGUGCAUCCUUGAAGUGAACACGGACCAGAGAUAGAGCAACAUCCGCGCCGCACCUGGCCGAAGACUUCUUCCACUCCUGCACUCGACUUGGGACCUCGUUCAGUCGAGUCAUCAGAGACUCGAGGUCGUUCUGGAGUGUCUCUCUUGGCCAGAGUGUUGUGUCGAUGUGGGAAGUUGCGACCUUCAGCCUUGCGAGAUAAUCGAUGACGGCAGCAACACGAGAUUCAAGUCGGAGCACGUUCAUGGCGACUUCAUCUUUCACAGGAGAGUUGAUGGGGUCCAGGUUUACUUCCAGUCGACCAGUCUCCUCUUCAAAGUUCUGACAAAAUUCUGCAAGCACAACCACCGAGUCAAGACAAACAGUCAGAGGUUACAAUUAAAAUAUUUGUUUGAUACAAAGGAUUACCUUCAACCAUGAGGAACAACUUCUUGGCGAGUCCACCCAGAUAAGCCUCUAGAUCAUUCUUCUUUCUCUUCAACUCGCUGGCCUUGUCAUUCAGGGUGGUCUUGUCGCUUUUCAGUCGAGUGACCUCCUGGUUGGCAGCAUCAAGAGCAGCUUUCAGAUUGGUGUUUUCUUCUUCAAGCUUAGUCACCGAAGCCAGCUUCUCAUCCACUAGCCUGGUCUUCUCUAAAGCAGUUUUUUGCAUCUCAGCCAAGUCAAGCUCUUGUUUCUUCAGGGUGUCCCUCACUUUGCCUACAAAGUUACAGUGAGAUUAGAUUCGGAAACAAGUGAGAGGCAAAGGCAGUCGUCAAAGGCCUCACCAAGCAUACCUUUAGCUUCCUCCUUCGCCUUCAUCAAGUUCUCUUGGGCCAGUUUCAGAUCGAGCUCGAGCUGAAUGUGUUUGGUCUCCAACUCAGUAUAACGAGCCGCAAGGUCACAUGAUUUCUACGAAGAAUCAAUCGACAGACGUCAAAGACAAUUCACUUCUGAGUGAGUAAGGAAAAAUCAUAGCGUUUCUAAGACUACGGUCGAAUGCAAACAUUCCACUAUAGUCUCGGGGACUACACCCAGUGGGUGCACUCAGCGUGCCCCCACUAGUUUCAUCAAGAGUUGACCAGUCGACCAACAAAAAAAAGAGGCAAUGUUCUUUAGACUAUAGUCGACUGCCAGCAGUCGACCACAGUCUCGGGGACUACACCCAGUGGGUGCACUCAGCGUGCCCCCACCGGUCUAUGAAUCUAUUCGACCUUGUCGAGUAAAGAAAAACUCAAAGCAUAAAGACUAUGGUCGACUGCCAGCAGUCCACCAUAGCCUUGGGGACUACACCCAGUGGGUGCACUCAGCGUGCCCCCACUAACCCGGAAUUCCAAUCGACACACCCACUGGGUGCAGGACAAACUCUGAGAAUUGCAGAAAGAAGAGUUUACAGAUAUCAUAUCCUAACAGAACAGGCAGUGACCGACUGACCUGAACAUUACCAUGAAGAGCUGAACUAGCGUCAUAGGCUGCCUGGCUAGCUUCUCGUAUCGCCUUCACUUGCUCCAUCAUGACCCCCACUUGGCGUAUCACUUCUCUAGCAGCACUGGCUUGGUCUUCUGGAACGGGGUAGGUGGAGAAAAGCGAGGGUUGAGCAGCACUCGACGACGAAGGGCGAGCACUCGUCAACGGCACCAUGAAGGUUACGGUGGGUCGAGUGACAUUGUCUCCCUCCACGACGAACGUCUCGGGUGCUGGCACAUCUCGAGUCACCUUGCGAGCAGGCGUUUUCUUGCUCCUCCUUUGCCUCGGUGGUUCUUCGUCGUCGUCGUCAGGAAGGUCAAUAACAAUGUUAGAUGAAGCUGCAAAAGGAAUCAAAAUUAGAGACAAUAAGUCAGUCGACUGAAAAUGGCAUCACAAGAAUCAUACCAGGUUGUGAGGUAGCAGCAUCCUCCAUCUCGUGGUCUUCAGCCUUGGUCGAAGUAUCAGAAGUAGCAGUGCUGCAGUUCUGGAAAUCAGUCGAUUGACCCAUGAGUCGACCAAGAGAAAGUUUACGAAACGGGGAAAACUCAAGACUACCAUUACCCUGAGAUAGUGGGGAUCACCUUCUUCAUCUUCGGCAAGACCUUCGCAGGUUUCGACGGUGCCACUCGAGACUGAUUUGGAGCUUUCUCAGUCGGCGCCGGAGAAGUAGUCCGAGGGCGCUUGGUCGACUGGGUAGCGGUCACAACCCCUUUACCACGCUCAGUCGCGGGGUCAUGAACAAGCUUCGAGUGUCUUUCCGAGCGGGGUGGUGCAACUUCCUCCUCCUCCUCCUCCUCUUCCUCCUCAUCAGAGUCGUCAGCCUCAUCAUCGUCGUCAGCAUCCGAAUCCCACUCCUCCGGGCUCUCGCCCCCACUUCCUUCCUCCUCCUCAAUCGGCGUCUGCGCUCCAUUGGGCAUCGAGUAUAACUCCGUGGUGGCCUGACAAGCAACAAAGCAAAAUGAAUAUCACUCGAUCAAUUCACAGCAAAGCAGAAUGGAUAAAACAAAAUUACACUUGGAGAUAAGCGGCCAUACCUUGUCCGGUGUAUAGGUACAGUCGAGUGGCGGGAUCCUCCUCGCUCCUUGAGGGUUGUCCUUGUUCCCUGUGAUGGUGGUCACCCACCUCUCCAGCGUGGCAUCGUCGACUGCCUCUGGAUGGACCCGAGUGGUGUCUUCGGUACCGCAGUACAGCCACAUCAGGUGGCCUCGGUACUGGAGCGGUUGGAUGUGCCGCCUAAGGAAGACUUCCAGAAGAUCCAUGCCCGUCACUCCGUCCCGAACGAGUUGGACCAUGUGCUCCACCAACAUUUUUACCUCGGCCUUCUCCUCAGGGAGCACCUUCAGAGAAGACGGUUUGUUCACUCGGUCCAUGGAGAACGGAGGGAGACCAGUCGACUGCCCCGGUGUCGACUCGUCUUGGCAGUAGAACCAAGUCGACUGCCACCCUCUGAUCGACUCAGGAAGGGUCAUGGCCGGGAAAGUGCUCUUAUUCCUCAACUGAAUCCCAAGACCCCCGCACAUCUAAAUGACCUUGGUCCUCUCAUCGUCCGGACUCGCCUUUUUCACUGUCUGUGAGCGACAGGUGAAUAUGUGCUUGAAGAGACCCCAGUGUGGACGACAAUGUCAGGACCCCGACUCGAUGUCACAUCGAUCUAGCCGGUAACACCUCAUAUCACUUUGCGGCCUCACGCACGGUAUCCCCACGGGUGUCGCCUUACCUUUGCCCGGGACCGUUUGCGCCUUUUGGCUCACGUAUAUGAUAGUGUCGCUAGCAUCCAUAUGAUAAAGAGCCCGGGCUGACAUGACUAGUCGUAAACCCAAAGUGGCACAGACUUACAGGGACAGGCAUCCAUGACCCAGCUUCGAACGUGUCGGUCAUCAGCAAGUGGGUCCGGGCUGUAGCACUGGGCUAGCAGGACUCCGGUAAACCGGGCUGUAGCGGGCUAACAGGACUCCGAUACUCAAAGCGUGACAUUUCCCCGAAGGGACAGACACAGGAACGAAGAAGGACACAUGCCGGCCAGCCUAAGUGUUCCAGAGCAGUAGCAAGCUACCAUGGCUCAGCGGUAACACUAGGAGACAUUUCCCGGUAAGAGAGGCUACUAAAGAUAAACAACUAGAUAGUCAGAUCCCACACAUACCAAGCAUUUCAAUCAUACACACAAUAUGCUCGAUAUGUGCAAAUACAACGAAGCAUCACAACAUGACUCUACGACACAAGUACUUUAUUUAAGGCUCAGGGAGCCAUACAUAACAUACACGAAGGUACGGGUCUCACGACCCAACAUACAAGUCAUACAGUCAUACAAACCAGCAGCGGAAGUAACUUGUCUGAGUACAGACAACUAGUAAAAUAAAGGAGGCUUGGAAAGCCUAGCUAUACUACGUGGUCCUUCACAAGCUCAGGGUCACCACCUGGGUCUUUAGCCUAUUCGUUGAUGUCAACGUCUACAUAGAACCCAUCAGAAGGGGUUGCAGCGUCUUCUGUAAAAAUGUAGAUUAUAGCAACAUGAGUACAAAGGUACUCAGCAAGACUUACAUCAGAUCCUACAUACAUGCUUAGUAUCAAGAAGGGUUGGUGGAGUUAUUGCAGCAAGCCAGCUUUGACUCUUGGCUAGACUAUCCUACGAUACUCCAACUUGAAAUGGUUUUGCGCACACGAGUCCACUACUCACCACUUCAAUACACUACCGAGGAUCCACCUCCGUCUUCCUACGGAAGAGCCAUCCUCGGCACUCACACUUAUCUUGAGGCUUUUAGCAGUUUCCAUUUACUUGUCUAUGAACUGUAUAGGUAACCAAGUAGUCCUUUACCGCGGACGCGGCUAUUCGAAUAGAUCAUGUUAACCCUGCAGGGGUGUACUUCUUCAUACACGCUCUCACCACUUACCGUCGUUUACGCGACAUGUACUCGGCAACCUUCAAGCGGAAGCCCAACGUGGGUGUCGGCCACGACCUACCUAAUCACCUAAGCCUCCAGUCCAGGUUUAUCGCCUAUCCAGGUUCCAUCCGCAGGGAGUCCGGCCGAGGUUUCCCAUACGGCCCCGAACGAUGUGAACAGGGUUCCCGAGAUACCUAACGGGUAUUCGGUACACCGUGCCACGUACCUACCGCAUCACAGCCCACCCCUACGGUCAGCGCUGUCCACGGCCUCCAGUAGGCUACAAACACCAAAAACUACUUGCAACUCCUGGACGGAGAACUAGGGUGAAUAAGAAGCCGAGAGGGUCCAUUGGUUUCGUGCCCAAUGCAUGGUAGUAGCUGAUUCUUAAAUCACACAUACAGAUCUCAGUGCUUAAGGUCGGCUUCAAUGAAACAACCCACCAUGUACUCCUACAUGGCCUCUCAUCGAUACCUUUACCAAAUCGUGUUCACCACACCACUCUCAUUACCGACAUAAUCAUUUCACUCUAGCCCAUCACCCAGAUGAACCAGACCUGACACGACUCUAAGCAUAGCAGGCAUAGCAAGGUAGGAACAACACAUACAUAUGGCUCAAUCAACUCCUACACAUGCUAGUGGGUUUCAUCUAGUUACUGUGGCAAUGACAGGUCAUGCAGAGGAAAUGGGUUCAACUACCGUAGCACACAGCAGUUUGAAUCGCGUUGUCUUAAUGCAGUAAAGGGAGAGCAGGAGCGAGAACAUGGGAUUGUAUCGAUAUGAUCAAAUGGUUGGUUGCUUGCCUGAUGGUUUGAUGCACUGAUACGGUUCUUCGUUAGGGUAAUCGCGGUACUCCUCGGAGGCAGAACCUGUCGCAAAGGACACCGACACACAACCAUCACCAAACAAUGUGCAACAAUAUGAUGCAUGCAUGAAACAUAGCAAUAUGAGUGUGUUGGGCUAAUGCAACUAAAACCAGAAGGGUUUGAACAAAUUUGAAUCAAGGAUUCAAAUUUCAAAGUCAAAUAUGGCCUUUUAAAGUGCUUUUCCUUGUUCUGCUUGAAACAUCAAUUUAACUUGUUUGAUCAUGCAUGAAAAUAGUACAGAUGGAUAGAUUGGAUUUUUCUGGUCAUUUUUCAUAUAUAAUUUGUCCAAUUUGGAGUUACAGAAUAAAAGUUAUGAAUUUUUAAAGUUUAAAUAAUAUUCUGGAAUUUCCUGAUUUAAAUUAAAUCCAGAAAAUCAAUUACUGCGUCAGCCUGACGUCAGUGUGACGUCAGCAGGUCAACGGAACAGGUCUGGGUCAAACCUGACAAUGGGUCCCGCAUGUCAGGGUGAUUAUUUUAAUUAAGAUUUAAUUAAAACUAAUCCUGUAUAAUUAACAGGGCUGGGCCCCACCUAUCAUUGACUCAGGGAAGUCAACCAGGGCCCACCCGGUCAAAGUCAAAGCCAGCGACGCCGGCGUUUAGCCGCCGGCGAGCCAGACGCGGCGGCGGGAGUGGUUUUGGCCAUUUCGGCCACCAAAGGGGCCGCGGAGACCACCGGAGUGGAGCUGAGGACAAACCGCAGCUCUUGGCGGAGUCCGUUGGGGUCGGGGUGGCCGGAGUUGGCGCCGGCGAUGACUUUGGCGGCCACCGGGGUUCGGUCGAAGAUGAACUUGGCGCUAGAGGGGUCGGUGAGGCUCGUGGAGUGGCUAGCUAGGUGCUGCGGGACUCGGUGAGUAAGAUGGACACCAUCUUGUGGCCGGAGUGUGGCCGGAAGCACGUCGGCGACGAGGUCCGCGACGGCGCGUGCGGGUGAGCUUGGUUUGCUCGCUGUGGUGCACGAGAGAGAGAAAGAGAGGAAGGGGAAGUUAGCCCAGCUCACUGCGGUCUUGAUGGAGAGGACGGCGUGGUCGGGGACGAGCUGCUGCGGCGGCGACAGCGAAGGGGAUCUCCGGCGAUGGCGGUUCGGGCGAGGUUGGUGCGGCGGCUUCGAGGCACGCGAGCGCUCGGGGCUCGACUAGCUCGAAGAAGUAGAGGACGGCGGAGCUUCUGGACACGGUGGCGCGGCGUGGAGACGAAGGGGAGCACGGCUACGGCGGAGGUGCGGCGACGGUGGCGUCAGCCAUGACGUGGGAGCGCGAGGGAGAGGAACUAGGGCGAAUGGAGGUGUCCAGGAGGGUUGGGGCGCGACGUGGAGCUCGUCCAGGCCAUCAGGGCGGCGAGAGGGGGAGGCAGGGCAGCGUGCAGCUGCGUGGCGAGCUGCGGUGCCGCCGCCGAGCACCUUGGCUGCCUGCCUGGCAAGCCAAGCAGCUCGCUGGAGCGGUGGCCGGGCUGGGCCGGCCAGGUGGGCUGGCUGGUGGGCCUGUGGUGGCGCCAGGUAAGUUUUCCCCUUUUUUUCUGUUUCUGUUUUUAUUUAAUAUAUCUGCAACUUUGUUGAAUUUAAUAAAAUACCUAGGCAACUUCAAAAAUCACCAAACUAUUCCUGGCCCAUAGUUGGAUUAUUUCCAACAUGAAACAUUUUAGUUUGGAGAUAUUUGAGCAUUUAAAUAUUUUAUAUUAUUUUAAAUGCCCAAAUUCAAAUAUUUAUGAUUUAAUUCAAAAACCCUAGGAUGGCCUAGGAAAAUGUGCACCACUUUUGGCAGGGGUUCUGAACCAAAACAAAAAUGAUGGGCAUUUUAGAAGGGCAUUUCAGGUUCAUUGAAAAUUAUUUUAGUAACCCUAGUUGGUUUCAGAGGGGACUGGGGGUUCUGUCAUCCCCAUUUCAAGUUUCUGAUGAAAGAGUAAACAUGAUGCAACACUCUAAUGCAUGACUAGCUAGGGUGUGACAACUCACCCCCACUCAAAAGAAUCUCGUCCCGAGAUUUGGGUUCCUCCGGGAAGAAGGCGGGGUACUCAAGUCGAAGACGAUCCUCCCUUUCCCAAGUUGCUUCAUCCUCAGAAUGGUGCGACCAUUGAACUUUGAGAAACUUGAUAUUAUGACGUCGGGUGGUACGCUCGGCCUGAUCGAGGAUACGAAUGGGGUACUCUCGAUCUGUAAGAUUAUCCUGGAGAUCAAGCGUUUCGUGGUCCACUUCACGGAUAGGAUCCGAGAAGCAACGCCUGAGUUGAGAAACGUGGAAGACAUCGUGGACUCUGGAGAGAUGCGGAGGUAGUUCCAGCUGGUAGGCAACUUCUCCUCGUUUGGCGAGAAUGCAAAAAGGUCCAAUGUAACGAGGAGCCAAUUUGCCUUUGAUACCGAAACGAUGGGUUCCCUUCAGAGGGGUGACCCGAAGAUAAGCCUUCUCGUCAACCUCGAAAGUCAUAGCCUUAUGUUUUCGGUCAUAUUGACUCUUUUGACGAGAUUGGGCUGUUUUCAACUUUUCAGGAACGAUGCGAACUUGUUCUUCUGCUUCCUGAAUCAUAUCCGGGCCAAAGAAUUGUCUUUCCCCGGUCUCUGACCAGUUAAGGGGUGUUUGACACCGUCGUCCAUAGAGAACUUCAAAAGGGGCUUUACCCAAGCUAGAUUGAUAGCUGUUGUUGUAAGCGAAUUCGGCAAAUGGAAGGCACUUCUCCCAGUCCAUUCCGAAUGAGAUAACAGAGGCUCGAAGCAUGUCUUCUAGAAUCUGGUUGACGCGUUCCACUUGACCACUCGACUGAGGGUGGAAGGCGGUGCUAAAGGAGAGACGGGUUCCCAUAGCAUUUUGGAAACUUUCCCAAAAUCGAGAGGUGAAAAGACUUCCUCGAUCCGAGUUAAUUUCCAAAGGAACACCAUGGAGAGACACUAUUCGGGAGAUGUAUAAGUCUGCCAGCUGACUAGCGGUUAUACUAUCACGAACAGGUAAGAAAUGGGCUACUUUGGAAAGACGAUCGACCACGACGAAAAUAGCAUUAUUCCCUCUCUUGGUCCUGGGAAAACCGGUAAUGAGAUCCAUACCAAUUUUAUCCCAUUUCCAUUCAGGGAUAGCUAGGGGUUGAAGGGUGCCAGCAGGCCGUUGAUGCUCUGCUUUUACACGACGACAGACGUCGCAAUUAGCAAUAUACUGAGCAAUUUCUCUCUUCAUCCUAGUCCACCAGAACCUCUGGCGUAGGUCCUGAUACAUCUUAGUACUACCGGGAUGAAUGGUGAGAGGAGAUUCAUGAGCUUCCUUAAGGAUCAAACGCCUCAGGUUUCGCACUUUGGGAACCACUAGUCGAUUCCCGAAGUAUACGACCCCUUGAUCAUUAAUGGAGAAGCAAUUCGCAAUUCCUUUCCGAAUGUUUCUCUUGAUGCGGGAGAUUCCCGGAUCUACCUUCUGUGCCUUGAUAAUCUGAUCCGUAAGGGUAGGUUUUGCCACCAAGGUGGAGAGAAAACCUUGAGGUACAAUGUGAAGGUUAAGCUUCCGAAAUUCCUCAUGGAGAAGCGGUUGACUUUGUUGUAACAUCAGGUUGUUACAAUAAGAUUUACGACUUAGCGCAUCGGCCAUGACGUUGGCUUUUCCUGGGGUGUAGGUUAUCCCUAAAUCGAAGUCUGUGAUCAACUCAACCCAACGUCUUUUCCUGAGAUUCAAAUCCGGUUGGGUGAAAAUGUACUUUAGACUUUGGUGAUCAGUGAAUAUUUCGCAACGGUUACCCAGGAGGUAAUGUCGCCAGGUCUUAAGUGCAUAGACUACGGCUGCAAGUUCUAGAUCAUGAGUAGGAUAAUUCUCCUCAUGUGGGUGCAAUUGCCGUGAAGCGUAGGCAAUUACGUGUCGAUCUUGCAUGAGAAUGCAACCUAGUCCUUGUCGCGAGGCGUCGCAGUAGAUAACAAAGUCCUUGGAGAAGUCUGGCGGUACCAGUACGGGAGCAGAAGUCAGGCGUCUUUUCAGUUCCUGAAAGCUGUGCUCACAUUGUGGAGUCCACUCGAACUUCUUAUCUUUCUUGAGGAGUUCGGUUAGAGGUUUGGCAACCUUGGAGAAGUUCUCGACAAAGCGACGACAAUAGCUUGCUAAGCCUAGAAAACUCCAAACUUGCUUGACCGAUUCAGGUGGAGUCCAAAUAAGGACGGCUUGAACUCGCUCAGGGUUAACAGCAAUACCUUUACCAGAUAUUACAUGACCCAGAUAGGUCACUUCUGACAACCAGAAUUCACAUUUAGAAAAUUUGGCAUAAAGGCGAUGCUCUCGAAGUUUCUUCAACACUAGCCUUAGAUGUUCGGCAUGUUCUUCCUCGUUCUUGGAGUAGAUGAGUAUAUCAUCGAGGUAAACCACGACGAAUUUAUCCAAAUACUCCAUGAAGAUUGAGUUCAUUAACCGAGAAAAGGUGGCUGGAGCGCUGGUUAAACCGAAGGACAUGACGGUGUACUCGUAUUGGCCAUAACGGGUAACAAAGGCCGUUUUAGGAAUGUCCCCGUUUCUGAUUUUGAUUUGAUGGUAGCCCAGCCUCAAAUCCAUCUUGGAGAAGACUGAGGAUCCAGCGAGCUGAUCAUACAGGUCGUUGAUCCUGGGAAGCGGAUAUUUGUUCUUGAUUGUGACCAAAUUGACAGGUCGGUAAUCUACAACCAUCCGGUCCGUACCAUCCUUCUUCUUGACGAAUAGGACGGGGCAAGCCCACGGAGAUGAACUAGGUCGGAUGAAACCCUUUUUCAAGGACUCAUCGAGUUGUUUCUUAAGCUCGGCUAGUUCUAGGGGUGCCAUCUUAUAAGGUCUUCUAGCAAUCGGAACGGUUCCUGGAAUGAGGUCUAUUACGAACUCAACAUCCCUGUCAGGUGGAACACCUGGCAAUUCCUCUGGGAAGACAUCCGGGAAGUCACGGACUACCGGAACGUCCUCAAGGUCUGGCAAAGGGCUGGCGUUAAGAGAAUAUAAUUGUCGCUUGGCUAUUCGGGUCAAGACAUUGACUAUCUUCCCCGAAGGAUGAGUAAGUUGAACAGUCCUAGAGAAGCAAUCAAUUUUGGCUUGAUGAGCUGACAUCCAGUAGAUACCCAAAAUGAUAUUAAUAUCUGAAGAUUUAAGGGCUAUCAAGGAUGCGAGGAAAACAAGUCUGUCGACUUGGAUUUCAUUUCCAUGGCUUACUCUAGAAGUUUGCCAUUUGGAUCCCGGAGUUUGAAUUACCAUAGAGGUUGGCAUAUCACCGAAUGCGACGUUGUGCAAACGAGCAUAGUUUUCAGAUAUAAAAGAAUGAGAGGCUCCUGUAUCGAAAAGAACAGAUGCCGGGUGGCAAUUAACAAGAAGCGUACCGAGAACGACGUUGGGAUCCUCUUGAGCUUCUUCGGCAGAGAUACAGUUGACAUGGCCACGUGAAGCGGUGACCGGUUUGGCGUGGAAUUUUUUUCCUGUCGGCUUGCCAUGGCCAACAGCUUUAGCAGAUUGAUUGGGGUUGGUCUGGGGACACUCACGCAUAUAGUGACCAGAUUCCCCACACUUGAAACAAGUCACGGAACUGGUACGUGGAGGAGCAUUAUUGGUUGGACCCCCAUAGGGCUUGGCCGGUGCAGACUGUUGAACGGGGCGAGGCGCCUGGAAGGAUGGCCUCGGUGUGAACCUGGGUGGCAGGGCGGUGUUAGGUACCCACACGCGGCGCUUCUGAGGACCAGCACCGGAUGAGGAACCCAUUUCGCGGCCGUGCUUGCGUGUUGCGUCAUAGUCAGUCUGACCAGUUUCAGCACUGAUGGCUUUGUUGACAAGUUUCUGAAAAGAUGUGCACUCAUGCAGACGGAGGUCGCGGCGAAGCUCAGGACUAAGGCCCUUACGGAACCUUGAUUGCUUCUUGGCAUCGGUAGACACUUCCUCAGUUGCAUAUCAUGCGAGAUUACCAAACUCCCUGCUGUAAACAUCCACAGAAAGUCGGCCUUGGGUGAAACUGCAAAAUUCUUCACGUUUGCGGUCCAUGAGACCCUCCGGAAUAUGAUGCUCACGGAAAGCCUCGCUGAUCUCAGCCCAAGUAGUGACAUGGCCCGCUGGGCGCAUAGCUCCAUAAUUUUCCCACCAUAGACUGGCGGGGCCUUCAAGAUGAUAUGCAGCAAAGGUGACCUUGUCAGCCUCCGCUACCAGCGUGGAACGCAGUUUAUGAGAGAUACCGCGAAGCCAGUCAUCAGCGUCGAGAGGCUCGACGGAGUGGUGGAACGUGGGUGGAUGUAAUUUGAUAAAAUCACUGAGUGACACCACGUUAGUCCUCUGAUGGUGUGCCGUGUUCUGUUCAAUACGCUCCAACAAACGGUUGGUCUCCCGCUUGUUUCUCUCAGCUUCCAUCAUAACCUCGGCUAGUGAAGGAGGAUGAGGCAGAUUUGCAUCCCUGACUUCACUGCCUUCGGCUUGCUCUUGAGAAGCAGGGUUGGCGCGCGUGUUGACCAUCCUAGGUAAACAAGACAAUGAUUUAGUCAGAAUGAUAAAAUUCCGACAUAGGAUACAGAAUGUAAGGAAUAGUUCGGAAUGCAAGAUGAUCAUCCGUAUGACAUGGUAAAUACAGAAACUGCUUCUUUAUUCCAUCAUCAUACACACCAUACAGGGUUUAGUACAAGACCAAACAAAGUACUAUUACGGUGAAAGAGGAUUACAUCUCAUCGGAGGCAUUCCAAGCUCCUAUACAUUAUUUUUCUACACCUCCGGAAGGAGUACAAACUAGGUCAUAUCCCACGAGUCAUGCGGGACGAUAGACGACACAGCUAGUGCGAACUAGUGAUACUACCACUAACUCAGACCGAUCCGUAGUAGUCCUUGUAGAAGUCACCUCCAUAGCCUGGAAGCUCAACAUGGUCAUCCGGAAACAGACGAUCUCGCGGAGCUUGUGGGCCAUAGGGGCUAGGAUGAGGUCGUGGACCAACAGACGGUGGCCUGCGGGGACCGCGAGGUGGGGUGAUGCCUCCUACAUCACGCCAAACCAUCACGUCUGGCAGAGCAGAUCUCACAGGAUAGAGAUCGCGCAUAUCUGAAUAUCCAGCUUGCACCGCCGGUGCGAACCGAGUCAAAGUGGCCCAGUGGUCAGCACGGGUAUUGAAAAGCUCUAACCUCAAAGCCCGAUUUUCACGGUCCUUAUCCUCGAGCAUCUCAGCAGUGGUGCGAGUCCGUGAAUCCUCCUGAGUGGGGUCAGCAUAAAUAGCCUGGAGAUACCCUUGUGCUCCCGGAAGUGAUCCUGACAUAUACCGGAAAUCAGAGUCCCGAAAUAGACCAGAUCUGACUCGCAUAAUGGUCAUCAUAGAGUAGGCGGCGUCCUGCACAGCCAUCUCAAUAGUAACCCCGAGUCCAUAGGAGCAGUGAAGAGGCUCGGUGGAUCCAGGAUAAGAUGGAAAUAUCCUGACAGUGCAGAGAUACUGGCUUUGAUUAAAGUCUCGGAAUUUCUCUUCGACCGUGUACUCAGGAUACCAACGGUAUCCAGCCUCAGUCAUUCCCCUGACCAACUUGGCAGUAUGGCCGGGUACAUCUAGGCAUCGAGUCAGGCGAACCACUUGAUUGAGGUCGCGAGUGGCCAUCUGAAAGAACAAUCAUAAUGCAAGGGCAUUAGAAUUUCUAGCAAAAUUUCGGCAGCAUAACAGCUGUAAAUGCUCAAGAAGGAUUUUGAGACAUUUGACAAAGGAUUUUGUACACCCUCAACAUCAUCAUAUCAAAGUUCUGAAUCCAUUCUAACAACAUAAUGUGGUAGUAGAACUGAACUAGGCUUGUAUCCAUCAAACUUAUAAGGUACUACUGAUUAGUAACCCAAAGUGGCACAGACUUACAGGGACAGGCAUCCAUGACCCAGCUUCGAACGUGUCGGUCAUCAGCAAGUGGGUCCGGGCUGUAGCACUGGGCUAGCAGGACUCCGGUAAACCGGGCUGUAGCGGGCUAACAGGACUCCGAUACUCAAAGCGUGACAUUUCCCCGAAGGGACAGACACAGGAACGAAGAAGGACACAUGCCGGCCAGCCUAAGUGUUCCAGAGCAGUAGCAAGCUACCAUGGCUCAGCGGUAACACUAGGAGACAUUUCCCGGUAAGAGAGGCUACUAAAGAUAAACAACUAGAUAGUCAGAUCCCACACAUACCAAGCAUUUCAAUCAUACACACAAUAUGCUCGAUAUGUGCAAAUACAACGAAGCAUCACAACAUGACUCUACGACACAAGUACUUUAUUUAAGGCUCAGGGAGCCAUACAUAACAUACACAAAGGUACGGGUCUCACGACCCAACAUACAAGUCAUACAGUCAUACAAACCAGCAGCGGAAGUAACUUGUCUGAGUACAGACAACUAGUAAAAUAAAGGAGGCUUGGAAAGCCUAGCUAUACUACGUGGUCCUUCACAAGCUCAGGGUCACCACCUGGGUCUUUAGCCUAUUCGUUGAUGUCAACGUCUACAUAGAACCCAUCAGAAGGGGUUGCAGCGUCUUCUGUAAAAAUGUAGAUUAUAGCAACAUGAGUACAAAGGUACUCAGCAAGACUUACAUCAGAUCCUACAUACAUGCUUAGUAUCAAGAAGGGUUGGUGGAGUUAUUGCAGCAAGCCAGCUUUGACUCUUGGCUAGACUAUCCUACGAUACUCCAACUUGAAAUGGUUUUGCGCACACGAGUCCACUACUCACCACUUCAAUACACUACCGAGGAUCCACCUCCGUCUUCCUACGGAAGAGCCAUCCUCGGCACUCACACUUAUCUUGAGGCUUUUAGCAGUUUCCAUUUACUUGUCUAUGAACUGUAUAGGCAACCAAGUAGUCCUUUACCGCGGACGCGGCUAUUCGAAUAGAUCAUGUUAACCCUGCAGGGGUGUACUUCUUCAUACACGCUCUCACCACUUACCGUCGUUUACGCGACAUGUACUCGGCAACCUUCAAGCGGAAGCCCAACGUGGGUGUCGGCCACGACCUACCUAAUCACCUAAGCCUCCAGUCCAGGUUUAUCGCCUAUCCAGGUUCCAUCCGCAGGGAGUCCGGCCGAGGUUUCCCAUACGGCCCCGAACGAUGUGAACAGGGUUCCCGAGAUACCUAACGGGUAUUCGGUACACCGUGCCACGUACCUACCGCAUCACAGCCCACCCCUACGGUCAGCGCUGUCCACGGCCUCCAGUAGGCUACAAACACCAGAAACUACUUGCAACUCCUGGACGGAGAACUAGGGUGAAUAAGAAGACGAGAGGGUCCAUUGGUUUCGGGCCCAAUGCAUGGUAGUAGCUGAUUCUUAAAUCACACAUACAGAUCUCAGUGCUUAAGGUCGGCUUCAAUGAAACAACCCACCAUGUACUCCUACAUGGCCUCUCAUCGAUACCUUUACCAAAUCGUGUUCACCACACCACUCUCAUUACCGACAUAAUCAUUUCACUCUAGCCCAUCACCCAGAUGAACCAGACCUGACACGACUCUAAGCAUAGCAGGCAUAGCAAGGUAGGAACAACACAUACAUAUGGCUCAAUCAACUCCUACACAUGCUAGUGGGUUUCAUCUAGUUACUGUGGCAAUGACAGGUCAUGCAGAGGAAAUGGGUUCAACUACCGUAGCACACAGCAGUUUGAAUCGCGUUGUCUUAAUGCAGUAAAGGGAGAGCAGGAGCGAGAACAUGGGAUUGUAUCGAUAUGAUCAAAUGGUUGGUUGCUUGCCUGAUGGUUCGAUGCACUGAUACGGUUCUUCGUUAGGGUAAUCGCGGUACUCCUCGGAGGCAGAACCUGUCGCAAAGGACACCGACACACAACCAUCACCAAACAAUGUGCAACAAUAUGAUGCAUGCAUGAAACAUAGCAAUAUGAGUGUGUUGGGCUAAUGCAACUAAAACCAGAAGGGUUUGAACAAAUUUGAAUCAAGGAUUCAAAUUUCAAAGUCAAAUAUGGCCUUUUAAAGUGCUUUUCCUUGUUCUGCUUGAAACAUCAAUUUAACUUGUUUGAUCAUGCAUGAAAAUAGUACAGAUGGAUAGAUUAGAUUUUUCUGGUCAUUUUUCAUAUAUAAUUUGUCCAAUUUGGAGUUACAGAAUAAAAGUUAUGAAUUUUUAAAGUUUAAAUAAUAUUCUGGAAUUUCCUGAUUUAAAUUAAAUCCAGAAAAUCAAUUACUGCGUCAGCCUGACGUCAGUGUGACGUCAGCAGGUCAACGGAACAGGUCUGGGUCAAACCUGACAAUGGGUCCCGCAUGUCAGGGUGAUUAUUUUAAUUAAGAUUUAAUUAAAACUAAUCCUGUAUAAUUAACAGGGCUGGGCCCCACCUGUCAUUGACUCAGGGAAGUCAACCAGGGCCCACCCGGUCAAAGUCAAAGCCAGCGACGCCGGCGUUUAGCCGCUGGCGAGCCAGACGCGGCGGCGGGAGUGGUUUUGGCCAUUUCGGCCACCAAAGGGGCCGCAGAGACCACCGGAGUGGAGCUGAGGACAAAUCGCAGCUCUUGGCGGAGUCCGUUGGGGUCGGGGUGGCCGGAGUUGGCACCGGCGACGACUUUGGCGGCCACCGGGGUUCGGUCGAAGAUGAACUUGGCGCUAGAGGGGUCGGUGAGGCUCGUGGAGUGGCUAGCUAGGUGCUGCGGGACUCGGUGAGUAAGAUGGACACCAUCUUGUGGCCGGAGUGUGGCCGGAAGCACGUCGGCGACGAGGUCCGCGACGGCGCGUGCGGGUGAGCUUGGUGUGCUCGCUGUGGUGCACGAGAGAGAGAAAGAGAGGAAGGGGAAGUUAGCCCAGCUCACUGCGGUCUUGAUGGAGAGGACGGCGUGGUCGGGGACGAGCUGCUGCGGCGGCGACGGCGAAGGGGAUCUCCGGCGAUGGCGGUUCGGGCGAGGUUGGUGCGGCGGCUUCAGGGCACGCGAGCGCUCGGGGCUCGACUAGCUCGAAGAAGUAGAGGACGGCGGAGCUUCUGGACACGGUGGCGCGGCGUGGAGACGAAGGGGAGCAUGGCUACGGCGGAGGUGCGGCGACGGUGGCGUCGGCCAUGACGUGGGAGCGCGAGGGAGAGGAACUGGGGCGAAUGGAGGUGUCCAGGAGGGUUGGGGCGCGACGUGGAGCUCGUCCAGGCCAUCAGGGCGGCGAGAGGGGGAGGCAGGGCGGCGUGUAGCUGCGUGGCGAGCUGCGGUGCCGCCGCCGAGCACCUUGGCUGCCUGCCUGGCAAGCCAAGCAGCUCGCUGGAGCGGUGGCCGGGCUGGGCCGGCCAGGUGGGCUGGCUGGUGGGCCUGUGGUGGCGCCAGGUAAGUUUUCCCCUUUUUUUCUGUUUCUGUUUUUAUUUAAUAUAUCUGCAACUUUGUUGAAUUUAAUAAAAUACCUAGGCAACUUCAAAAAUCACCAAACUAUUCCUGGCCCAUAGUUGGAUUAUUUCCAACAUGAAACAUUUUAGUUUGGAGAUAUUUGAGCAUUUAAAUAUUUUAUAUUAUUUUAAAUGCCCAAAUUCAAAUAUUUAUGAUUUAAUUCAAAAACCCUAGGAUGGCCUAGGAAAAUGUGCACCACUUUUGGCAGGGGUUCUGAACCAAAACAAAAAUGAUGGGCAUUUUAGAAGGGCAUUUCAGGUUCAUUGAAAAUUAUUUUAGUAACCCUAGUUGGUUUCAGAGGGGACUGGGGGUUCUGUCAUCCCCAUUUCAAGUUUCUGAUGAAAGAGUAAACAUGAUGCAACACUCUAAUGCAUGACUAGCUAGGGUGUGACAGACAACCCAGGAAAUUCUCACACAUGGACACAAAGGCAGCAAGAUAGGCGAUGGAAUUGGGAUUGAAAUGGUGGAGUUGCGCCCCAAAGAAAUUCAGGAACCCUCGGAAGAAAGCACUCGGCGGCAAAGAAAAUCCACGAUCUAUGUGAGUGGCCAAGAGAACGCACUCACCCUCCUGCGGCUGUGGUUGGCACUCGGUCCCCGGAGCCUCGCCGACCCAUGGGGGAUCAGUCCCUCAUUGGCCAGGUCGUUGAGGUCUUUCUCUGUGAUGGUCGAACGGAUCCAAUCCCCUUGGACCCAACCCUUCGGCAGGCAGGACCUCGACGAAGAUCCGCCCCGACUGGACGGUCUCCCCUUCGCUUGCCCCAUCACCGUAACCUUCUUCGCGCGCUCUAGGGCCGCCGUCUUCUCCUUCACCAUUGUCGCCAGCGAAGCACGCAAGAGGUGGGUAGGCAGAGCCGGGAGCAGGCACAGCAGGCGGAGGCAGAGAAGGAAGAGAGAAGAAUGGGAGGGCACUGUUCAAAAAACUCUCCCCCGGCGCUUUAUAUAAGGACGUUUCCGAGUGGCUGACGGGUGGGUCCGAGCGAUCCUGUCACAUCUUGAAACAGUCGCGCACGCAUGAUAUGUGGCGAAAAAGGCGGCACGGAGAUCGAGGCGUCCAUGCCUUAUCCCAUCCGAUUCCCGCGGGCCUCCCCGCUUCGCGCGCUUCCCAAAUUUCGGAUCCCGCAAAAUCCGCUAGCAGUAGAUCAGACUGUCAGACAAUAUCUUUCCCGCGAUCCGUCGCUCGGGAGUUCUCCAGAGUUCAAAAGUUCACUCGACAGAAGAUAAGAAUGGAUCAAGGCGACUGAAGUAAAAGUUGACGCCAACACCGAAAGAAAAAUCGCCAAUCCAAGAUACGACACAAUCAAAGCGCAAGAAAUGAGUCGGAGAAAAUCAUCAACUCCUUCCUCACUCGAACCUCGAUCCAUUCGGGGGCUAAUGAUGAGGAUAUGUACCUAGGGUAUGGUCAUAGACCUAUCUAGGAUACCAUACCCAAGGACAUCAUCAUACGAAGCUACCUUCCAGUCGACCAAGAGAAGCUCCACUCGACCAAGGGAGACUCCACUCGACCGGCUAGAAGACACUCGACCAUGAAGACGCACUCGACCAUCAGAAGUUCAAGAUCUAUGUUGUAUCCAAAUGGUCUGUAAAUAAGUAGUCUUAAUGGUCAUGAUGACACUUUAUGUAGGGUGUUACCAGUAACGCCCGGCUUAAUGUACUUUAACCCUCCUCUACGUGGGCUGGCUGGGGUCCUGGCGUCCUCUAUAUAAGCCACCCCCCUCCACUGGGAGAAGGGUUCGCACCCCUGUAACUCAUAUACACAGAGAUCAGUCGACCGCCUCCGGGCUCCGAGACGUAGGAUUGUUACUUCCUCCGAGAAGGGCCUGAACUCGCUAAUCACCCGUGUGUACAACUACUCCGUAGCUAGGACCUUGCCUUUCCAUACUUACCCCCCAUUCUACUGUCAGACUUAGAACCACGACACCGCCCGCUCCACGGCGAUCUGCUCCUCCGCCUGUAGGUGCUCCUGGAGGAGAGGCUGGUUGUAGGCAGCGUCGGCCUGCGCCUCCCAGAACUACUCCUCACGCAUCUGCCUCACCGUGUCCAUAGAUUGGGCACGGGCCUCACCGAUGAUCAUGGUGUAAUGCACCGGCGAGGAUGGCGUGGAGGAGGGGGUUGGCGCCGGAUCAUCGACUAUCAUGUUCUCCAUUGGGACGUCGUCGUCCUCCGGCUGCCUGCCGGCCAACCGGUCGGCAGCAAUGGCUGCCAUCUCCUUGUGGUCCGUCGUCCGCCCGUCCCGAAGAGCAGUGGAGCACGAGGAAGCCAUGGUGGGCAAUAGUGGUGUGGACAGGAGAAAGGGAACGGAUGCGGAUGACUGCGGCUAUGGCCGGCGCAGCAGUUUAUAUAGCAAUGGUGGGCGACGGAGGGACGGACGUGUGGCGCCGGAGUAGCCGUCUUGGCAACCGGUAUCAUUAAUGUGGGCGGCAGAUGGAUGGACGGACGGCACUUGUGUCGUUUGAAGGCAGAGCAAUCGCUUGCACCAGGAAGCGAGGCAGGCGGCGCUCACUGUUUCGGGUGGAAAGGGCGCGCGGGCGAGGAGAUGACUUUACUUGGGGACCCACCAGAGCCAUAGCCUCACGUACGCAAGUGCCUCCUUAUAUAUAUAUAUAUAUAUAUAUAUAUAUAUAUAUAUAUAUAUAUAUAUAUAUAUAUAACUACAAUUUAUUUUGCUUCCUCCUGGUUUCCUGACAUCACGGUCGCACACCAUAGUCAAUAAACAAGAGAAUUGCACAAGAAGCGGCCGACAGCUGGGACCAAGCAGCUCGAGCAGUAUUUGUGUUUUUGAGGUGUGAGCACUUCAGAGUUUUUUGAUGUUUAGCCCAGAUAUUAAUUUUUCUCCUCUGAACAACAACGAAAACAUCGCUGCAGGUAUUAACUGGGCGAGCUGUGGCCCAUCUAGCCCAGGCCAGAUAUCCAGCCCAGAUAUUAAUUUUUUUGAAGCUGAAAAUGGCUAACCCAGCUAUACUUUUUUUAGGAAUACCCAGGCAAGGUCAGGUUGUUAUUCUCCGCCCCGGUGGGCUGCAAAUCUUUCCUAGGAGGGAUGCAUUAGGCUUAACAAGAAAAUGGGCUUUAAGAAAUAAUAAAUGGGAUGUAAUUAUAAAAACUGGGCAGUAACUAUAAAAAAGUGCACCAAACACUUAAUUACUUUAUAAAAUAUUAUUUUUGGAUAUUGAAAAUUUUAAUUUCAUUAAUCGUUGCGAGCGCAAUGUUUCGUUGGAUUUUUAAGUAAUAUAAAUUUAUAUUGAAAUUAUAUUUAAUCUGACUAGAAAUUUUGGGAUAAAAAUAUUUCGGAUCCCAUCAAAAUGUGGGAAAUUUUAUUGAAUUCUGUUUCGAACAGUUGGUUGAAACGGGCUAUACUUUUAAUGAACUGUAAAUGGGCUGUAGUAAAUUUCAUUAGAAUUCAAAAAUGGGCUACACAUUCUUACAAAUCUUAAAUGGGCUAUAAGUUCUCUGCCACACACUUCUGGCCUUACUAAGUUGACGUGUCCCCUUAAAAGACAGAGUUGACGCGUAUGCAAGCCUUUGUCAACUUAUAGUCAACACACGGUUCUAGCAGCAGUGGCCAUUGGAUGUCCAUCCAACGGAUGACAUGCUUCUUCUUCAAUCUCGGAUAUUCUAGCUUCACCCGCCCAAAAAAUGAUUCCUCCCCCUAACAUCUGGGGUGCACCAUUUCGGAAGCUGGCCAGUGGGCCUACUAAGUUGACGUACCAAGGGCUUUGUCAACUUAGUCAAUAUAAACGAUUCUAGCUGCAGUGACUGUACGAUGUCCAUCUAACGGUUGUCGUGCUUCUUCAACCUCUGGUCUUCUUGCUCCAGCCGCCCAAAGCAGCGCCGGUCGUGCCGACUGCUCCUGCCUCCCGUGGCCGGCUGUGCUUCCGCGGAGGCCUCACCGCCCCCUACUACUCCCACCGCUGGCCAGCCCAUCCCUCCACUCACCCACACCCCCUGUUAUUCUGCGGUGAUGGCAGCGCAGCCGAACCAGUGAACCCUCGUACUCCUCUCCGUGUGUGCAUCCACGGCCACGUCUUCCCCGGCUCCGCGUCGUCCCCUUCCUAGGCCUCGCCAUCGUCCACCGCCGUGGUGCUCUCGGCGCGGCGUGGUCAGGGAACGACUUCCAUCGGACAUGGACUAUAUGUGGAGAUGCUGACAGCUGGGUCCACGACAGCUGCAAGGAAGUGCCUUCUUAUUAUGCGCAAAAUAAUUAUUCCUCCACUUGACAGUGGGGACCCACCGAACGGGCCACAGUAUUUCGCGAAAAAAAUGAUUCGCCCCCAGACUACUGGGACCCACCAGCUACAUCUUCACACGCAAAGAAGUGUGUUCGGGAAAAAAAUGAUUCGCCCCCCUGACUGCUAGGACCCACCAGCUACAUCUUCGCACGCAAGGAAGUGCGUCCGAAAAAACAAUUUGCCCCCUGACUGCUGGGACCCACCAGCUACACCUUCGCACGCAAGGAAGUGCGUGCGGGCAAAAAAACGAUUCGCCCCCCUGACUGCUGGGACCGAGUGGCUACACCUUCGCACGCAAGGAAGUGCGUCCGGGCAAAAAAAACACAAAACAAUUCGCCCCCCUGACUACUCGGACCCACCAGCUACAUCUUCGCACGCAAGGAAUUGCCUGACAGUCGGGACCCACCUGGUCAAAGCGUACGUAGCGUUGUCAUUCUGGUCGCAAACGUGUAUGUACAUAUAUACUGGUCGAUGUAGAGGCGCGCACAUGUCAUAGUAGAGGCGCGCACGUAGCAUGUACACGUACAGCGGCCAGGGUGCAAGAAAGAAAAUAGGGCCACAUAUAUGUACAUACGGGCGGGGUCUCGAACGCCUACUCGUGCAUACGUACGGUUAGGGCUCGUGUGCAUGGCUGGGUCGGAACGGAGAAACAGCGUCAUCGUAGUGUUCAUGGGGAGGCAAGGGAAUGCGUCGUGUUCAUUGGGAGGCAACGAAAUGCUCGUGUUCAUCGGGAGGCAACGGAACGCGUGGGAGCCAACCGGCUGGGUCAGAACGGAAUGUGUGGUCGUGUUCAUCAGGAGGGCUUGGACGGAACAGGCGAUGAAAACGAGGCCUGGCUGUAGGACCUUGAAGUAUGUCUAGAGGGGGGUGAUUAGACUACUUGACCAAUUAAAAACUUAACCUUUUCCCAAUUUUAGAGUUUGGUAGAUUUUAGCUAUCUUAGGACAAGUCAAGCAAUCAUCACACUAUUCAAGCAAGCAUGCAAAGAGUAUAUAGGCAGCGGAAAUUAAAGCAUGUAACUUGCAAGAAAGUAAAGGGAAGGGUUUGGAGGAUUCAAACGCAGUUGGAGACAUGGAUGUUUUUGGCGUGGUUCCGAUAGGUGGUGCUAUCGUGCAUCCACGUUGAUGGAGACUUCAACCCACGAAGGGUAACGGUUGCGCGAGUCCAUGGAGGGCUCCACCCAAGAAGGGUCCACGAAGAAGCAACCUUGUCUAUCCCACCAUGGCCGUCGCCCACGAAGGACUUGCCUCACUAGCGGUAGAUCUUCACGAAGUAGGGGAUCUCCUUGCCCUUACAGACUCCUUGGUUCAACUCCACAAUCUUGUCGGAGGCUCCCAAGUGACACCUAGCCAAUCUAGGAGACACCACUCUCCAAGAAGUAACAAAUGGUGCGUUGCUGAUGAACUCCUUGCUCUUGUGCUUCAAAUGAUAGUCUCCCCAACACUCAACUCUCUCUCAUAGGAUUUGGAUCUGGUGGAAAUAAGAUUAGAGUGGAAAGCAACUUGGGGAAGGCUAGAGAUCAAGAUUCAUAUGGUAGGAAUGGAAUAUCUUGGCCUCAACACAUGAGUAGGUGGUUCUUUCUCAGAAAUGGCAAGUUGGAAGUGUAGGUUUAGUCUGAUGGCUCUCUCCACGAAUGAAGAGGAGGUGGAGGGGUAUAUAUAGCCUCCACACAAAAUCUAACUGUUACACACAAUUUACCAAACUCGGUGGGACUGAAUCAACAAACUCGAUCGAACCGAUUUAGUAAACCUAGUGAGCUUUAGUGAUUUUUGGUGGGACUGACAUGUAACUCGGUGAGACCGAUUCGGUUAGGGUUAGGGCAUAACGUAAUCUCGGUAAGACCGAUUACACAAAACCGGUGAGACCGAUUUUGGUAAUAAGCUUUCCAGAGAGUUGGUCAGGUAAACUCGGUGGGACCGAUUUGCUCUUUUCGGUGAGACCGAAAUGUUACAAAAGGGAAACAGAGAGUUUACAUUGCAAUCUCGGUGGGACCGAUCGCUCACUUCGGUUUGACCGAAACGUUACGAAGGGAAACAGAGAGAUUACAAUCCCAUCUCGGUGAGACCGAGAUCCCUAUCGGUAGAUCCGAUUUGCCUAGGGUUUGUGGCAGUGGAUAUGACAUUUGAAAUCGGUGGCGCCGGAUAGGAAGAAUCAGUGUGACCGAUUUUGGCUUUGGGUUUAGGUCAUUUGUGGAUGUGAGAAAGUAGCUGAGGGUUUUGGAGCAUAUCACUAAGCACAUGAAGCAAGAGGCUCAUUAAGCAACACCUCAUCCCUCCUUGAUAGUAUUGGCUUUUCCUAUAGACUCAAUGUGAUCUUGGAUCACUAAAAUAUAAAAAUGAAGAGUCUUAAGCUAUUGAGCUUGAGCCAAUCAUUUUUCCUUAGUAUUUUGAGGGAUCCACUUUCAUCAUCCAUGCCAUGCCAUUCAUUGAGCUUUCCUGACAUAUAUGUCUUGGAAUAGCAUUAGCUCAAUGAGCUAUAUGUUGUUAUGAAUUACCAAAACCACCUAGGGAUAGUUGCACUUUCACUGGCGUACCGCAGAACGGAGUAAACGGCCUUGUGUUCGACCACCACAUUCAAAAAGGGAUCCUAUUCAGCGGGAGGGGUGUGGCAUACUGCAAAACGGAGGAAACAGACCUCCUACGGUGGAAACAAGGGUCCUGUUGAUUGGGAGGGGUGUGGCGUACCGCAAAACGGACGAAACGGACCUCCUACGAUCGAAACAGAGGUCCUAUUGAUCGGGAGGGGUGUGGCGUACCGCAAAACGGACGAAAUGGACUUGUGUUGGAGCGCUACGGUCGAAACGGGGGUCCUGUUCAUCGGGAGGGGUGUGGCGUACCGCAAAACGGGACUCCACGGGAUACUGUUCAUCUCCACCGUCGACCUCCUCCAGCCUCCACGGGCUACCGUCGACCUCCUCCGGCCUCCACGGGCUCCUGUUCAUCCAGCCUCCACCGCGCGCUACUCCACCGGCUACUGUUCAACCACCCCUCCAUGGGCACCCCUCCAUCGUNNNNNNNNNNNNNNNNNNNNNNNNNNNNNNNNNNNNNNNNNNNNNNNNNNNNNNNNNNNNNNNNNNNNNNNNNNNNNNNNNNNNNNNNNNNNNNNNNNNNNNNNNNNNNNNNNNNNNNNNNNNNNNNNNNNNNNNNNNNNNNNNNNNNNNNNNNNNNNNNNNNNNNNNNNNNNNNNNNNNNNNNNNNNNNNNNNNNNNNNNNNNNNNNNNNNNNNNNNNNNNNNNNNNNNNNNNNNNNNNNNNNNNNNNNNNNNNNNNNNNNNNNNNNNNNNNNNNNNNNNNNNNNNNNNNNNNNNNNNNNNNNNNNNNNNNNNNNNNNNNNNNNNNNNNNNNNNNNNNNNNNNNNNNNNNNNNNNNNNNNNNNNNNNNNNNNNNNNNNNNNNNNNNNNNNNCCCGCAACGCUCAAUGUUCAUCCCAGAGGCAGCAUGGAUCGGCUUCAGUUAGCAGCAGUAGCGAAGGAAUUGCUUGAUCGGGUUCAGUUAACAGCCAUCAAUCGAUUGCUCGGGUUCAGUAACGCGUAGCCUGCAGUGCAAUCGCUCAAGUUUAGUUAGAGCCCAACGCCUCGCUCGGGUUCAGUUAGAGCCAACGUCUUGCACACACACGCGUACGUGUAUGAGAGAAACGCGCAUCGCUCGGCCCCCGACCUCCCACCGUAACCGGGAACUCGCCGAAAUUUUCCUCGCCCUCGCUUCUACCACGGUUUUUUCUGUCAUGGACGGCCCAAAGAAUGUCAUGCAGUUGCCUCUCCGGCCCACCCAGGACGAAAAUCCCAUUUUCUAUCAUGAUUUUUUAUCAUAGAAGUAGGAGCCCACCACAUCUAUGAUGAUACCGGGUUUUGUCACAAUUAUCGCCAUAGAAGUGUCAUAUGUAUGACAGAAAAAAAUUUGUUUGACCCAAAAUGUCACGGAUGUGUCUUUUUUUGUAGUGAAGAGAGAAGAAGCCACUAGCUACUAGCUAUGGACUUGUAGGUCUGUGGUGAAUUACUCACACAUCAUCGGAAGGCAGCACGGAUGAUGCAGAAGCCCUCAAUGAUCGAUUCCCCCUCCGGCGGAGUACCUGUAAAGGCCUCCAGAUGGAAUCGCGAAAGAAUAAAAGUUUGCGAUGGAGGAAAAAGUAUUUCGGAUGGCUCUCUAUUGGUUUGGGAAUAUUUGUGAAUUUAUAGGCUUGGAAUUAGGUCAAACAGAGUUGCGUGGGCCCAUAAGCCCAGGGGGCGCGCUUUGUGAGCUCGCGGCUCUCUUGUAGCUCUUCUGGCCUCCUACCGAACCUUCUAGGACCCCUUCUGGUCCAGAGAAAAUCACCGUAAUUCAUCGUAUUUGGACUUCAUUUGGUAUUGAUUUUCUGAAAAGCCAAAACAAGUAAAAAAUAGGAACUAGCACUUGGCAAUGGGUUAAUAGGUUAGUCCCAAAAAUGGUAUAAAAUAGCAUAAAAAUGCAUAUAAUCCAAGAUUGAAAAUAUAAUAGCAUGAAACAAUCAAAAGUUAUAGAUACAUUGGAGACGUGUCAGCAUUCCCAAGCUUAAUUCCUGCUCGUCUUCGAGUAGGUAAAUGAGAAUAACAGAAUUUUUGUGUAUACAUGUAUUAUUUGUAGUGAGAUAUGUACAUGACAAAGAGCGAUACUACUGCCAGGAUCAGACCAAUGUACAUGACAUAAGAAAGAGGUGGCACAUCUCUGAACGCAAGGUCCAUGGCAACAAGCAGACGCAAUGGAAAAGACAGAUUGUUUUGUCAUCUUUUGCAGCGCCAUCCUUUAGUAUGCCAGGGAGCAGCUAAGGAAUGAAAUCAUGCUCCAUUUUGGAUCAUAAGAUUUUAAUUUGACCAUAAGCUAAGCCUCCACCACACGAAAAGUGAUGAAAAUACAAAAUUUGUUAUGUGAUGCAAUACAAUGCAAAUCUUAUAUACUCUCUCUGUAAACAAAUAUAAGAGCAUUUAGAUCAUUACUUUACACGUUACCAUCAUAAUCUCAAGCUUUGAAUUUAGUACUACUCAUUAAUCAGUUGUGUGAUCUUAAGAAAACGCUAUACCUCUAAAAUGAACAACUAAAAGGUCACGAGACACGUAGUGAUCUCCAAAUAAAUUGGUUGUUCUAGGGGAAAAGUGAUGAAAAGUGUUGUUCUAGGAAAAAGUGACGACAAGCAUGGAUUAUCUGUUUCAUCAUCUUGGGAGGGGGAGGGUCAUCCACAUGACCACAAGCCAAGCCCACACCCCACGUCAAGUGAUGCAAAUCCCAAUCAUGUCAUGUCAUGAUUUACAAUGCAAAUCUUCUUUAAAACUUUACACAUUGGCAUCACUAUCUUAAGCUUGGCAUUUAGUACUCCCUACGGUCCAUAUUUAUUAUCGCUCAAAUGGAUGUAUCUAGCACUAAAAUACAUCUAGAUACAUCUGUUUCAGCGACAACUAAUAUGAAUCAAAGGGAAUACUACUAAUUAGUUGUGUGAUCUUAAUAAAACACCAUGCUUCUAAAAUGAACAGGUCACGAGGCAUGUACCAAUCUCCAGAUGAAUUUGAUGUUCUACAGAUUUCAUAUGUGCGGAAAGAUAAGGCUGAAAACCGCACACUUACCCGGGAUAGGAUGGGAUAUUUUGAGAAAUAGAUAAGGAUUAGUUCAGGUUUCUCCCAUAUAUACGAAAUGACUGGACGAUGACUAAUUAAACGAGAGACAACAAACCACUUAUCUUCCUUCAUGACUCAAUUGAUCGAGAGCCUUCCCAAGUUGCUUUUGCCGUUUUGUUGGUCACAAUGCAGAUGCUUUGAACCUUUGCACAACCGUGGGCAUGUGGCUCCCGUUAAAUAGCCACAAGAUACCCAUAAAAUUAGCACUUCCAAAGUUCUCAUUUACUCUGUCUUCCUCUCAAGUCUAACCGAAGCCCAACAAACCACCACCUCGGCCAUGGCAACCACCCUCGCCACCGACGUCCGCCUCUCCAUCGCGCACCAGACCCGCUUCGCCCUCCGUCUCGCCUCCACCAUCUCAUCCGCCCUAAGUCUGCUGCCAGCAAUGCCGCCUUCUCCCCGGUCUCCCUCCACUCCGCACUUAGCCUCCUCGACGCUGGCGCGGGCAGUGCCACUCGGGACCAACUCGUCGCCACACUCGGGACAGGCGAGGUCGAGGGACUCCACGCGCUCGCCGAGCAGGUGGUCCAGUUUGUGCUCGCCGACGCGUCCUCUGCUGGAGGUCCGCGUGUCGCCUUUGCCAAUGGCGUCUUCGUGGACGCGUCGCUGCUCCUCAAGCCAUCCUUCCAAGAGAUUGCAGUGUGCAAGUACAAGGCCGAGACCCAAUCCAUGGACUUCCAAACUAAGGUGACCCCCCCCCCCAACUUGGUUCUUACCAGAAAACAAAAACAAUGUAAAAGAAUUUUUAACGGACCUAAUUAUGUACAUUUGAGAGAAACAAUGACAUGCUUAACUAACUACUUCAGCCGCCUGUACAUGUUGGCAUGCCACUGCUUCACUCAGAGAGUUUGUUUUCUGCUGAUGUAAUAUAGAGGUCUAUAUUAAUCUUAUACACAUUCUAGAUUUGUAAUUUAGUGGUUAUCGUAUAUCACUGUUUUUUACACUAGAAGCUUCACCUUUGUAAGCAUAGUUCACACCUGCGACCUUGAACUGUGAAUGAUUUUGCUUAUCCUGUUAGUCAGCAUGAUUGGAGAUAACUAGUCUGUUACUUUUCUGAGCAUACCUAAUCUUUUGGGAGUGUAAUUCUCAUACCGUGCUAUCUAGGGAUAUGAAGGCUGGGGAAUUUGCUGAUGUUUUAUACUUUAAUUACGCUCUUCAGCGAAGUGAGAUUAUAAUUUUGGGAGUAUUUCCUGGAAACUUUGUCUCCAACGUAAGAAGAUGUACAAAAAAUCAGCUAAAGAUUAUAAUUUUGGGAAUAUUUCUGUAAAAGGUAUUGCAUAGUGGUGCUUCGAGAUGUUGUGAUGACCAUUUAAAUUUGUAUGCUCAUAUGAAUUGUUUUUCUAUCAUACGUCGUUGUAUGUGCUGAUUUUACUAUGUGUUUGAAAAUUUUACUAUAGAAAUGCUUUAUAAAAACGCUAGUAUGCUGCUUUGCAUUCUUAGCACAACUAUUAUAUUUUGUUCUUUGAAAGAAUUUUCUAUUGGUUUGUUCAAAGGUUGGUGGCACAGCAGUACCGUCAAACUAUUUUCAUUACAUAACUGACCUUUGUUUAUUUUUUCCAUGGCCCAGGCCGCUGAAGUUACUACUCAAGUGAACUCAUGGGUAGAGAAAGUCACGAGCGGUCGCAUCAAGGACAUUCUCCCCUCAGGAUCUAUUGACAAUACCACUAAACUUGUUCUUGCCAAUGCCCUUUAUUUCAAAGGAGCUUGGACAGAGCAGUUUGAUUCAUAUGGAACAAAAAACGACUACUUCUACCUUCUUGAUGGGAGCUCAGUUCAAACACCAUUCAUGUCCAGCAUGGAUGACCAAUACCUUUUGUCUUCUGAUGGGUUGAAGGUACUUAAGCUUCCUUACAAGCAAGGUGGGGACAAUAGGCAGUUCUCCAUGUAUAUCCUUCUUCCAGAAGCACCGGGUGGUCUCUCAAGCUUGGCCGAAAAAUUGAGUGCUGAACCAGACUUCCUGGAGCGGCAUAUCCCAAGGCAGAGGGUUGCACUUAGGCAAUUCAAGCUCCCCAAGUUCAAGAUAUCAUUUGGAAUUGAAGCAUCCGAUUUGCUCAAAUGUUUGGGCCUCCAGCUUCCAUUCGGCGAUGAAGCGGAUUUUUCGGAGAUGGUGGAUUCCCUAAUGCCACAAGGUCUUCGUGUCUCAUAUGUUUUCCACCAAGCGUUUGUGGAAGUGAACGAACAAGGAACUGAGGCUGCAGCAUCAACUACUAUUAAAAUGGUCCCGCAACAGGCAAGGCCGCCCUCGGUCAUGGAUUUCAUCGCGGAUCACCCUUUCCUCUUCCUUCUCCGGGAAGACAUCUCUGGUGUGGUCCUAUUCAUGGGUCAUGUGGUCAAUCCCCUCUUAUCUUCGUAAUGUGUUUGCUCUGAAAGUGUGUGUUGUCAGUUGCCCUCAGCCAUUACAUGUAAGGGAAGGGUUUCGACGGUCAGUCAUGUUACCGAUACAAUAAAUCCAAUAAAUGGUUCUCCUAAGAUAUCCAAUAAAUUGUCUUUUAAUAACUGCUUGCUUGUUGUGCAAAGGAAAACCAAUUGGACUAUUUUUCAUUAAUCAUUGUGGAUUUGUGGUAGUGCGGAUUUCUCAAAGAACUACUCAUGCCAAAAGAAAAAAUCUAAGUCAUCUUGAUUAGUACUAUCCGACAUGAAUCUCAUCGUCAUUAACAUCUAUAUUUCACAAAAAAAUGCCAAUGGCCACUUUUUGAGAUUGAAUAUGCUCUUCAAUUUCUCUUCUUCUUAGAUUUUUCAUAUCCUCGCUUAUCUUUAGAUACACUAUAACUCCUUGAGAUUGGAGCUCCCAGGGCCGAUUGUGUUGAUCGAUUUACAUGGCCCCACAUGAACGGACGUGACCUUCCACGCUACCCUCUUCCUUGCCGCAGAUCCUUCCUCAGUUUCUCUCCCUUCCGAGAAUCUAUUCCGACAUAGAGACAACGCCUCCAGCACUAUAGUUGGUGCGGCCGACCGCUUUCUGGCUCUCCUCUCCGAUUCCCUGCCUCAGAGCAUCUACAGCCUCAAACACGGUGUGUCUGCGGGCACUGAUCGGUCACUUCACAAAUUGGCAUCUACAUUCGUGUAUUUCAUAUCAGAUCUCCUAUAUCCAUACUAAACUAUGUAGCAUUGAUCAAACUACGUAUAUCAUCAAACGGACAAAAAAUGCACUAUACGUUCAUCAAAAGAUCAUCAACGGAUCUUCGAAAUACCGCCAAAGUUCACAUAGUGCACAUAAAUGACGGACAACUUUAAACUACGUCUAAAAACUGAGCGGAUCUUCAUCACUUCCUCGCCGGAACUUUCCCUUUUCGGUCGCCAGCACAGCUGUAGGCGUCGGCGGCUGGUGGAGGAUCGUCCGAGUCGUCGGACGAGGCGCCGUGGUCGUCACUAUCGUCAGAGGAGGAGCAGAGGAUGAUGAGGCGUUUGAGGCGCCGGACGGCCCGGUCCUGCUGCCGUUUGAGCUCCGCCAGCCGAGCCGCCUCCAAUGCUUUCUCCUCUGCCUCGCGCUCGAACUGCUCGAUGGCAAGCCGGAGCACCUUGGCGUUCUUCCAGCGGAGCUGCCGAUCAUCCGUCUCCGCUGUCGUAAGCGACCGGCAGUAGACCCAAGUGGGGAACCGCUCGUCCCCGUCGAGCUCCGCCGGAAACCCGCGGCGGCGGCGGACAUAUUACUCCUCCGCGUCCCUCUCCCUUGCCCGCUGCCUGCGGUGGCGGGCGUCGGACAGAUUUCUCCGCCGCGUCCCUCUUCCUUGCUCGCUGCCUGUCGUGGCGGGCGGCGCGCGCCUAGCGUGCAUGCCGCGCUCGCUGGGCGGGCACAAGUACCCACCGCUACCCAUGUGGGGGAGCAGCAGCCGACGAGGACAGGGGAUAGUGUGGGGGAGGCGCGGACUGCGCAGCCCUCGUGGCGCUGCGUGUGGGCCGGGAGGGGCCUGCGCCGGCGUCCUCGCUGCGCUGGAAGGGGAGAGGUGAGGCGGCAGAUCCGGAACUGACCUCCGUGUCCACCUUGGACCUCUCGACGGCAAUGCGGAGAGCCAGCACCUCGUCGAUGUUGACGUCAGAGUCGGAGCGGCUGCCGGAACUAGACAUGGUCGCCGGAGUCGUUUGACUGAAUCGAAUCUGGGAAAUCCGAGGAGGAGAAGAGAUGAAACGAGAGCGGAGCGAGGUAGGGUUUUCGAUUGGGGAUAUUUGUGGUGACGGCGUGGGGCCGGUGUGGACCGGGCUACCAUGGCGGACGCACCCGGGGCGCUCGAUAUCCGCCCUAGAUUUGAUCUGAAUAUGAGGGGAGUGAGACAGUCCAAGCAUUUGAGGCUUGUUUGAGGACACGUCUGGAUCAAAUUUUCAUGCUCGGUCAAUGAUCGCGCCAUCCGUCCGGACGUUUGAGACGGAUUUAGAAUGCGCGCCUGUAGAUGCUCUCGGCCUCAAUCUUUCGCCUCCAAACGUUCCCCCGCGACCAACCCAAUCCAGGCCUCGUUCACCGUCUAGCAGUCGUCUGCGCCGCCUCCCGCAAUUCCUCCGACCUCCGGUGCAACACUUCAUGUAACUUCCCUGGAUCAUCGCGCUUCCCGCGCCGUCUCGUCGACAGUCGACGUGCGCUUCUCAUGUUCAAUUUUUCAAGGAUAGUGUCACCGCUUUUUUCUCAUAGUGUUUGGCUGCUCGAUCACCUGGCCGCUGUUAAUCUCAUCUCGGUGAUGCAGCAAACAAAGGAGAGUGCGGGUCUGCAGUUCAAGGUCAGACUGCAGUGCAACUGUGCAAUGUAAGUUUGACUGACACGCUUGGAUCUGCCGCGUCUUUGUGCUGGGUGCUAGUCGCUGCCCUGCUAGAUGCAUGGAAGAGUUGCAUGUAUACACACCGGUGUUGAGCGUUGGUGGCCUCAUUGGUGACUGUCGUGGUUCUAAGUCUGACAAUAGAAUGGGGGGUAAGUAUGGAAAGGCAAGGUCCUAGCUAUGGAGUAGUUGUACACACGGGUGUUUAGCGAGUUUAGACCCUUCUCUGAGGAAGUAACAGCCCUACGUCUCGGAGCCCGGAGGCGGUCGACUGAUCUCUAUGUAUAUGAGUUACAGAAGUGCGAACCUUUCUACCAGUGGAGGGGGGUGGCUUAUAUAGAGGACGCCAGGACCCCAGCCAGCCCACAUAGAGGAGGGUUAAAGUACAUUAAGGCUGGGCGUUACUGGUAACGCCCUAUAUAAAGUGUCAUCAUGACCAUUAAGACUAUUUAAUUACAGACCGUUUGGAUGCAGAGUAGAUCCUGAACUUCCGAUAGUCGAGUGCGUCUUCAUGGUCGAGUGUCUUCUAGCUAGUCGGGUGGAGUCUCCCUUGGUAGAGUGGAGCUUCUUUUGGUCGACCGGAAGGUAGCUUCGUAUGAUAAUGUCCUUUGGCAUGGUAUCCUAGAUAGGUCCAUGACCCUAACCUAGGUACAUAACCUCAUCAUUAGCCCCCGAAUGGAUCGAGGUUCGAGUGAGGAAGGAGUUGACGAUUUUCUCCGACUUAUUUACUGUACUUUGAUUGUGUCGUAUCUUGGAUCGGCGAUUCUUCUUUCGGCGCUGGCGUCGACUUUUACUUCAGUCGCCUUGAUCCAUUCUUAUCUUUUGUCGAGUGAACUUUUGAACUCCGGUGAACUUACGAGCGACGGAUCGCGGGAAGGAUAUCGUCUGACAGAUUGAUCUGCUGUUAGCGGAUUUUGCGGGAUCUGAAAUUUGGGAAGCGCACGAAGCGGGGCAAUCCGCGGCAAUCGGGCGGGAUAAGGCAUGGACGCCUUGAUUUCCGCGUCGCCUUUUUCGCCACGUAUCGUACGUGUGCGACUGUUUCGGGAUGUGACAGAUCUGCUCGGACCCACUCGUCAGCCACUCGGAAGCGCCCUUAUAUAAAGCGUCGGGGAAGAGUUUUUGAACAGUGCCUCCCCAUUCUCCUCUCUUCCCUCUCUGCCUCCGCCCACGGCGCCUGCUCCUAGCUCCGCCUUAUCCACCUCUCGAGCGCUUCGCCGACGAUAAUGGUGAAGGAGAAGACGGCGGUUCUAGAGCGCGCGAAGAAGGUGACGGCGACGGGGCAAGCGAAGGGGAGACCGUCCAGUCGGGGCGGAUCUUCGUCGAGGUCCCGCCUGCCGAAGGGUUGGGUCCAAGGGGAUUGGAUCCGCUCGACCAUCACUGGGAAGGACCUCGACGACCUGGCCAAUGAGGGACUGAUCCCCCACGGGUCAGCAAGGCCCCCGGGGUCCGAGUGUCAACCGCAGCCGCAGGAGGGUGAGCGCGUUCUCUUAGCCACUCACGUAGAUCGUGGUUUUUCUCUGCCGCCGAGUGUGUUCUUCCGUGGGUUUCUGAAAUUCUUUGGGGCGCAACUCCACCAUUUCAAUCCCAAUUCCAUCGCCUAUCUUGCUGCCUUUGUGUCCAUGUGCGAGAACUUCCUGGGUUGUCGACCGCACUGGGGUCUCUUCAAGCACAUAUUCACCUGUCGGUCGCAGACCGUAAAAAAGGCGAGCUCGGGUGAUGAGAGGACCAAGGUUAUUCAGAUGUGCGGGGGUCUUGGGAUUCAGUUGAGGAAUAAGAGCACUUUCCCGGCCAUGACCCUUCCUGAGUCGGUCAGAGGGUGGCAGUCGACUUGAUUCUACUGCCAAGACGAGUCGACGCCGGGGCAGUCGACUGGUCUCCCUCCGUUCUCCAUGGACCGAGUGGUCAAACCGUCUUCUCUGAAGGUGCUUCCUGAGGAGAAAGCCGAGGUAAAAAUGUUGGUGGAGCGCAUGGUCCAACUCGUUCGGGACGGAGUGACGGGCAUGGAUCUUCUGAAAGUAUUCCUUAGGCGGCGCAUCCAACCGCUCCAGUAUCGAGGCCACCCGAUGUGGUUGUACUGCGGUACCGAAGACACCACUCGGGUCCAUCCAGAGGCAGUCGACGACGCCACGCUGGAGAGGUGGGUGACCUCCAUCACAGGGAACAAGGACAACCGUCGAGGAGUGAGGAGGAUCCCGCCACUCGACUGUACCUAUACGCCGGACAAGGUAUGGCCGCUUAUCUCCGAGUGUAAUUUUGUUUUAUCCAUUCUGCUUUGCCACAAAUUGGUCGAUUGAUCUUUGUUUUGCUCUGUUGUCUGAUAGGCCACCACUGAAUUGUACUCGAUUCCCAAUGGGGCGCAGACGCCGACUGAGGAGGAGGAAGGAAGCGGGGGCGAAAGCCCGGAGGAGUGGGAUUCAGAUGUCGACGACGACGAUGAGGGUGAUGACUCUAGUGAGGAGGAAGAAGAGGAGGAAGAGGAGGAAGUUGCACCUCCCCGCUCGGAAAGACGCUCGAAGCUUGCCCAUGAUCCAGCGACUGAGCGGGGUAAGGGGGUCGCAACCGCUUCUCAGUCGACCAAGCGCCCUCGGACCACUUCUCCGGCGCCGACUGAGAAGGCUCCGAAGCAAUCUCGAGUGGCACCGUCGAAGCCUGCAAAGGUCUUGCCGAAGAUGAAGAUGGUGAUCCCCACUAUCUCAGGGUAAUGGUAGUUUUGAGCUUUCCCUGUUUCAUGAACUUGUUCUUGGUCGACUCAUGGUCCAAUCGACUGACUUUUGGAACUGCAGCGUUGCUACUUCCGACACUUCGGCGAGAGCCGAAGACCACGAGAUGGAGGAUGCUGCAACCUCGAACCCUGGUAUGACUCCUGCGUUGCCGUUUUCAGUCGACUGACUCAUUGUCUCUAAUUUUUAUUCUUUCUGCAGUUUCAUCUAACAUUGUUAUUGACCUUCCUGACGACGACGAUGAAUAACCACCACGGCCGAGGAAAAGCAAGAAAACGUCGGCUGGCAAGGCGACUCAGGAUGUGCCGGCACCCGAGACGUUAGUCGUGGAGGGAGACAAUGUCACUCGACCCACCGUAACCUUCGCGGUGCCGUUGAUGAGUGCUCGCCCUUCAUCGUCGAGUGCUGCUCAACCCUCGCUUUUCUCCACCUACCCCGUUCCAGAAGACCAAGCCAGUGCUGCCAAAGAAGCGAUACGCCAGGCGGGGGUCAUGAUGGAGCAAGUGAAGGCAAUUCGAGAAGCCAGCCAGGCAGCCUAUGACGCCAGUUCGGCACUCCAGAGUAAUGUUCAGGUCAGUCGGUCACUGCCUGUUCUUCUUUCUGAAAUUCCUAGAGUCUGUCCUACACCCAGUGGGUGUGUGUCGAUUAAAAUUCCGGGUUAGUGGGGGCACGCUGAGUGCACCCACUGGGUGUAGUCCCCAAGGCUAUGGUGGACUGCUGGCAGUCGACCAUAGUCUUAAUGCUUUGAGUUUUUCUUUACUCGACAAGGUCGAAUAGAUUCAUAGACCGGUGGGGGCACGCUGAGUGCACCCACUGGGUGUAGUCCCCGAGACUGUGGUCGACUGCUGGCAGUUGACUAUAGUCUAAAGAACAUUGCCUCUCUUUUUUUUGUUGGUCGACUAGUCGACUCUUGAUGAAACUAGUGGGGGCACGCUGAGUGCACCCACUGGGUGUAGUCCCCGAGACUAUGGUCGAAUGUUUGCAUUCGACCGUAGUCUUAGAAACGCUAUGAUUUUUCCUUACUCACUCGGAAGUGAAUUUUCUUUGACGUCUGUCGAUUGAUUCUUCGUAGAAAUCAUGUGACCUUGUGGCUCGUUAUACUGAGUUGGAGAACAAACACAUUCAGCUCGAGCUCGAUCUGAAACUGGCCCAAGAGACCUUGACGAAGGCGAAGGAGGAAGCUAAAGGUAUGCUUGGUGAGGCCUUUGACGACUGCCUUUGCCUCUCACUUGUUUCCGAAUCUGAUCUCACUGUAACUUUGUAGGCAAAGUGAUGGACGCCCUGAAGAAACAAGAGCUUGACUUGGCUGAGAUGCAAAAGACUGCUUUAGAGAAGACCAGGCUAGCGGAUGAGAAGCUGGCUUCAGUGACUAAGCUUGAAGAAGAAAACACCAAUCUGAAAGCUGCUCUUGAUGCUGCCAACCAGGAGGUCACUUAACUGAAAAGCGACAAGACCACCCUGAAUGACAAGGCCAGUGAGUUGAAGAGAAAGAAGAAUGAUCUAGAGGCUUAUCUGGGUGGACUCGCCAAGAAGUUGUUCCUCAUGCUUGAAGGUAAUCCUUUGUAUCGAACAAAUAUUUUAAUUGUAACCUCUGACUGUUUGUCUUGACUCGGUGGUUGUGCUUGCAGAAUUUUGUCAGAACUUUGAAGAGGAGACUGGUCGACUGGAAGUGAACCUGGACCCCAUCAACUCUCCUGUGAAAGAUGAAGUUGCCAUGAACAUGCUCCGACUUGAAUCUCGUGUUGCUGCUAUCAUCGAUUAUCUCGCAAGGCUGAAGGUCGCAACUUCCUGCAUCGACACAACACUCUGGCCAAGAGAGACACUCCAGAACGACCUCGAGUCUCUGAUGACUCGACUGAACGAGGUCCCAAGUCGAGUGCAGGAGUGGAAGAAGUCUUCGGCCAGGUGUGGCGCGGAUGUUGCUCUAUCUCUGGUCCGCGUUCACUGCAAGGAUGCAUGAGAGGACAAGCUGGUGGCUCUCAGGGUGGCCAACACCAAGAAGCACGAUUUCAGAUCCUUCAUGGAGACCUUCAUUGCCGCUGCCACUCGGAUUGCAGAUGGAAUCGAUCUGGACGAGUUUGUGGCACCUUCCAGCCCUCCACAGGAGGGGUAAAAAACUUUUGAGCUUGAUACUUUAAAUUUGCCUCGGUAUGCCGAGUGAGUUUUGUAACCGACAAACCUUAACAGGCCUAGCGCCUGAGCACUUUCGGUUCCGCUAGGUGUUAUCCAAACUUGGGUUCGUCGCUGAAUAUGUUUGCAUUUGGUUUGAGGCGUCUUUUGCAGGUUAAAGCGAAGCGCUUAUUGCCAUCGACUUGUCCCCCAAUUCACUUAGGCGGGCACUGGGCUGCAGCUAAGUCCCCGAGCGAGAGGUUUUCCCUCCACUCGGUAGGAUUUCAGACACUUAGGCGAGCACUGGGCCGCAGCUAAGCCCCCGAGUGGGAGGUCUGCUCUCCACUCGGUAGGAUUUCAGAAACUUAGGCGAGCACUGGGCUGCAGCUAAGCCCCCGAGUGGGAGGUCUGCUCUCCACUCAGUAGGAUUUCAAACACUUAGGCGAGCACUGGGCUGCAGCUAAGCCCCCGAGUGGGAGGUCUGCUCUCCACUCGGUAGGAUUUCAGACACUUAGGCGAGCACUGGGCUGCAGCUAAGCCCCCGAGUGGGAGGUCUACUCUCCACUCGGUAGGAUUUCAGACNNNNNNNNNNNNNNNNNNNNNNNNNNNNNNNNNNNNNNNNNNNNNNNNNNNNNNNNNNNNNNNNNNNNNNNNNNNNNNNNNNNNNNNNNNNNNNNNNNNNNNNNNNNNNNNNNNNNNNNNNNNNNNNNNNNNNNNNNNNNNNNNNNNNNNNNNNNNNNNNNNNNNNNNNNNNNNNNNNNNNNNNNNNNNNNNNNNNNNNNNNNNNNNNNNNNNNNNNNNNNNNNNNNNNNNNNNNNNNNNNNNNNNNNNNNNNNNNNNNNNNNNNNNNNNNNNNNNNNNNNNNNNNNNNNNNNNNNNNNNNNNNNNNNNNNNNNNNNNNNNNNNNNNNNNNNNNNNNNNNNNNNNNNNNNNNNNNNNNNNNNNNNNNNNNNNNNNNNNNNNNNNNNNNNNNNNNNNNNNNUAAGCCCCCGAGUGGGAGGUCUGCUCUCCACUCGGUAGGAUUUCAGACACUUAGGCGAGCACUGGGCUGCAGCUAAGCCCCCGAGUGGGAGGUCUGCUCUCCACUCGGUAGGAUUUCAGAAACUUAGGCGAGCACUGGGCUGCAGCUAAGCCCCCGAGUGGGAGGUCUGCUCUCCACUCGGUAGGAUUUCAAACACUUAGGCGAGCACUGGGCUGCAGCUAAGCCCCCGAGUGGGAGGUCUGCUCUCCACUCGGUAGGAUUUUUGAAUUGGUGGCGCAACUCGGAAGGAGAGGGUAGCAGUCGACCUGCACCUCGUCCUCCUUGCGGAACGCAUGUUGUACUUGUACUUAGGCGAGUUCUUGGACUGCAGCUAGGCCUCCGAGUGGAAGGCUGGCUUACCACUCGGUAGGAUUUUAUUUAUCUUAGGCGAGUACUUGGACUGCAGCUAAGCCUCCGAGUGGAAGGCUGGCUUACCACUCGGUAGGAUUUUAUUUAUCUUAGGCGAGUACUUGGACUGCAGCUAAGCCUCCGAGUGGAAGGCUGGCUUACCACUCGGUAGGAUUUUAUUUAUCUUAGGCGAGUACUUGGACUGCAGCUAAGCCUCCGAGUGGAAGGCUGGCUUACCACUCAGUAGGAUUUUAUUUAUCUUAGGCGAAACGGAUUUUACAGCUAAGCCUUCGUGUGGGAGACUGACUCACCACUCGGUUAGGAUUUGUUUUUACAGACUUAGGCGAAUCGGAUUCGCAGCUAAGCCACCCACUGGGGGAUUGUUUUAUAUGGACAAAAGUAAUAACAAUCACUGGGAAAACUAUAAAGCUCUUGUCUUUGAUAAAUAAACUACAGGAGUACUUUUAUUACAACUCAUCCGAGUGAAUACCUAAGUGUAAAAGGGGCGGAGAAGCUCCGCGUUCCAAGCUCGGGGCUCGUCAAUCUGAUGCUUGACAUUGUAAAGACGGUAUGCUCCAUUGUGGAGAACCUUGGUGACCAUGAAGGGACCUUCCCAAGAAGGAGCAAGCUUGUGUGGUUUCUGCUGGUCCACUCGGAGAACUAAAUCUCCUUCCUGGAAGGCUCGACUCUUCAUGUUUUUGGCGUGGAAGCGACGCAAGUCUUGUUGAUAAAUGGUCGAUCUGAUCAGAGCCAUCUCUCUUUCUUCCUCUAAAAGGUCGACUGCGUCCUGCCGCGCUUGUUCUGCUUCAGCUUCGGUGUAGAGCUCGACUCGGGGAGCGUUGUGGAGAAGAUCACUCGGCAAGACUGCUUCAGCUCCGUAGACCAAGAAGAAUGGAGUUCUUCCAGUCGACCGGUUGGGUGUGGUCCUUAACCCCCAAAGCACCGAGGGAAGUUCGUCAACCCAUGCACCAGCCGCAUGCUUGAGAUCACGCAUCAAACGGGGCUUCAACCCUUUGAGAAUUAAACCGUUGGCUCAUUCUGCCUGUCCAUUCGUCUGCGGAUGGGCAACUGAAGCAUAGUCGACUCGCGUGCCUUGAGACGUGCAGAAAGCUCUGAAUUCUUCAGAAUCGAAGUUUGACCCGUUAUCAGUGAUGAUGUUGUGCGGGACUCCAUAUCUAAAUAUCAGUUCUCGGAUGAAGCUGACAGCGGUACCAGCAUCGAGGUUCUUGAUGGGUUUGGCCUUAAUCCACUUGGUAAACUUGUCGACUGCUACCAGCACAUGUGUGAAACCGCUUCUUCCUGUUCUCAAUGGGCCAACCAUAUCCAAACCCCAUACAACAAAGGGCCAGACAAGUGGUAUGGUCUUUAAGGCUGAGGCAGGCUUGUGUGACAUAUUGGAGUAAAAUUGACAUCCCUCACACUUGUCGACUAUCUCCUUCGCCAUUUCAUUCGCUCUGGGCCAAUAAAAACCAGCUCGGUAUGCUUUGGCCACGAUGGUCCGAGAAGACGCAUGAUGGCCACAGGUCCCCGAGUGGAUGUCAUUGAGAAUCAUUCGACCUUCCUCCGGUGUUAUGCAUUUCUGGCUGACUCCAGUCGCACUUUCUCUGUACAACUGACCUCUCAUGACGGUGAAGGCUUUGGACCGGCGGACGAUCUCUCGAGCUUCUUCUUCAUUCUCGGGGAGUUCCUUCCUCAAAAUAUAGGCGAUGUAGGGCACUGUCCAAUCGGGAGUGAUGACCAAAACUUCCAUGAUCAAGUCGACCACCGCUGGGACCUCGACUUCAGUCGGAUCUGUGGCGCUUUUAGGCUGCGGGGCUUCUGCAGUGAAAGGAUCCUCUUGAACCGAUGGCGUGUAGACAUGUUCCAAAAACACGCCACUCGGAAUGGCUUCCCUCUUGGAACCUAUCUUUGCCAAGUCAUCGGCUGCUUGAUUUUUCAGUCGGGGAACGUGAUGGAGUUCUAACCCUUCGAAUUUCUUUUCAAGCUUCCUCACUGCAUUGCAGUAUCUAGUCAUGGAUGGGCUUCUCACGUCCCACUCCUUCAUCACCUGAUUGACCACCAAAUCUGAGUCGCCGUAAACCAUAAGGCGACGGACGCUGAGUGAAAUGUCCAUGCGCAACCCAUACAACAGUGCUUCAUAUUCUGCUUCAUUGUUGGAGGAAUCAAAGUGGAUCUGGAGCACAUAUCUGAGCUUAUCUCCUCGGGGAGAAACCAAAACUACCCCAGCACCAGAACCAUUUAACAUCUUAGAGCCAUCAAAGAACAUGGUCCAAUGCUCCGAGUGAACUUGAGUCGGCUGCUGCUGUUCAAUCCACUCGGCAAGGAAAUCUGCUAUAGCCUGGGACUUAAUGGCUUUCUUUGCCUCGAAUUUGAUAUCAAGGGGAAGGAGUUCAAUCGCCCAUUUAGCCACUCGACCAGUUGCAUCUCUGUUGUGCAGAAUCUCCGACAAUGGUGCGUCGCUGACGACUAUAAUGUCAUGAUCAGAGAAAUAAUGAGCAACCUUCUUCAUGGUCAUGUAGAUCCCAUAUACGAGCUUCUGAUAAUGAGGAUAUCUUUGCUUCGAUCGGGUCAAAACUUUAGAGAGAUAAUACACUGGGCGCUGAACUUUGAAGGCUUUCCCUUCUACUUCCCGCUCGACCGUAAGUAUUGUACUGACGACUUGUCCUGUGGCUGCAAUAUAAAGCAACAGUGGCUCUUUACUGAUUGGAGCGGCAAGCACCGGCUAGGUGGAGAGCAGAGUUUUUAACUCGGCAAACGCUGCAUCAGCUUUUGGAGUCCACUCGAACUUGUCUGCCUUCUUCAUCAGUCGGUAAAGGGGCAACGCCUUUUCACCGAGGCGAGAGAUGAAUCGACUUAACGCGGCCAGGCAUCCAGUAAGCUUCUGGACAUCGUGCACACGCACAGGGCGUUUCAUUCGGAGUAUGGUGCCAACUUUUUCUGGGUUAGCAUCGAUUCCUCGUUCCGAAACGAGAAAACCGAGUAACUUCCCACCAGGUACUCCGAAUGUGCACUUUGAAGGAUUGAGCUUGAUAUCAUACCUCCUGAGAUUGGCAAAUGUUUCAGCUAAGUUAGUCAACAGGUCGGAACCCUUUCGCGACUUGACCACGAUAUCAUCCAUGUAUGCUUCCACAUUCCAACUAAUUUGAGUGAGUAAACACUUUUGAAUCAUUCUCAUGAAUGUGGCUCCGGCAUUCUUGAGGCCGAAAGGCAUGGUGAUAUAGCAGAAGCACCCGAAUGGGGUGAUGAAAGCUGUUUUGAUUUCAUCGGGCCCAUACAGACGGAUCUGAUGAUACCCGGAAUAAGCGUCCAGAAAAGACAAUCUCUCGCACCCUGCGGUCGAGUCGACAAUUUGGUCGACGCGAGGGAGAGGAAAAUGAUCUUUCGGGUAGGCCUGAUUGAUAUGUUUGAAAUCAAUGCACAUACGAAGGGAAUUGUCCUUUUUGCGAACCAUAACGACAUUGGCGAGCCACUCGGAGUGGUAUAUCUCUCGGAUGAACUCUGCUGCAAGGAGUCGAGCCACCUCUUCGCCAAUGGCUUUUUUGUUCUGAACAGCGGACCGUCGAAGAUGUUCUUUAACGAGUUUUGCCUUUGAAUCGACUCUAAGGCGAUGCUCAGCCAGUCCCCUGGGAACACCUGGCAUGUCAGCUGGCUUCCAUGCGAAGAUGUCCCAGUUCUCACGGAGGAACUGGAUGAGCGCUUCUUCCUAUUUAGAGUCGGGUGUAGUGGAAAUAUGGGUCGGAGCUGCAUUGGGGUCAGUCGGGUGGAUGUGAACUGGCUUCGUCUCACCGGACGACUGAAAUGCUGACUCUGUGGCGGGCUUCUUGGCUCGCAGUAAAUCACUCGGAUCUGCGUUCUUCUUGUACCCCUCUAGCUCUAUCACUGUUAUCUGGUCAUCCGCAAUCUUUGAGCCUUUCUGGAAACACUCUUCUGCUUUCUUCCGGUUACCAGUGACGGUGAUCACGCCUUUGGGGCCAGGCAUCUUUAACUUGAGGUACACGUAACAUGGUCGAUCCAUGAAGCGGGCGUAGGCUGGUCUUCCCAAGAUAGUGUGGUAGGCGCUCUGGAAAUCCACGAUUUCAAAUGUCAGCUUCUCUUUGCGGAAAUGCUUCGAGUCACCGAACACCACAUCCAGAGCUAUUUGGCCGAGUGACUCAGCCUUCUUUCCUGGGAUGACUCCGUGAAAACUCAUGUUGCUGGAACUGAGCCUGGACAUCGGAAUGCCCAUUCCCUUGAGCGUCUCUGCAUAUAGUAUGUUCAACCCGCUGCCGCCAUUCAUCAAUACCUUCGUCAGUCGAGUGCCUUCGACGACCGGGUCGGCCACCAGUGCUUGCCUCCCAGGGGUGGCAAUAUGAGUAGGAUGGUCCGACUGGUCGAAAGUAAUGGGAGUUUGCGACCAUCUCAGAUAGUUUGGUGUUGCUGGUGCGACCAUAUUGACUUCACGGUUGAUCACUUUCAGUCGACUUUUGCUCUCUACAUCAGCAAAAAUCAUCAGAGUGAAGUUGACAUGAGGGUACUCACCAUCACUGUCCUGCUUGUCCUCAGCCUUGUCUGACUCCUUCUCUUUGUCCUUCAGCUGUUUCCCUUGGAACUGCUGGAUUAAGAGCCGGCACUGGCGAGUGGUAUGCUUUGGGUAGAUGAAGUUACCCUCUUCGUCUUUCUUCGUGUGGAUAUGACACGGCAGGUCCAUCACAUCAUUACCCUCCUUAUCUUUUACCUUCUUGGGGUUCCAAGAUCCUUUGGGCUUCCCUUUAAAUUUGCCCUGUGUCACGGCUAGAGCCUCUCCAGGAGCUGCUGGCUCGGCCUUCCGCUUCUGCUUCCGACUGGAGUUUCCUUUAUCCGACUAACUCGGCUUGUACUUGCCGCUCCGGAGUCGGUCCUCUUCUUCGCCGUUGGCGUACUUGGUGGCUAUUUCCAUCAUCCGACUCAGGGUCAUGUCUCCAGUUCGACCAAACUUCAGGCUCAACUCUUUGUUCUUGACGCCAUCUUUGAAGGCGCAAACCGCUUGAUGGUCCGACACAUUCUCUACAGUGUGAUGCAAAGUGAUCCACCUCUGGAUGUAAUCCCUCAGUGUUUCACUCGACUUUUGUACACAAACUUGUAGCUCAGUUAAUCCAGCAGGUCGCUUGCAAGUUCCCUCAAACGUCCUGACGAACACUCGAGAAAGAUCUACCCAGGUGUAAAUGUUGCUGGGAGCUAACUGAUUCAACCAUGCCCUGGCUGAACCUCCUAGAAUAAGUGGCAAAUGUUUCAUGGCCACCUCAUCAUUACCGCCACCAAUCUGAACAGCCACUCGGUAGUCUUCGAGCCAAGUUUCAGGCUUAGACUCUCCGGUGAACUUAUUCACCCCAUUCGCCAACCUGAAGUUGGGGGGUAUCACUGCGGUUCUGAUCGCUCUGCGAAAACAUUCUGGACCUGAAACAUGGACUCGGCUGCUUGUGGGCACAUCUCUGUCAUGACCACCUCUAUGAGCUCUGUUUCAGUCGACCAAACCUUGCACGAUGAUGGAUCUCGCGUCAAAGCCUGGCUCUCUGGGGUCGACUGGAGCUCUCUGCCCAACACUGAGCUGGCUUCUAUCAUCUUGCUGCCGAUGGGCGUUAGACCCACUUCUCGGAGGAGGAGUGGGCACUCGACGCCUGUCAUCACGAUCAAAUCGAUCAUCAUAGUGGUCCCGCCGGCCUUCACGUCCCACGCGCCUCGGAGGCGACCUUGGACUGUCAGCUGACUGAAUAGUAUUCGCAGCAACAGAUCGACUGUGAAUCCUGUUAGGUGACUGUGACACAGCUGAAUUCUGAUCUCCUGCUGCCCGGAGCAAAUCUCUGAUCUGCAUCAAGCCUCUUCCAGCCUCUGACUGAGAGGGCUGAAUUGACUCUGCUAUGCGGGCUGCAGCUGCCAAAUUCUGAAUUGGGGUUCGAUAUACCUGAGUUGGUUGCGGAAAGAGCUGACGUCGAUUGGAGUUAGUCGCUCGUUGACGCGCAUGCUCGUCGAGUGCUCGCUGAAGGUUCUCCAGUCGAGUGUGUUCAGCCAGGUUGGCUAAACGCGCCUCUUCCAGGGCACGAGCCUCAGGAGUUUCUCCUGCAAUGGGAGUAUGCAGGGCAUCCAUGUUCUGGCGGCGAAGUUCUUCCCUCUGCUGGGAAGUGAGCGGCUCGGGUUGGUACUCUUCAUGGGCUUGAGCAGGGUCAUCCUCGUCGUCCAUCCCGUCGCCACGGGGGAAACCGGGAGGACUACGGGGCCCAUUGACCAUCAGGACCUCCGCCGUCGGAUCACUGCUAUCGCACUCGGAUGCAGCCUCUACAGAGCCAGUCGACAGGUCGAAUAGGCCGUAGAGAGAUCCGUCAGGCUCAAUCGCCGCGACUUGGGUGGUGGCCGAUUGGCGAGCCACUGCGUGUCUCACCCAUCGCUGGAGCCUCAACCGACCGGAGCGCUUGCGCUGGCGGGAGACAGGGAGGGAGGACGGCGCAGGAGUCGACCGGUAUGGGGUCGACGGCUGCCGCAGCAAGACGCUGCGGACACACACCCGAAAGUGCAUCGCCCCGCGGACGGGGAGCGCUCCGAUGUCGAGUGGUGCCUCCUGGAGCCAAGCGGAGUCGUCGGCGAUGAAAGUGAGCGCACCGAGACGGAUCUCGUGGCCCUCGACCAGAGCUCUGCCAGAAACCAUGAUGAAGGCGAUCGGACAAAUUGCAACUUCUCCAAAAAAGUCGCUAAGACACCUGCCCCACGGUGGGCGCCAACUGUCGUGGUUCUAAGUCUGACAGUAGAAUGGGGGGUAAGUAUGGAAAGGCAAGGUCCUAGCUAUGGAGUAGUUGUACACACGGGUGUUUAGCGAGUUCAGGCCCUUCUCUGAGGAAGUAACAGCCCUACGUCUCGGAGCCCGGAGGCGGUCGACUGAUCUCUGUGUAUAUGAGUUACAGGGGUGCGAAACUUUCUACCAGUGGAGGGGGGUGGCUUAUAUAGAGGACGCCAGGACCCCAGCCAGCCCACGUAGGGGGGGUAAAAGUACAUUAAGGCUGGGCGUUAUUGGUAACGCCCUACAUAAAGUGUCAUCAUGACCAUUAAGACUAUUUAAUUACAAACCGUUUGGAUGCAGAGUAGAUCCUGAACUUCCGAUAGUCGAGUGCGUCUUCAUGGUCGAGUGUCUUCUAGCCGGUCGAGUGGAGUCUCCCUUGGUCGAGUGGAGCUUCUUUUGGUCGACUGGAAGGUAGCUUCAUAUGAUAAUGUCCUUGGGCAUGGUAUCCUAGAUAGGUCCAUGACCCUACCCUAGGUACAUAACCUCAUCAGUGACCCCGUGGACGAAAAAGGUCUGAACAUUUUUCUGAUUUGCACACACCCUGUCGAUCCUGGACACACCAGAAAAGGCCAAUCUUUUUUAUUUAGCUGCCUAUGUUUUUACACAAAACUAUGAAGAACAUAGAGGGCAGCUUUGGGUCACGGAAAAAACUUAUACUGUGUGCAAAAGAAAUCAUGAUUUCAGCAGCACUGAAUAUGUACAGCAAAGGUCGAAACAAUUUAUCAAAAAAUGUGUCUGUGUUUCAUUCUUCCGCAAUACAAUAAGAAGUCCACCACUAAAGCUUUUUCCUCCUCCACAAGUAAAGUCCCUUAUCCUCCGGUCGGCGUCGCCGUCGGUCCGCCCCAUCUCUGAUGGCCUCUGGGCCAUGGAGUCGCCGAGGAUCCCAGCCCUUGUUCUCCUCCUUGUUAGAUUUAGCGUCUUGGUUGGGGUUGGGUGGAGGCGGCGAUGUCCCUUAAUAGGAAUAAUGUAUGAUUGGUUAUCUUUGUAAGUAUCUUCGAGUUAUCAGUUUGGUUUGGCCUACUAGAUUUAUCUUUCUUGCAAUGUUAGAAGUGCUUAGCUUUGGGUUCAAUCUUGCGGUGUCCUUUCCCAGUGACAGCAGGGGCAGCAAGGCACGUAUUGUAUUGUUGUCAUCGAGGAUAAAAAGAUGGGGUUUAUAUCAUAUUGCUUGAGUUUAUCCCUCUACAUCAUGUCAUCUUGCCUAAUGUGUUACUUUGUUCUUAUGAAUUUAAUACUCUAUAUGCAAGCUGGAUAGCGGUCAAUGUGUGGAGUAAUAGUAGUAAAUGCAGGCACGAGUCGGUCUACUUGUCGUGGACGUGAUGCCUUGAUACGUCUCCAACGUAUCUAUAAUUUUUUAUUGUUCCAUGCUAUUAUAUUACCCGUUUUGGAUGUUUAUGGACUUUACUUUACACUUUUAUAUUAUUUUUGGGACUAACCUACUAACCGGAGACCCAACCCGUAUUGCUGUUUUUUUUGCCUAUUUCAGUGUUUUGAAGAAAAGGAAUAUCAAACAGAGUCCAAACGGAAUGAAACCUUCAGGAGCGUGAGUUUUGGAACAAACGUGAUCCAAGGGACUUGGAGUGCAAGUCAAGAAGCAAUCGAGGCGGCCACCAGGGUGGAGGGCGCCCCCUAUCUCGUGGGCCCCUCGGGCGUCCACCGACCUACUUCUUCCUCCUAUAUAUACCCACGUACCACGAGAACAUCAAAGGCGACCACGAAAAACUAUUUCCACCACCGUAACCUUCUGUAUUCACGAGAUCCCAUCUUGGAGCCUUCGUCAUUGCUCCAUCGGAGAGGGAAUCAACCAUGGAGGGCUUCUACAUCAACACCAUAGCCUCUCCAAUUAGUUGUGAGUAGUUUACCACAGACCUUCGGGUCCAUAGUUAUUAGCUAGAUGGCUUCUUCUCUCUCUUUGAAUCUCAAUAUCAUGUUCUCCUCGAUCUUCUUGGAGAUCUAUACGGUGUAACUCUUUUUGCGAUGUGUUUGUCUCGAUCCGAUGAAUUGUGGGUUUAUGAUCAAGUUUAUCUAUGAGAAAUAUUUGAAUCUCCUCUGAAUUCUUUUAUGUGUGAUUAAGUUAUCUUUGCAAGUCUCUUCAAAUUAUCAGUUUGGUUUGGCCUACUAGAUUGAUCUUUCUUGCAAUGGGAGAAGUUCUUAGCUUUGGGUUCAAUCUUGCGGUGUCCUUUCCCAGUGACAGCAGGGGCAGCAAGGCAUGUAUUGUAUUGUUGUCAUCGAGGAUAAAAAGAUGGGGUUCAUAUCAUAUUGCAUGAGUUUAUCCCUCUACAUCAUGUCAUCUUUCUUAAUGCGUUACUCUGUUAUUUAUGAACUUAAUACUCUAGAUGCAUGCUGGAUAGCGGUCGAUGUGUGGAGUAAUAGUAGUAGAUGCAGGCAGGAGUCGGUCUACUUGUUAUGGACGUGAUGCCUAUAUACAUGAUCAUGCCUAGAUAAUCUCAUAAUUAUUUGCUUUUCUAUCAAUUGCUCGACAGUAAUUUGUUCACCCACCGUAAUACUUAUGCUAUCUUGAGAGAAGCCACUAGUGAAACCUAUGGCCCCCGGGUCUAUCUUUUAUCAUAUAAGCUUUCAAUCUACUUUUAUUUGCAUCUUUACUUUUCCAAUCUAUAUUAUAAAAUACCAAAAAUAUAUUUAUCUUAUCAUACUAUCUCUAUCAGAUCUCACUUUCGUAAGUGGCCGUGAAGGGAUUGACAACCCCGUUAUUGCGUUGGUUGCGAGUUCUUGUUUGUUUGUGUAGGUGCGUCGGACUUUUGAGGAGCCUCCUACUGGAUUGAUACCUUGGUUCUCAAAAACUGAGGGAAAUACUUACGCUACUAUUGUUGCAUCACCCUUUCCUCUUCAAAGAAAACCAACGCAAGCUCAAGACGUAGCAUGCCUAUAUACAUGAUCAUGCCUAGAUAUUCUCAUAACUAUGCACUUUUCUAUCAACUGCUCGACAGUAAUUUGUUCACCCGCCGUAAUAUUUAUGCUAUCUUGAGAGAAGCCACUAGUGAAACCUAUGGCCCCGGGUCUAUUUUCCAUCAUAUAAGUUUCCGAUCUACUUUAUUUAGCAAUCUUUACUUUUCAAUCUAUAUCAUAAAAAUACCAAAAAUAUUUAUCUUAUUAUUAUCUCUAUCAUAUCUCACUUUCGCAAGUGGCCGUGAAAAGAUUGACAACCCCUUUAUCGCGUUGGUUGCGAGGUUCUUGUUUGUUUAUGUAGGUACGAGGGACUUGCGUGUAGCCUCCUACUGGAUUGAUACCUUGGUUUUCAAAAGUUGAGGGAAAUACUUACGCUACUUUGCUGCAUCACCCUUUCCCGCUUCAAGGGAAAACCAACGCAGUGCUCAAGAGGUAGCAAGAAGGAUUUCUGGCGCCGUUGCCGGGGAGGUCUACGCACAAGUCAAGACAUACCAAGUACCCAUCACAAACUCUUCUCCUCGCAUUACAUUAUUUUCCAUUUGCCUCUUGUUUUCCUUUCCCCCACUUCACCCUUGCCGUUUUAUUCGCGCUCCCUUUCCCGUUCGCCUCUUUUUCCGCUUGCUUCUUGUGGUACUUGCUUUCACUAUGUCUGAAACUGGGGAGGUUAUCAUUGAUAAGGACAAUAGUAAUAACAUGGGAAACUUUGAUGCUUUUGAUGAUCCUACUGAAGAAACCACUAUCUUACAUACUAAAAGAUUUCGAAUCGGUAGUGGUAAUAUUAUUGGAAAAGGGGUUAUUCAAGAUUCUUUACUUGUGUUGGUGCUUUACCUUCUAUGGGUGGAUCUAUUCUUCAUAGAACUAGUAGUCUUGCGGAUGCUAUAUCCUUGCUUAUAGUUGAACUUGAAAGACAGUUUAUGCAUAUGCAUCCUUGCAUACAAAGGAUUUUUCUAGAAUUUUCCAAUAUUGAGCAUUCUUCUGUUAAGCGCGCAGCUACUAUCUUUUUGGCACAUGAGUUCAGAUUUAUAAUAAAAGAAGCCAGAGAAAUCUUUGCGCACUAUAGGGUGGACGCUGGUCGCCCUCCCAUUUAGGCGAUCCUUUUUAAUCAAGAAGACAUAAUGCGUUUACAAUCCUUAGAUCGUGUUGCUUUUAAUGAAAACCUUAGGAAAAAGGUUCCUACCGAUGUUCUAGUUGAUAGAAUCUCUGAACUUAAUGAUGAUUUUGCUAUUCAUAACAAUGGGUUGGGAUUUUCUCUUGAGCAAAGGCUCAUGACUUUUUGCCAAAAGAAUGCUUAUAAUGAUGAAUUGGUUGUGUAAUAUGAAGGGCCAAAGGAGGAACCCAUACCUCCCGAGCUUGAUCUUGGGGACUUUUGUCCCAUUAAAUUUAGCCCUUUUGAUUACUUUUGCUUGCCACAAAGAAAACUUGUUGUUGAACGUAGGGAAUAUGAGAUGAGUUUUCGUGAUUUACCUUAUCAUUACGGCAAUAAUUAGAUCUAUUCUCGCUUUUAUGCCUAGCUAGGGGCGUUAAACGAUAGCGCUUGUUGGGAGGCAACCCAAUUUUAUUUUUGUUCUUUACUUUUUGCUCCUGUUUAGUAUUAAAUAAUUCAUCUAGCCUCUGGUUAGAUGUGGUUUUAUGUUUUAGUUAGUGUUUGUGCCAAAUAGAACCUAUAGGAUCAUCUUGGGUGAUAGUUAAUUUGAUCUUGCUAAAAAACAGAAACUUUUGCGCACACGAGAAUAAUUUUAAUAAAUCACAGAAACAUGAUUUUGAGUUGAUUAUUUUUUAAGAAGAUUAAUAGACAAAUUUACUAGGACUUCCUAUUUUCGUAGGACUUUUAAGGUUCUAGAAGUAUUCGAAAGUUACAGAUUACUACAGACUGUUCUGUUUUUGACAGAUUCUGUUUUUUGUGUGUUGUUUGCUUAUUUUGAUGAAUCUAUGGCUAGUAUCGGGGGGUAUGAACCAUAGAUAAGUUGGAAUACUGCAGGUUUAACACCAAUAUAAAUAAAGAAUGAUUUCAUUACAGUACCUUAAAGUGGUGGUUUGCUUUUUUGCACUAACGGAGCUCAUGAGAUUUUUUGUUGAGUUUUGUGUUGUGAAGUUUUCAAGUUUUGGGUAAAGAUUUGAUGGAUUAUGGAAUAAGGAGUGGCAAGAGCCUAAGCUUGGGUAUGCUCAAGGCACCCCAAGAUAAAUUCAAGGACAACCAAAAGCCUAAGCUUGGGGAUGCCCCGGAAGGCAUCCCCUUGUCUUCAUCUAUCAGUAACUUUACUUGGAGCUAUAUUUUUAUUCACCACAUGAUAUGUGUUUUGCUUGGAGCGUCUUGAAUGAUAUGAGUCUUUGAUUUUUAGUUUACCACAAUCAUCCUUGCUGUACACACAUUUUGGGAGAGACACACAUGAAUCGGAAUUUAUUAGAAUACUCUAUGUGCUUCACUUAUAUCUUUUGAGCUAGAUAAUUUUGCUCUAGUGCUUCACUUAUAUCUUUUUAGAGCACGGCGGUGGUUUUAUUUUGUAGAAAUUAUUGAUCUCUCAUGCUUCACUUAUAUUAUUUUGAGAGUCUUUUAGAACAGCAUGGUAUUUGCUUUGGUUAUAAAAUUAGUCCUAAUAUGAUGGGCAUCCAAGUUGGGUAUAAUAAAAAUUGUCAUAGAAAGUGCAUGAAACACUAUAAGAAAUUUGAUACUUGAUAAUUGUUUUGAGAUAUAAAGGUGGUAAUGUUAGAGUCAUGCUAGUUGGGUAAUUAUGAAAUUGAGAAAUACUUGUGUUAAAGUUGGCAAGUCCCGUAGCAUGCACGUAUGGUAAACGUUGUGUGACAAAUGUGUUGCACGGGGUGUUCUUUUGAUUGCCUUCCUUAUGUGUGGAGGUCGGGAUCGCGCGAUGGUUAACUCCUACCAACCCUUCCCCUAGGAGCAUGCGUAGUAGUACUUUGCUUCGAGGGCUAAUAAACUUUUGCAAUAAGUAUAUGAGUUCUUUAUGACUAAUGUGAGCCCAUGGAUUAUACGCACUCUCACCCUUCCACCAUUGCUAGCCUCUCUUGUGCCGCGCAACUUUCGCCAGUAUCAUACACCCACCAUUUACCUUCCUCAAAACAGCCACCAUACCUACCUAUUAUGGAAUUUCUAUAGCCAUUCCAAGAUAUAUUGCCAUGCAACUCUCCACCGUUCCGUUUAUUAUGACACGCUCCAUCAUUGUCAUAUUGCUUUUGCAUGAUCAUGUAGUUGACAUCGUAUUUGUGGCAAAGCUACCGUUAUAAUUCUUUCAUACAUGUCACUCUUGAUUCAUUGCAUAUCCUGGUACACCGCUGGAGGCAUUCACAUAGAGUCAUAUUUUGUUCUAAGUAUUGACUUGUAAUUCUUGAGUUGUAAAUCAAUAAAAGUGUGAUGAUCUUCAUUAUUAGAGCAUUGUCCCAAGUGAGGAAAGGAUGAUGGAGACUAUGAUUCCCCCACAAGUCACUAUGAGACUCCGGACCUCAUGAUAAAUAAAAGAGGCCAAAGAAGCCCAAAUAAAAAAGAGAGGCCAAAGAAGCCCACCCAAAAAAAUGAGAGAAAAAGAGAGAAGGGACAUUGUUACUAUGCUUUUUCCAGACUUGUGCUUCAAAGUAGCACCAUGAUCCUCAUGGUAGAGUCUCCUAUGUUGUCACUUUCAUAUACUUGUGGGAAUUUUUCAUUAUAGAACUUGGCUUGUAUAUUACAAUGAUGGGCUUCCUCAAAAUGCCCUAGGUCUUUGUGAGUAAGCGAGUUGGAUGCACACCCACUUAGUUUCUUUUGUUGAGCUUUCACACAUUUAUAGCUCUAGUGCAUCUGUUGCAUGGCAAUCCCUACUCACUCACGUUGAUAUCUAUUAAUGGGCAUCUCCAUAGGCCGUUGAUACGCCUAGUCAAUGUGAGACUUUCUCCUUUUUUGUCUUCUCCACACAACCUCCAUCAUCAUAUUCUAUUCCACCCAUAGUGCUAUAUCCAUGGCUUACGCUCAUGUAUUGCGUGAGAGUUGAAAACGCUGAAGCGCGUUAAAAAGUAUGAACCAAUUGCUUGGCUGAAACCGGGGUUAUGCAUGAUGGGAGUAUUUUGUGUGACAAAAAUGAAGCAUAGCCUAACUAUAUGAUUUUGUAGGGAUAAGCUUUCUUUGGCUACAUUAUUUUGAUAAGACAUGAUUACUUGUUAGUAUGCUUAAAGUAUUACUAUUUUUAUGUUAAUAUGAACUUUUAUUUUGAAUCAUUUGGAUCUGAACAUUCAUGCCACAAUAAAGAAAAUUACAUUGAGAAAUAUGCUAGGUAGCAUUCCACAUCAAAAAUUCUGUUUUUAUCAUUUACCUACUCGAGGACGAGCAGGAAUUAAGCUUGGGGAUGCUUGAUACGUCUCCAAGGUAUCUAUAAUUUUUUAUUGUUCCAUGCUAUAUAUUACCCGUUUUGGAUAUUUAUGGGUUUUACUAUACACUUGUAUAUCAUUUUUUGGACUAACCUAUUAACCGGAGGCCCAGCCCAAAUUGUUGUUUUUGCCUAUUUCAGUGUUUCGCAGAAAAGGAAUAUCAAACGGAGUCCAAACGGAAUGAAACCUUCGGGAGAGUUAUUUUUAAAACAAACGCAAUCCAGGAGACUUGGAGUGGAUGUCAAGAAAAAAACAAGGCGGCCAUGAGGCAGGGAGGCGCGCCCUAGGGGGGUGGGCGCGCCCCCCACCCUCGUGGGCCCCUCGUGGCUCCUCUGACCGACUUUCUUCGCCUAUAUAUAUCUACAUACCCUGAAAACAUCCAGGAGCACCACGAAACCCUAUUUCCACAACCGCAACCUUCUGUACCCGUGAGAUCCCAUCUUGGAGCUUUUUCCGGCGCUCCGCCGGAGGGGGAAUCGAUCACGGGGGGCUUCUACAUCAACACCAUAGCCUCUCCGAUGAGUUGUGAGUAGUUUAUCACAGACCUUCGGGUCCAUAGUUAUUAGCUAGAUGGCUUCUUCUCUCUCUUGAAUCUCAAUACAAAGUUCUCCUCGAUCUUCUUGGAGAUCUAUUCGAUGUAAUUCUUUUUGCGAUGUGUUUGUGGAGAUCCAUGAAUUGUGGGUUUAUGAUCAAGUUUAUCCAUGAGAAAUAUUUGAAUCUCCUCUAAAUUCUUUUAUAUAUGAUUGGUUAUCUUUGCAAGUCUCUUCGAAUUAUCAGUUUGCUUUGGCCUACUAGAUUUAUCUUUUUUGCAAUGGGAGAAGUGCUUAGCUUUGGGUUCAAUCUUGCGGUGUCCUUUCCCAGUGACAGCAGGGGCAGCAAGGCACGUAUUGUAUUGUUGCCAUCGAGGAUAAAAAGAUGGGGUUUAUAUCAUAUUGCUUGAGUUUAUCCCUCUACAUUAUGUCAUCUUGCCUAAUGCGUUACUUUGUUCUUAUGAACUUAAUACUCUAGAUGCAUGCUGGAUAGCGGUCGAUAUGUGGAGUAAUAGUAGUAGAUGCAGGCAGCAAUCGGUCUACUUGUCGCGGACGUGAUGCCUAUAUACAUGAUCAUGCCUAGAUAUUCUCAUAACUAUGCACUUUUCUAUCAAUUGCUCGACAGUAAUUUGUUCACCACCGUAAUACGUAUGCUAUCUUGAGAGAAGCCACUAGUGAAACCUCUGGCCCACGGGUCUAUCUUUUAUCAUAUAAGCUUUCAAUCUACUUUUAUUUGCAUCUUUACUUUUCCAAUCUAUAUUAUAAAAAACCAAAAAUAUAUUUAUCUUAUCAUACUAUCUCUAUCAGAUCUCACUUUCGCAAGUGGCCGUGAAGGGAUUGACAACCCCUUUAGCGCAUUGGUUGCGAGGUUCUUGUUUGUUUGUGUAGGUACGAGGGACUUGCGCGUAGCCUCCUACUGGAUUAAUACCUUGGUUCUCAAAAGCUGAGGGAAAACUUACGCUACUUUGCUGCAUCACCCUUUCCUCUUCAAGGGAAAACCAACACAGGGCUCAAGUGGUAGCAAUGGGUUUUCCACUGAAUCUCACAUUCCAGGAUCCUAGCAUUUAUAGCAUGAAAUAUAAACUCUUAAUAAUGAACCUGGAAAUAUAAUAAUAUUAUAUUAUUGCCUCUAGGGCAUAUUUCCAAUAGUAUUCAACUUGCACUGAAGUCAAUAAUCUAGUUAGCACAUUUUUAUUUACACCAAUGGCAGUCUGGUGUUUGUCCAUACUCAGCUUGUGGUAUAGCCUUCAUCCCAUUGGAUCUUGAAAACUUCAUAUCCACGUGUAUCAUAUGCAUUUCAAUGCCUCUAUCAUGAUGGCUUUGUAUGUAUUGAAUCACUAGAAGGACCUAUGAUUCCUUGGACUGAGCUAUAGAACCACUAUUAAGUAUAGUGUUUCAUUGGCACAAUCAUCUAGAAAUCAUAACAAUCUCAUAAAUGAAAGUGUUAUUGAUCACUCUCCAUUGUUGCUUCUAAAGCAACAAUCUACUCAGCCCUCUGUUAUAGAUUUCACCACAGUAACCAACAACCCAACAAACACACUGCAAAAAACAUUACAUCGGAUAGAACUCCAAGAAGAUCGAGGAGAACAUUGUAUUGAAGAUCAAAGAGAGAAGAAGCCACUAGCUACUAGCUAUGGACUCGUAGGUCUGCGGUGAAUUGCUCACACAUCAUCGGAAGGCGGCACGGAUGAUGCAGAAGCCCUCAGUGAUCGAUUCCCCCUCCGGCGGAGUACCGGUAAAGCCCUCCAGAUGGAAUCGCGGAAGAAUAGAAGCUUGUGGUGGUGGAAAAAGUGUUUCGGAUGGCUCUCUGUUGGUUUGGGAAUAUUUGUGAAUUUAUAGGCUUGGAAUUAGGUCAAACGGAGUUGCGUGGGCCCAUAAGCUCAGGGGGCGCACUUUGUGAGCUCGUGGCUCUCUUGUAGCUCUUCUGGCCUCCUCCCGAACCUUCUAGGACCCCUUCUGGUCCAGAGAAAAUAACCAUAAUUCAUCGUAUUUGGACUUCGUUUGGUAUUGUUUUUCUGAAAAGCCAAAACAAGUAAAAAAUAGGAACUAGCACUGGGCAAUGGGUUAAUAGGUUAGUCCCAAAAGUGGUAUAAAAUAGCAUAAAAAUGCAUAUAAUCCAGGAUUGAUAAUAUAAUAGCAUGAAACAAUCAAAAGUUAUAGAUAUAUUGGAGACGUAUCAGCAUUCCCAAGCUUAAUUCCUGCUCGUCCUUGAGUAGGUAAAUGAGAAUAACAGAAUUUUUGUGUAUACAUGUAUUAUUUGUAGUGAGAUAUGUACAUGACAAAGAGCGAUACUACUGCCAGGAUCAGACCAAUGUACAUGACAUAAGAAAGAGGUGGCACAUCUCUGAAUGCAAGGUCCAUGGCAACAAGCAGACGCAAUGGAAAAGACAGAUUGUUUUGUCAUCUUUUGCAGCGCCAUCCUUUAGUAUGUCAGGGAGCAGCUAAGGAAUGAAAUCAUGCUCCAUUUUGGAUCAUAAGAUUUUAAUUUGACCAUAAGCUAAGCCUCCACCACACGAAAAGUGAUGAAAAUACAAAAUUUGUUAUGUGAUGCAAUACAAUGCAAAUCUUAUGUACUCCCUCUGUAAAGAAAUAUAAGAGCGUUUAGAUCAUUACUUUACACGUUACCAUCGUAAUCUCAAGCUUUGAAUUUAGUACUACUCAUUAAUCAAUUGUGUGAUCUUAAGAAAAUGCUAUACCUCUAAAAUGAACAACUAAAAGGUCAUGAGACACGUAGUGAUCUCCAAAUAAAUUGGUUGUUCUAGGGGAAAAGUGAUGAAAAGUGUUGUUCUAGGGGAAAAGUGAUGACAAGCAUGGAUUAUCUGUUUCGUCAUCUUGGGAGGGGGAGGGUCAUCCACAUGACCACAAGCCAAGCCCACACCCCACGUCAAGUGAUGCAAAUCCCAAUCAUGUCAUGUCAUGAUUUACAAUGCAAAUCUUCUUUAAAACUUUACACAUUGGCAUCACUAUCUUAAGCUUGGCAUUUGGUACUCCCUACGAUCCAUAUUUGUUGUCGCUCAAACGGAUGUAUCUAGCACUAAAAUACAUCUAGAUACAUCUGUUUCAGCGACAACUAAUAUGAAUCAAAGGGAAUACUACUAAUUAGUUGUGUGAUCUUAAUAAAACACCAUGCUUCUAAAAUGAACAGGUCACGAGGCGUGUACCAAUCUCCAGAUGAAUUUGAUGUUCUACAGAAUUCAUAUGUGCGGAAAGAUAAGACUGAAAACCGCACACUUACCCGGGAUAGGAUGGGAUAUUUUGAGAAAUAGAUAAGGAUUAGUUCAGGUUUCUCCCAUAUAUACGAAAUGACUGGACGAUGACUAAUUAAACGAGAGACAACAAACCACUUAUCUUCCUUUAUGACUCAAUUGAUCGAGAGCCUUCCCAAGUUGCUUUUGCGGUUUUGUUGGUCACAAUGCAGAUGCUUUGAACCUUUGCACAACCGUGGGCAUGUGGCUCCCGUUAAAUAGCCACAAGAUACCAUAAAAUUAGCACUUCCAAAGUUCCCAUUUACUCUCUCUUCCUCUCAAGUCUAACCAAAGCCCAACAAACCACCACCUCGGCCAUGGCAACCACCCUCGCCACCGACGUCCGCCUCUCCAUCGCGCACCAGACCCGCUUCGCCCUCCGUCUCGCCUCCACCAUCUCAUCCAACCCUAAGUCUGCUGCCAGCAAUGCCGCCUUCUCCCCGGUCUCCCUCUACUCCGCACUUAGCCUCCUCGCCGCUGGCGCGGGCAGUGCCACUCGGGACCAACUCGUCGCCACACUCGGGACAGGCAAGGUCGAGGGACUCCACGCGCUCGCCGAGCAGGUGGUCCAGUUUGUGCUCGCCGACGCGUCCUCCACUGGUGGUCCGCNNNNNNNNNNNNNNNNNNNNNNNNNNNNNNNNNNNNNNNNNNNNNNNNNNNNNNNNNNNNNNNNNNNNNNNNNNNNNNNNNNNNNNNNNNNNNNNNNNNNNNNNNNNNNNNNNNNNNNNNNNNNNNNNNNNNNNNNNNNNNNNNNNNNNNNNNNNNNNNNNNNNNNNNNNNNNNNNNNNNNNNNNNNNNNNNNNNNNNNNNNNNNNNNNNNNNNNNNNNNNNNNNNNNNNNNNNNNNNNNNNNNNNNNNNNNNNNNNNNNNNNNNNNNNNNAAUGUAAAAGAAUUUUUAACGGACAUAAUUAUGUACAUUUGAGAGAAACAAUGACAUGCUUAACUAACUACUUCAGCCGCCUGUACAUGUUGGCAUGCCACUGCUUCACUCAAAGUGUUUGUUUUCUGCUGAUGUAAUAUAGAGGUCUGUAUUAAUCUUAUACACAUUCUAGAUUUGUAAUUUAGUGGUUAUCGUAUACCACUGUUUUUUACACUAGAAGCUUCACCUUUGUAAGCAUAGUUCGCACCUGCUACCUUGAACUGUGAAUGAUUUUGCCUAUCCUGUUAGUCGGCAUGAUUGGAGAUAACUAGUCUGUUACUUUUCUGAGCAUACCUAAUCUUUUGGGAGUGUAAUUCUCAUACCGUGCUAUCUAGGGAUAUGAAGGCUGGGGAAUUUUCUGAUGUUUUAUACUUUAAUUACGCUCUUCAGCGAAGUGAGAUUAUAAUUUUGGGAGUAUUUCCUGGAAACUUUGUCUCCAACGUAAGAAGAUGUACAAAAAAAUCAGCUAAAGAUUAUAAUUUUGGGAAUAUUUCUGUAAAAGGUAUUGCAUAGUGGUGCUUCGAGAUGUUGUGAUGGCCAUUCAAAUUUGUAUGCUCAUAUGAAUUGUUUUUCUAUCAUACGUUGUUGUAUGUGCUGAUUUAUGUGUUUGAAAAUUUUACUAUAAAAAUGCUUUAUAAAAACACUAGUAUGCUGCUUUGCAUUCUUAGCACAACUAUUAUAUUUUGUUCUUUGAAAGAAUUUUCUAUUGGUUUGUUCAAAGGUUGGUGGCACAGCAGUACCGUCAAACUAUUUUCAUUACAUAAUUGACCUUUGUUUAUUUUUUCCAUGGCCCAGGCCGCUGAAGUUACUACUCAAGUGAAUUCAUGGGUAGAGAAAGUCACGAGCGGUCGCAUCAAGGACAUUCUCCCCCCAGGAUCUAUUGACAAUACCACUAAACUUGUUCUUGCCAAUGCCCUUUAUUUCAAAGGAGCUUGGACAGAGCAGUUUGAUUCAUAUGGAACAAAAAACGACUACUUCUACCUUCUUGAUGGGAGCUCAGUUCAAACACCAUUCAUGUCCAGCAUGGAUGACCAAUACCUUUUGUCUUCUGAUGGGUUGAAGGUACUUAAGCUACCUUACAAGCAAGGUGGGGACAAUAGGCAGUUCUUCAUGUAUAUCCUUCUUCCAGAAGCACCAGGUGGUCUCUCAAGCUUGGCCGAAAAAUUGAGUGCUGAACCAGACUUCCUGGAGCGGCAUAUCCCAAGGCAGAGGGUUGCACUUAGGCAAUUCAAGCUCCCCAAGUUCAAGAUAUCAUUUGGAAUUGAAGCAUCUGAUUUGCUCAAAUGUUUGGGCCUCCAGCUUCCCUUCGGCGAUGAAGCGGAUUUUUCGGAGAUGGUGGAUUCCCUAAUGCCAC
rnacentral:lncRNA from 1 species